GGGAGAUAGUAGUAAUGGGGGACUUCAAUUACCCGGAUAUUUGUUGGAUGUCAAACUCAGCCAAGAGCAUAAGGUCAAACAGAUUCCUCACUGGCCUUGCAGACAACUUCAUUGUCCAGAAAGUGGGAGAAGCAACAAGAGGAACAGCCAUUUCCUCUUCCAUCUGGUCCUAACCAAUGUUGAUGACCUGGUUAGUGGGGUAGAAGUGGAAGGAUCAUUAGGCGCGAGUGAUCAUGCUCUUCUGAAGUUUACUAUACAGCGGAAAGGAGCAGCCAAGCAUACUAGGACUUAAUUUCUAGACUUUAAAAAAGCCGACUUCAUAAAACUUAGGGAAGUGCUGGGUGAGAUCCCAUGGACAGUAAUACUAAAAGGAAAGGGAGUUCAAGAUGGCUGGGAGUUUGUUAAGAGGGAGAUAGUAAAAGCACAACGUCAGGCAAUACCAAUGAGACGGAAACAUGGAAGGUGCCUAAAGAAGCAAGGGUGGCUAUCUAAAGAACUUUUAACUGAGUUAAGAUUUAAAAAAGAUGUGUACAUAAAAUGGAAAAGGGGGAAACCACCAAAGAGGAAUUCAAACAAAUAGCCAGCACGUGUAGACACAAAGUCAGAAAAGCUAAAGCACAGAAUGAACUCAGGCUUGCUAGAGAGGUUAAAAGCAACAAAAAGGCUUUUAUGGGUAUGUUCGUAGCAAAAGGAAGAACAAAGAAACAGUGGGGUCACUCAGAGGAGAAGAUGGUGAAAUGCAAACAGGGGACACAGAAAGGGCUGAACUCCUCAGUGCCUUCUUUGCCUCAGUCUUCUCCGAUAAAGAAAACAAUGCCCGACCUGAAGAAUUUGGAGCAAAUGAUUCAGCAGAGGAAACACAGCCCAGAAUAACUAAGGAGAUAGUACAAGAAUACUUGGCUAGUCUAGAUGUAUUCAAGUCUCCAGGGCCAGAUGAACUGCAUCCAAGAGUAUUAAAAGAACAGGCAGAUGUGAUCUCAGAACCACUGGCAGUCAUCUUUGAGAAUUCCUGGAGAACAGGCGAAGUCCCGGCAGACUGGAGGAGGGCAAAUGUUGUCCCUAUUUUCAAAAAGGGGAAAGAGAGGACCCAAAUAAUUACCGCCCAGUCAGUCUGACAUCAAUACCAGGGAAGAUUCUGGAGCAGAUCAUUAAGCAAACAGUCUGUGAGCACCUAGAAAGGAAUGCUGUGAUCAUCAAUAGUCAGCAUGGAUUUCUGAAAAAUAAGUCAUGUCAGACUAACCUGAUCUUGUUUUUGACAGAAUUACAAGCCUGGUAGAUGAAGGGAACGCAGUGGAUGUAGCCUACCUUGAUUUCAGCAAGGCAUUUGACAAGGUGCCCCAUGAUAUUCUUGUAAAGAAGCUGGUAAAAUGUGGUCUUGACUAUGCUACCACUCAGUGGAUUUGUAACUGGCUGACUGACCGAACCCAAAGGGUGCUCAUCAAUGGUUCCUCUUCAUCCUGGAGAAGAGUGACUAGUGGGAUGCCACAGGGUUCUGUCUUAGGCCCGGUCUUAUUCAACAUCUUUAUCAACGACUUGGAUGAGGGACUCAAGGGCAUCCUGAUCAAAUUUGCAGAUGACACCAAACUGGGAGGGGUGGCUAACACCCCAGAGGACAGGAUCACACUUCAAAACGACCUUGACAGAUUAGAGAACUGGGCCAAAAGAAACAAGAUGAAUUUUAACAGGGAGAAAUGUAAAGUAUUGCACUUGGGCAAAAAAAAUGAGAGGCACAAAUACAAGAUGGGUGACACCUGGCUUGAGAGCAGUACAUGUGAAAAGGAUCUAGGAGUCUUGGUUGACCACAAACUUGACAUGAGCCAACAGUGUGACGCGGCAGCUAAAAAGCCAAUGCAAUUCUGGGCUGCAUCAAUAGGAGUAUAGCAUCUAGAUCAAGGGAAGUAAUAGUGCCACUGUAUUCUGCUCUGGUCAGACCUCACCUGGAGUACUGUGUCCAGUUCUGGGCACCACAGUUCAAGAAGGACACUGACAAACUGGAACGUGUCCAGAGGAGGGCAACCAAAAUGGUCAAAGGCCUGGAAACGAUGCCUUAUGAGGAACGGCUAAGGGAGCUGGGCAUGUUUAGCCUGGAGAAGAGGAGGUUAAGGGGUGAUAUGAUAGCCAUGUUCAAAUAUAUAAAAGGAUGUCACAUAGAGGAGGGAGAAAGGUUGUUUUCUGCUGCUCCAGAGAAGCGGACACGGAGCAAUGGAUCCAAACUACAAGAAAGAAGAUUCCACCUAAACAUUAGGAAGAACUUUCUGACAGAGCUGUUCGACAGUGGAAUUUGCUGCCAAGGAGUGUGGUGGAGUCUCCUUCUUUGGAGGUCUUUAAGCAGAGGCUUGACAACCAUAUGUCAGGAGUGCUCUGAUGGUGUUUCCUGCUUGGCAGAGGGUUGGACUCGAUGGCCCUUGUGGUCUCUUCCAACUCUACGAUUCUAUGAAUCACCAUCUCGCUAGACCAGAAUUACUAAGGAUGAGACCACAGCACCUCAGAGUGCUGCUUUAACUUGCAUAUGCAGCUGGAAGGCUCACACAACAGUGCUGAGCUCAAGGAUACAACUUUGCUGGAGGGCUUACAAUAGGUGGUUAGUAAAUGCAUAGUAUGCAGGAUGCAAACCACUCUCUCAGCAAAAAAGAACAGCCAUAUUGAAUAGCCCUUGAGAUCAAGCUAGAUAGUAACAGUUUAGCCAUUAACCUCCUUAGGGGUUAAGAGAAAUUUGUUCCAGCAGUGAUGCUGAAUUUCAAGAUCAGAUAAUUAGCUGCUCAAAGCCCCUUUUAGAUUCAAGUGAGGUACAGAACCUUUAAGCCAUUAAUGCCCUUUAAUGAGGCUCCAAGCCCAGAGGAUGUGAAAUUGGGUGAUGGUUCACAACUAUAUGGGCAUAGCUUUUCAACUAGGCCCCUGUGUUUGGAAUGACUGGCAUCAAAUUAUUGUCAAAAUGAACACCUAGCAUUUGAAAGCAAUGGACCCUUCUUAAGUGAUAACUAUGCAAUUGGUCUGAAAUGCUCAUGGAAAAGAAUAGUAACGUCUGAAAUCCAAUGAAAAAAAGACUACUUUCUGUCCUGCCAAGGGAGCAUCUCUCUCACCUCCAUUGCCACCUUAUGACUUUAUAAAGGUUCAAGGUACUCUUUUUGCAAACAGACCUCUAUUCAAUACCUUCAACUCUCCUCACAUACUGUGAUUUUCUGUGUAUACCUAGGAACGUAAAAUAUGAAUGUGAGGGCAAGUUAUUUGAAAAUGUAGGUACCCUUUUAAGAGAGUCAGUAUCAACUGAAUUUCUACUCAGUGGUAACCCUAUGUUUGUUGCUGCAUAAUGAUUGAAACAGUCUUUAGUUUGGGAAUAUUUUAUAUUUCAAUCUGUUUUAACUAAGAAUCUGAUGUCAGAACAUGUCAGCUUCAAGGAAGUGGAGAAUAUUUUGAUACAUUCAUAAAUUAAUAGUUAAUAUAUAUAACUAUUUUUUUCCAAAGAGAGAGAGAGAAAAAAAACGCAACAUAAGGAAAAUUGCAUAGGGAAAGAAGACAGAAUAUUAUCAUAUAUUCAUUUGGGAAAAAAAUGUCUGAGAUUACACUUUAUGUAGCUAACAUAAAUAGCAGCUUAUUUUUGGAGGUGAGUGUUAUGAGAAUGUUUCUUGCAUUGCCAUUCUUAACUGUUCAGACAGUUAUAUUACCAAUGUAUUAUUUUCAAAGUUUUUUAAUAUAUAUAUAUAUAUGUACAAACCAGAAAUAUGUCUACUGCAUGACUUUGCAUGAAAUGACUUCCAUGACAGUAAAAAUAAAAGAUGAAAAUCCUUAUCCAUAUAUGUCAGAGGUGCAACUGUCAUUGAUCUGAUGUUCCAUAUCAUUAAAUUUCCUUGUGUCCUGGAAGAAGAAGAAAACCUCAAAGCUCUUUUGCAACCUCAGUAACAGAACCAGUGAAAUUGUUUUUAUGAUUAGUAUACCUUCACUGAAAUUGUGCUCAUUCUGGUGAAUUUUCAAACACUUGAUAACAGACAGGAGCAAAGCUUUGUCUGACUUUGUGCUAUUGUUAUAAGGAAGCAUUGUUCUUCCAUGGUGCUGAACUUCUUAUUUUUACAAGAGAAAAUCACCUUCAUUUCCAAUGAUUACAAACAUCUGAACAUAAAUAUUUUCUUUAAUUUUUCAGCUCAGAAGGAACACAUUGAAAGACCCGCUUUCCCCCCUGCUGAUGAUAUUGAAAUAAAACUAAAAAAAAUACGAGCAUUACUGCCUAUAAAGCUUUGGAAAUAUUUCUGAACUCAGCAGGCAAAAUUACAGAAGCCCAGUGAUUGAUUCUGUUGUAAAGAGACUACUCUGUUAGCUGAAGUGCUCUACUUCAGAGCAAAGUUGCCCCAAUUAGUGGCUGCUCAUGUUCAGAAACCCACAAUGGAUUCUGGUGUGCAUGGAAGGAGAAGGAAGAGAUAGUUCAGAGAUUAUGAACAAGGACAGCCAAGCCAGUACAGGAGGGAUGGGUCUUCCAGAUGUUGUUGGAUUUCAAUUCCUAACAGACCUAACCAGCACAGCCAAUGGUCAGGGAUGAUGGGGGUUAUAGUCCGACAACAUCGAUAGAGACAUUUUGUCCUAUAAUGAUAAGGUCAAAAGUUGGCUUCUUGUUUUACAUAUGCUAUAUGUGGAAAGUAUAGCUAAGAAUGCAUGUGUACUGUGACCAUUUUGAAUCUGGAUUUACCUCCACAGUCUCGAGAAAACCCCUUAAUCCCAAUUUUAUUUUAUUUUAUUCUUUGAUAGAUUUACAAAAAGGAAAACACACACGAAUAAAUCAUUUAAGAAGGGGCGAAAUUAGCCGUGGAUGCACAAAGCAUUUUUUCUCUCCAAAAAAUUCAAGACUCCUUGUGUUCCACUCUACACUUCCUAUCUUUCUGCCCAGGGCAGCCCUCUGCCUGUCCCUCAACUGGCACAUCAUGCAGGACUGGGCUUUGCUGGAAGCAAACUCUCCUCCUCCUCAUCCACUAUCUAGAAGCUGCUACAAGCUGCCCAAGGCCAGCAGCAGCAACCAUGGAGAGACAACAGAAUGCUCCCUCACAAUCGCCUCACUGCUGUCGCCCAGGACAAGCACUGGCUCAUCCUCCUCUCUGAGCUUGGCAGCGGCAGCACUGGAAGGGGAGGAGGGACAUUCUAGGAUCAAAUCAGAUACCAAGAUGGCUUUUGAAAUUCCAGGGUAUUUGGGAUCCUGGGUAUGGCUUAAUGGUCCUUGAAAUGAAGCCAAAACCAAUAGAAGUGCAUUAAAUUUUAAUGUUUAAAACUAUCAAAAAUAUUACUACAGUGUGGUCUUUUUUCAUUCUGUUCUCACCGCUCAUAAUCCUAUAUAAGCUUUGGUGUUUGGUCCAAUGACAAAUUACUGAUAAUUUCUACCAGCUUGACAGCUCCUAGUUUAACAAAACUUACAACUUUCUGAGUUAUCUCUCGUUAGAACAGAAUGUGCUUGGAAAGUGGUUUAGAGUUUAGAAGCAAAUCUUCAAAGCAAGGCCCACACUGUAGUCUGCAAAAUCAGUUUUAAAAUGCAGCACCUGAAUUUGAGGGACUGAGUUGCAAAAUCAUCAGACUUCAAAGGACUGGAAAGGUCAUGGUAAGGAGAAAGGACUCACUCAUCAAUAAGGAAUAGCAAUGUGGCAAAGGAAGGGAUGAUGAUGUUUGCAUUAAAUAUAUACCACUUUUUUAAUCUCUAAAGGAUAGAAAGUGAAAUUGGAACCAAGAAAACAAAUAGUAUGUCACUUACAUAAUAGGUGUUGGCAUCCAUCUUGAGAGCAAUGGAGGGGUGUCACUUUGGGGGUGAAGUCAAACUGAAACAGGCAAGAUCACUUUAAUUGAACUCUUUGCUCACAGGAAACAUAACUAGUCUCUGAGAUGGAGCUGCAGUCCUGUUGAAAGUUCAGUGUGGGUUUGCUCAUUUCUGAAGCAACCAAUAUUUGAGAACCUGGUGCAAUGUUCCAUUCUGAGUUUCUUAUGGUGGUGUCAAGGGUGCUGCCUUAAUUCCUUUCAGUUUUUAUCCUUGUAACCUGACCUCUUGGGUUGACGUAUAUUAGAAUUUUCAAAAUUCCUUAAGCAACCAUAACUUAUGAAGGCUCAAAUCCAUCUCUGUGAAGAAGAGCAGUACAUAAUUGUCACUGAAUACUUAAAGAGAAGUUUAAAUAUAUCAUGGGGUGUUAUGAUGAAUCUUCUGCUGGUUCACUGUGUAGUAAUACAUCUUUGUCGAAGUAAAUAUUUCAGGUUCAACAGAGGAAAGUGAAAUAUAAACAAGGCCACUAGCACAUACUGAAUCUUAUUUGUGAAAGUCUUCCAGGUCCUCACCACAGCUAGUUGGAUGAAUAAGGAAGCAAAUGUUUUGUUGAAGGACCCUCUUUUCAUAAUUAUGCAUUGAUUUUCAAAAAUGAGUAAGAAUGUUUUUGUAGGCGUUGUGCAGCUUUACAACAUGCUAGAAUGCUGUAGUAUGCAGCAGCAGAAACCCUUUGGAAAACAACAACAGCACAAAUUCAAAAACCUGGGUAGACAAUGACAUUCUUUUAGCAACAGCAGAGACACUUCAGAGCACUGAACUGUUCAUGAAGAAAUCUGUUCCAGGUGGCAAUCUCUGACAACAUUUCAUAGAACUAUAAGUCCUUUUUAGAAGUUACACUCAGAACACAUGACUGGGGUCACAUUGAGUUUCCCCAUCCCUGAUGUCAGAAUGUGCCAACUUGUCCUGCCCAUAGUGUCAACCUGUACUGUGUGAAUGCCUUCAGCAAGGAAGCCUUUGUGAACACAGUUGUAUGCACAAUACUUUGUCCCUGCAGUUGCUCAUAAUUCAUGUGAGAUGGGUUGGGUGGCUAGUCAGUACCUGGAACACUGGGGUGGGGCUCCUACUGCUUUUGACUUGGUCUUAGCUAUCAGUGUAACACCUGAGUAGAGAUAUUGAAUCAUAGACUUAACAGAGCUGGAAGGAACAUUGGAAAAAUCUUGGUGAUAUUUAGGAACUGGAUUUUAGCUGAAAAUCCCUGAAUUGCUCAAAAAGUAAAAUGCUGAUACAUUUUUUUUAUUAAUUCCAACAUCUGACAAGUUUGAUACAUGUCAACAUCUGUGUAAUAAAUAACAAUUACUAAACAAACCACGCAGCACUUUCUUAUUUUGUUUUUUUAAUAUGGUGUGCAUGCAGGCAGCCAGAAUUAGACAUCAGAAUUAGAUGAUCUCCGGCGGACUAGGGACAAAGGUGAGAGCUGUUUCCUAGUUCUGCUGGAUCUCUCAGCGGCGUUUGAUACCAUCGACCAUAACAUCCUUCUGGACCGUCUUGAGGGGCUGGGAGCUGGGGGCACUGUCAUACAGUGGUUCCGCUCCUUCCUCCUGGGCCGUGUUCAGAAAGUGGUGGUGGGGUAUGAGUGUUCAGACCCCUGGGCUCUCACUUGUGGGGUGCCUCAGGGUUCUGUCCUCUCCCCCAUGCUUUUCAACAUCUACAUGCAGCCGCUGGGAGAGAUCAUUAGGCGGUUUGGGCUGGGUGUUCAUCAGUAUGCGGAUGAUACCCAGCUCUACCUCUCUUUCAAAUCAGAACCAGUGAAGGCAGUGACGGUCUUGUGUGAGUGUCUGGAGGCGGUUGGAGGAUGGAUGGCGGCUAACAGAUUGAGAUUGAAUCCUGACAAGACAGAAGUACUGUUUCUGGGGGACAGGAGGUGGGCAGGUGUGGAGAAUUCCCUGGUCCUGAAUGGGGUAAGUGUGCCCCUGAAGGACCAGGUGCACAGCCUGGGAGUCAUUUUGGACUCACAGCUGUCCAUGGAGGCACAGGUUAAAUCCGUGUCCAGGGCAGCUGUGUACCAGCUCCAUCUGGUACGCAGGCUGAGACCCUAUCUGCCUGCGGACUGCCUCGCCAGAGUGGUGCAUGCUCUGGUUAUCUCCCGCUUGGACUACUGCAAUGCUCUCUACGUGGGGCUACCUUUGAAGGUGACCCGGAAACUACAACUAAUCCAGAACGCAGCAGCCAGAUUGGUGACUGGGAGCAGCCACCGAGACCAUAUAACACCGGUCUUGAAAGACCUACAUUGGCUCCCAGUACGUUUCCGAGCACAAUUCAAAGUGUUGGUGCUGACCUUUAAAGCCCUAAACGGCCUUGGUCCAGUAUACGUGAAGGAGCGUCUCCCCCCCCCCCAUCGUUCUACCCGGAUGCUGAGGUCCAGCACCGAGGGCCUUCUGGCGGUUCCCUCACUGCGAGAAGCCAAGUUACAGGGAACCAGGCAGAGGGCCUUCUCGGUAGUGGCGCCCUCCCUGUGGAACGCCCUCCCACCAGAUGUCAAAGAGAACAACAACUACCAGACUUUUAGAAGACAUCUGAAGGCAGCCCUGUUUAGGGAUGCUUUUAAUGUUUGAUGUAUCACAGUAUUUUAAUAUUCUUUUGGAAGCCGCCCAGAGUGGCUGGGGAGGCCCAGCCAGAUGGGCGGGGUAUAAAUAAUAAAUUAUUAUUAUUAUUAUUAUUAUUAUUAUUAUUGCCGACAAAAGUCCGUAUUGUAAAAGCUAUGGUUUUCCCAGUUGUGAUGUAUGGAAGUGAGAGCUGGACCAUAAAGAAGGCAGAUCGCCAAAGAAUUGAUGCUUUUGAAUUAUGGUGCUGGAGGAGACUCUUGAGAGUCCCAUGGACUGCAAGAAGAUAAAACCUAUCAAUUCUGAAGGAAAUCAGCCCUCAGUGCUCACUGGAAGGACAGAUUCUGAAGCUGAGGCUCCAAUACUUUGGCCACAUCAUGGGAAGAGAAGAGUCCCUGGAAAAGACCCUGAUGCUGGGAAAGACUGAGGGCACAAGGAGAAGGGGACGACAGAGGAUGAGAUGGUUGGACAGUGUUCUCAAUGCUACCAACAUGAGUUUGACCAAUCUGCGGGAGGCAGUGGAAGACAGGAGUGCCUGGUGUGCUCUGGUCCAUGGGGUCACGAAGAGUCGGACAUGACUAAAUGACUAAACAACAAUUAAUAUAUCUCCCUGUGUACAUUAAUAUAGUGUGCAGAGAUGAGCAAAUAUGACAAUUUUGGUUCCUCUCCAUUUCUCAUUUCCCCAAAUUUCCAUAUUCCAUGAAAAUGUUUUAGCAUUUCAGUGUGAAUCCCUCCUAAUAUACACAUUUUACAUUUUUCCAAUAUAAACAUUUUUGCAAAGCAGUUUCCCCUAAUGCAAUGUAUUUUAAUGUUAUUUUCACACAUAGACACAUGUUUGUGCAUAGGUUACCUGAGCACAUACAUUUUUGUACACAUUAACUGAAAGGAGAACUGCAGUGCAAAAUUCAGAAACGUGUAAUUUUGAAGGAUGGUUAUGUUUCGGUUUGCAUAUUAUGCUGAAAAGUGAAAAUUAGGUAGAUUUGCAAUUAGGUGAAAACUGUAUAGAAUUUCAUUCCCCACGUACAAGUGAUUAUGUAGUUUGAACCCAAGUUAUGGCAGACAGAGACUUUGUCUUACAAAAAAGUUAAACACAUGUGGAAAUGUAACAGGCAAGCUGAAAUAAGCCUCCGUGUAGUUUUCUACAUGGUUGGAUGACAGUAAUUGAUGUUCUGUCAUAGCUGUCAACUGUCUCCCAGGAUAAGCAUAUGGGAAAUGACUGAGCAACUAGCAAGGUGAUAUUGCAUUGUCAGCACUUGGGUGUGUCUUUCCUCGGUGCUUGGGAUUCGCUAUGAAACCUCACGGCAGAAUUAAAAAUGGCUCACGGGUCGAUUCCUCUCCUGAUUAAUGAUGCUAAUUGAAGUUAAAGUAUGCACACAUAUCAAGGGGAGAACACAACCUCCUCUGUUUGUCUUCUCAACAAUGCAGAUGACACAUGCUGUGCAAAGAUAAGUCAACCUUAGUGCAGGUACAUUAGAAUAACUGUGAAGCAUGAUUCAUAGAAACUGUCAGCCAAUUUAGUUGGUGAAUGACUGGAACAUGUGAAGAUACCACUUAUUUUCAUAUUUAACUGAAUCACCUCCCCACCCCACCCCGCCAUCUAACUACUUCUGGCUCUAAGGUCAUUUUGCUUGCUUGAGCAAAGGGUCACAGUGGCAACACUGGGUUUUCUAGCCUUGACUAGUUGCUUUCUGGCUCCUGCUGCUGCUGUCAGAGAGGAUGAGCAAUGGUAUAUGAGAGUUACUUUUCUUUUAAAAACAGUUCAGCACAGUAGUAUGCUGUCAAAUGUUAAGAAAUAUUGAAUAUAAUAGUUCUCUCUCUCUCUCUCUCUCUCUCUCUCUCACACACACACACACACACACAAACCCUAGCCUUUCUCUAGCUUGGGUGAUGAACAGCAGCAACAGUUCAAGAUGCUCACCUUGGUGUUUAAAGUCCUAAAAGACUGUACUCAUGUAUGUGCGAGUCAGGCUGUUACCAUUUGCAGCAGCGGAAUCAUCUUUCAGUGUCAUCACCCUUGUAGGUACAUGGGGUGAUGGCCCAUGAAGAAGCUUCCAUAGUGGUCCCCAAAUGAUGGAAUUCCCUACCUAUAGAAAUAGCAUUAGGAUGCCAUUGACAGGCCAAUUAUUAUUGCUAGUGUCCUCCAAUAUACGAUCUCACUCACUGAUAUGUAUCCAUACAUGUAUACAUGAAGUUGUUUUCUUAUACUGCAUUAUAUAUUUUUCCCUUCAUGGAUCACUGCCUUGCCGUGGCGAAGGGGCUUGAAUAACUCAGAAAAGCUAUGAACUAUGCCGAGCAGGGCACCCAAGAUGAACAGGUCAUAGUGGGGAGUUUGGACCAAACGUGAUCCACCUGGAGGAGGAACCGGCAAGCCACUCCAGUAUCUCUGCCAAGAAAACUCCAUGGACAAAGACAACAGGCAUAUAAAAGUUAUGACGCUGGAAGAUGAGCCUUCCAGGUCGGAAGGCGUCCAACAUGCUACUGGGGAAGAGUGGAGGACAAGUACAAGUAGAUUCAGAGCUGAUGAAGCGGCUGGGCCAAAGCCGAAAGGAUGUCCAGUUGCGGAUAUGCCUGGAAGUGAAAGUAAAGUCCAAUGCUGUAAAGAAAAAUAUUGCAUAGGAACCUGGAAUGUAAGAACCAUGAACCUGGGUAAGUUGGAUGUGCUCAAAAAUGAGAUGGCAAGAAUAAAUAUUGACAUCCUGGGCAUCAGUGAACUAAAAUGGACGGGAAUGGGCGAAUUCAGUUCGGAUGACUAUCAUAUCUACUACUGUGGGCAAGAAACCCGUAAAAGAAAUGGAGUGGCCCUCAUAGUCAACAAAAGAGUGGUGAAAGCUGUACUGGGAUGCAAUCUCAAAAAUGAUAGAAUGAUCUCGAUACGAAUCCAAGGCAGACCUUUUAACAUCACAGUAAUCCAAGUUUAUGCACCAACUACUGGUGCUGAAGAAACUGAAAUUGACCAGUUCUAUGAAGACUUACAAGACCUUAUAGAAGUGACACCAAAGAAGGAUGUUCUUCUCAUUAUAGGGGAUUGGAAUGCUAAAGUAGGGAAUCAAGAGAUAAAAGGAACAACUGGCAAGUUUGGCCUUGGAGAUCAAAAUGAAGCAGGGCAAAGGCUAAUAGAGUUCUGUCAAGAGAACAAGCUGGUCAUCACAAACACGCUUUUCAAACAACACAAGAGACGACUCUACACAUGGACAUCACCAGAUGGGCAGCAUCAAAAUCAGAUUGAUUAUAUUCUCUGCAGCCAAAGAUGGAGAAGCUCUAUACAGUCAGCAAAAACAAGACCUGGAGCUGACUGUGGCUCAGAUCAUCAGCUUCUUAUAGCAAAAUUCAAGCUUUAACUGAAGAAAGUAGGAAAAACCACUGGGCCGGUAAGAUACAAUCUAAACCAAAUCCCUUAUGAAUACACAGUGGAAGUGAGGAACAGAUUUAAGGAUUUAGAUUUGCUGGACAGAGUGCCUGAAGAACUAUGGGUGGAGGCUCGCAACAUUAUACAGGAGGCAGCAACGAAAACCAUCCCAAUGAAAAAGAAAUGCAAGAAAGCAAAGUGGCUGUCCAAUGAGGCCUUACAAAUAGCAGGGGAGAAGGCAAGCAAAAUGUGAGGGAGAUAGUGAAAGAUACAGGAAAUUGAAUGCAGAUUUCCAAAAAAUAGCAAGGAGAGACAAGAAGGCCUUCUUAAACGAGCAAUGCAAAGAAAUAGUGGAAAACAACAGAAUGGGAAGAACCAGAGAUCUGUUCAAGAAAAUUGGAGAUAUGAAAGGAACAUUUCGUACAAAGAUUACCAUAAUAAAGGACAAAAGUGGUAAGGACCUAACAGAAGCAGAAGACAUCAAGAAGAGGUGGCAAGAAUACACAGAGGAAUUAUACCAGAAAGAUAUGGAUGGCUCGUACACCCCAGGUAGUGUGGUUGCUGACCUUGAGCCAGACAUCCUGAAGAGUGAAGUCAAAUGGGCCUUAGAAAGCACUGCAAAUAGCAAGGCCAGUGGAAGUGAUGGUAUUCCAGCUGAACUAUUUAAAAUUUUAAAAGAUGAUGCUGUUAAGGCGCUACACUCAAUAUGCCAGCAAGCUUGGAAAACUCAGCAGUGGCCAGAGGAUUGGAGAAGAUCAGUCUACAUCCCAAUCCCAAAGAAGGGAAGUGCCAAAGAUUGCUCCAACUACCGCACAAUUGCACUCAUUUCACACGCUAGCAAGGUUAUGCUUAAAAUUCUACAAGAAAGGCUCAAGCAGUAUGUGGACUGUUUGCACUCCCAGAAGUGCAAGCUGGAUUUAGAAGAGGCAGAGGAACCAGAGACCAAAUUGCAAACAUGCACUGGAUUAUGGAGAAAGCUAGAGAGUUCCAGAAAAAACAUCUACUUCUGCUUCAUUGACUAUGCAAAAGCCUUUGACUGUGUCGAUCACAGCAAACUAUGGCAAGUCCUUAAAGAAAUGGGAGUGCCUGAUCACCUCAUCUGUCUGCUGAGAAAUCUCUAUGUGGGACAAGAAGCUACAGUUAGAACUGGAUAUGGAACAACUGAUCGGUUCAAAAUUGGGAAAGGAGUACGACAAGGCUGUAUAUUGUCUCCCUGCUUAUUUAACUUAUAUGCAGAAUUCAUCAUGUGGAAGGCUGGGCUGGAUGUAUCCCUAGCCGGAAUUAAGAUUGCCGGAAGAAAUAUCAACAACCUCGGAUAUGCAGAUGACACAACCUUGAUGGCAGAAAGUGAGGAGGAAUUAAAGAACCUUUUAUUGAGGGUGAAAGAGGAGAGUGCAAAAUAUGGUCUGAAGCUUAACAUCAAAAAAACAAAGAUCAUGGCCACUGGUCCCAUCACCUCCUGGCAAAUAGAAGGGGAAGAAAUGGAGGCAGUGAGAGAUUUUACUUUCUUGGGCUCCAUGAUCACUGCAGAUGGUGACUGCAGCCACGAAAUCAAAAGAUGCCUGCUUCUUGGGAGAAAAGCAAUGACAAACCUAGACAGCAUCUUAAAAAGUAGAGAUAUCACCUUGCCAACAAAGGUCCGUAUAGUAAAAGCUAUGGUUUUCCCAGUAGUGAUGUAUGGAAGUGAGAGCUGGACCAUAAAGAAGGCUGAUUGCCGAAGAAUUGAUGCUUUUGAAUUAUGAUGCUGGAGGAGACUCUUGAGAGUCCCAUGGACUGCAAGAAGAUCAAACCUAUCCGUUCUGAAGGAAAUCAGCCCUGAGUGCUCACUGGAAGGACAGAUCGUGAAGCUGAGGCUCCAAUACUUUGGCCACCUCAUGAGAAGAGAAGACUCCCUGGAAAAGACCCUGAUGUUGGGAAAGACUGAGGGAACAAGGAGAAGGGGACAACAGAGGAUGAGAUGUUUGGAUAGUGUUCUCGAAGCUACCAGCAUGAGUUUGACCAAUCUGCGGGAAGCAGUGGAAGACAGAAGUGCCUGGUGUGCUCUGGUCCAUGGGGUCACGAAGAGUCGGACACGACUAAAUGACUAAACAACAACAACAACAUUAUAUAUUUUAGAUGUAACCCACUCUGAAGGGCCACAACCAAACAGAUACUAACAACAAACAAACAACACCUCAUUAAAACCACUGAAUCAAAUGAAAUAAAUAAACAGCAAACAUCAACCAAGUGAGGUCAGCUCAUAGGGAACAUGUCCCAGCAUUAAUACACUGUGGGCUGAAACUGGAAUUCCAAUGAGUCAAAGCCAGAUCACAGGAUGCUCCUGCUGGAAUAAGGGUGGGGGGUGUCUUCAUUUAUUCCUAUCAUCUUCAUUCUGCAGCCCCUGUGCCUCCUUAAAAGUUGUUGGACAGUAACAGUGUUGGAGAUGGGAAAGGGGUGAAACUGGCUCCUUCUCCUUUCUCCAGUGGGAGUCUCCACUGAAUCUUCUAAGUAUGGAAGAAGCCUUUACAUUCACAGAAGGGUGAGGCUGGAUCCAUUACCAGGAUAGGACUUAAUGGGUCUAAUGUGUGACUGACAGGGAUGGAUUCCAUGUUGCUCUGUAUCAUGGAUUCCAUGAUGUAUCUGUGGGCCCUUCUAGAAAGCUCUGGUUCUGAUUAAGGAACAUAGAGCAAUAGGUAAUAUCAGCAUAGUGGUUAAAAGAGUGUCCCCAUAGAGCUAUGCCAGCAGUUUUGCACUCUUCAAAAUGUAUUAUUGAAAAGAGGCAGUUGAGUGCCUGUUAUUUUCUUUAAAAUAUAUAUCAAUAUCUAUAUGUCAGACAGAGAAUACAAGCAACCAAAGCUAAAAUAAUGAUGCCUUCAAGUGGCAGCUGCUGUUCUUAUUACACAAGUUUUUCCUAAUUUAGAUAAUUCAGAAUAGAAUAUUGGUUAAGGUUUCAGUACUCUGCCAUUUCUAUAAAUGAAAAGAAUUGCAUUCAGGAAAAUCUCUGAAUACAUGAGGAACAGAAGAGAAGCAACAGAAUUGGAGAAGCUAAUGAAAAAUCAUGGACAUGGAUUAGCAAUGACUGAUCAACUGCUUGUCAAAUGUGACGCAGAGGCUGAACAAGUCAAAUAUGUGGUAAAAUGGGCUGAAGACACAAGAGUGAAUAUGCUAAUAGAGGUUAGGGGAAAUUUGUGGAAGAAAGUACACACAUUUUCCUUGAAUACAGCAAAAGGGAAAAUUGUUGCAAGCUAGUGAGUAGGUGAGGAGUGGGAAACCUUGGGCUUGUGGGCACACCAGGAAGUCCAAUAUACCAGUCCAUCAUUAAUUUUGCACCCAGAGAACAGCAUCACUUCUGGCACAACUAUGCUUGCAUUGGUGGGAAGAGUCCCAAAAUAUCCUGAUGAGACUAGUGACUCAGCUAUACUGCUGCAAAUAAAACAUUUUAAGUGUGUUGCAAAGUGCAAUAUACAAAUGUGACACUAGAUGGUGAUUGAGAGCUAUGGCAAAUUCAAUAUAUUUUUCAAUUUUUUAAAAAACAAAACAAAACAUUUUCCUAGUGUUUUUUUUAUGUGUGUGUGAAUUUCACCUGGGAAAGAGCCCAGUCUGAAACCCUGGAGAGUCACUGCCAGUCAGCAUACAGCAGCCUUUCAAGCCUUCAGUUCUCUGAUGUUUUUGGACUCUCAUCAUCCCUGCACAUUAGGCCACUGACCAAGGACUGGGGUUCUACCCCCAGCAGUAUCUGGGGCCCAAGGCUGGGCAAAGGUAGUAUAGAUAACACUGAGCUAGAUAAAUUAAUAGUCUAAGGCCUUGUCUGCACUUCUGCUUGUUCUGUGCCUAGAAUGAAUGAGGCUGAAUGGUUUUGUCUUUGCCCUUCUGCUUUCCCACGGAAAACCGAAUUGCAGUUUUCUCUAAUUCAAUGCUAAACAGUGGGUUUUCCUGGGAGUAAGCAGUGGGGCAAACAGAAGUGUGGAUCAGCCCUAACUCAAUAUAAAGCAGCUCCAUCCCAAAAUGUUGCUACACGGAGUAGUGGGACAGCUCUUUGUAACACUAACUACUAAUUGUGUGGGCUAGAAACAAGAUUCACAUGUGUCCCCCCAAAGCAAACAUGUUUUAUCUACGAACAUUUCUUUCAACAUUUUCCUUACACACUUCAGAAUACAUACAGUAUUCAAGGGAGCUAUGUAGUGUCGGCUCCACAUAUAUAGGAGAUCAUUCAUCUCAUCUUUCAAGUAUUUGUUCUGAGAAACAAAACAAAAACAGAUUGACUCUGCUAAUUUGCUGAACUUUUAAUUCCUUUAUUAUGAUGCUGACAUCUCACAUUCAAAGUUUCAUCCAUAAUGAUUUACUGCUGUUGUAGCAAUGAUUUUUGCCUUUUGAGAGCAAAUAUCUCGGUGAAGAGUCAGAUUCAGAAGUCAAUGAAAAAUGCUCUCUGGAGGCAAGCUAUAAUCAUGAAAAUAUUAUAGUGACAAGCAAGAUUUAAUAAAAGCUCCAACAUGUCCCUCCAAUAAAGUAGCAAGUGAAUGAUCUGUACCUAACGCAAAUGACAAGGACAGCUCAGAUCACGACUUUAUAUGUAAUGGCACUUGCACAGUAAUUGUGAAUAUAGAGUAAGUAUUGUGGAUUUAUUAGAAAUAAAUACGUUUUCCCUUUAUGAGUGUUUCACUGUCUAUAAUAUCUGUGUCUGUGUUCCACUGUCUAUAAUUCUCUGGUUUUCCCUUGCUUCCCUUUGUUUUUUUUCCUGCACUUAACAUUGUUGUUGCAGAACUUCCUAUCCAAUGGACCAUUUCCAGCCAAACCUCUCUCACCCUCCCUCCUACCCCAUGGAUGGAGAGUUUGUGGUCCUCCAUGCUGGCUAGGCUUGAUGGGAGUUGUAGAUCCAACAACACUUGAGAGGGAACAGGUUCCCCAUCUCUGUCCUACUCAGUUCUCCUGUCCCAACCCUUUGUUAAGUUGAACUAUUAGGGUUAUACAAAAAGCCUCUGAGGUGAUAAAGCAGAGCAUACCUGUGACUGACAAUCACAAAUAUUGAGCUCCUAGUGGGGAACUCAAUCACAAAGGCAAUGCCUGCCGAAAGCAGCUUUGGUCUAUGCUUAUUAUUUUGUCCUCUAAGCACUCCACAACCAACUGGCUGUUGGGUGCUUGGGAAGUGCUAUGCAAGGGACUUGGGUAGGUGGGUGGGGCAAUCUGUUUGUUAGUCAUUGUACAGUGGUGCCUCGCAAGACGAAAUUAAUCCGUUCCGCGAGAGUCUUCGUCUAGCGGUUUUUUCGUCUUGCGAAGCAAGCCCAUUGACGGAUUAGCGCUAUUAGCGCUAUUAGCGGUUUAGCGGCUAUUAAAGGCUUAAAGGCUUAGGGGAUUAGCUGCUAAAAGGCUAUUAAAGGCUAUUAAAGGCUUAGCAGAUUAGAUAAAGGGGGGGGGAAAGCGAAAAAAAAUCUCAAGACUCGCAAGGUAUUUUCGUCUUGCGAAGCAAGCCCAUAGGGGAAUUCGUCCUGCGAAGCAACUUCAAAACGGAAAACCCUUUCGUCUAGCGGUUUUUCCGUCUUGCGAGGCAUUCGUCUUGCGGGGCACCACUGUAUUUCACAAUGUCACGUGAUUGGCUGGUGGGUUGUCUAUGGGGAUGGGGACAGUAACAAUCUGGCCUGCUGGUUCAACACUGGGUUCCAUGUUCCUGCUCUACAGCAAUGGUCCACAGCUAUUGGCUGGGAGUUUUAUGAAGAAUUCACUAAAGUCAGAGAUAAGGAUAAGGAGGAAAUCCUGCAAUCCUGGGUCAAGUACUUUGAAAGGGGAAAAUACUUGCCUCUGGAGACAUGUGCUGUAUGUAUUUAUUUAUGCAUUCAUGCAUAGGGAAUGUUCGUUUAUUUGGUGAAUGCAAUGGGAUGUUGGAACGCACAUCAUUUUGCAGAAAUGUUAAGUUCAGUGAUGUAGAAGUAUCUGUGGGGGUUACGAUGUGUGUGUAUGUUUCCAAAAAUCAAGUAUAAUGAGCCAUUGUCCAGAUUGUGAGGCAUUGGAAAAUGUGUUCCGUCUGUUUUUAUUCCCGAGGCUUAGUUUCAAAUCCCAUCUUGAUCAAAAUGACAGGAUGUGAUUUUAGCUGGAUUGCUGCUUCACAGGUAAAACCUAUAAUGGGUCCAGGUGGAUUACCAUAACUCCACAUACAGAGAAGUUUUCAGCAUGGAGACAAUCACAACUAUCACUAAUUCAAAGGUGUCCACUCUUCAGGAGGUAUUAUAAAUGACAGGUUUAUGCAGCACACUGGAACAGCUGACCUUUGAAUCCAAUUACCAUUGCAUUCUGUUUUGAGAAACCUGGAAAUGUUUACCAGUGUGGGUUUUUUAUGGGGAUGGCUAGCUUUUUAAGAAUCAAACCCUGCUCAAGGUAUUUGAUAGUAUCCUGUGAAAAGACAAAAUCAAUAAUAUUAUUAUUUAUAUAGCACCAUCUGUGUGCACACUGUUUAAAACACAAACACAUCCACCCUGGAUAUGAGAGAUUCCUACUCCAAUAAGCUUACAAUAGACACAAAGAAAUGGAGGACAUUUCCCCCCUCUUACUUUAGUUCACAUAGAGUGAUCCUCAUAGUGGUUUAACUAUCAAUCCAUCUUCCCAGGCAACUCUGGGAAUUGUAGAGCUUUGAGAGCAACCGGGCUCUCCUAAUAACUAUCAGCACUCUUAGCAAGUGUAAGAGUGCUUUAAAUGUACGGCACAGAUGUGGCCAUCAAUUGGCUUAGUUACACUAGGGGGUGUGCCCAAUAGGUGAAUUUCGAAGAAGGACUUAAAGGAAAUGAGGGGAAGACGUUUAGAGAAGCAAUAAGGGGCAGCAAGGGGAAAUGUGUGGAGUUACUUCAGAAAGCAGGGGAUGUUUGGUGGCUGAGGGUGGGAGAGCUGGACAAUCAAAGGUUAUGAGAUGGAAUGUCUCCAAAACUAGUACAGAGGGAUAUGGUGAGGCAAGGCCAUGGAGGGUUUUAAAGGUUUGGACAAAGACCUGGGAAGGGAUGGAUGGCAAGAGAGAGAAUGACAAGACAGAUGAAUUAUUUUGGCAGCUGGAUGGAUAUGAUGGACGAAGGUGAGACCAAAGAAAAGAGCAGGGAUAAGAAGAGUGCAGUACAAGAAGAGAUGUGUUCAAGACAUAAACACGAGUUUUCAUUGAGAAGACAGAAAAGAAGGACUAUAUUUAUGGAAUACUGUAAAAGAAUUUGCAACAUGACUUGGUAACUUCUUAUGGUAGUGAAAACAAUUAAACAAGAUGUCUGUCAUCCAAGGGUUUGACAGUGGCUCAGAAUUUAUUGCCAUUUUGAAUGAAAUAAGCUUAUUUUCAAGAAAGAAAUAGUAUAACUCGGGGGGGGGGAAAGAAAUAGCUGCUACAGUCCUUAUAAAAACAUUGGCUUAUAUUGCAAUUGAACAAUUAUUCAAUAUGAUACUUGGUAUUGGCUGGAAGGAUAGGAGUGGCAUAUAAAUGUUGUUUUGAUUACUUGGCAUAUUUUAUAAAUGUGAAUAUUGUAUUUAUUUCAGGACUGAUUCUUGCAUUCUUUGUUUGAAGCUGAACAAGUUUAUUGCAUUGAUUUCAUGAGGUGAAUAGUCUAUUUAAAUAUGUCCUCAGGUCGUGAGAGAUAAUAUUCAAAUAAAUUAAAGGCGACUGAAAACUUGGGAUUGACCUGACUUUGAAAUGUACAACACUGAGAGAUAACAGGCAGACAGGCAGACACUAGCUGUGAGUGAGAUGGACAGAGGUAUUGAAAUCAUAUCAGGCUGAAUCUCAUCAGACUGGUCCAUUUCAGUGUAAUAUUCUGUGGGCUCCUAUACUUGCAGGUGUGAAAAGAACCUUCCUGAGUGCAGGGAGUCUUGAAACAUUAGUAAUAAAACAGGCAAGAAGUAUAGUUUCAUGUGUGUCUAAAUGCUUCAAGAAGCACGUGGAUUUUCUGAAUUCUAUACAACUAUUCAGCAAUAAUAUAAUGCAGCCUCAGAGGACAGAGAAUAUAGAAACAAUGGUGUAGCGAACUUUUGCCCUUCCUCCCCUCGCCCCUUCUCUUUAUUUCAGUUGCAAACUGAUCAGUGUAAUAGUUUUUGAAAAAUGUAAAUCAAAUAAUCAAUACAAUACCUGGAGCCAAUAACAAUAAAUUGGGAGGUCAUAGAUGCACAAGUUACCUCUAUCUCUGCCACAUCUGUAUGGGUGCCAUUCAUUUAUGUAAGACGAAAAAAAUCAUCUGCUAGCUGUAAGUCUGUUCAAGAGAAAUUCCAAAGUCACACUGUAUAAUAAGUUUUAAUUUUGUGCCUCAGGUGUGGCUUUCCCUCCUCCUUAGAUUAUUUUCCAUUCAUUUAAAAGCAUCAGAAAUAGGUUUCCACAGCUGGUAAAGACAGGAUUGCAUUGUCAUAAAGCACUGAGAAAAAUUUGUCUUGGAGAUAAAACAGAUGGGGUUUGUUUUCAUGGUAUGGUAAUCACUAAUAGUUUUCCGUAAGAUCACAGUGGGGGAACUAAUGGUACAACUCACAAUCCCAGGAUUUUUGUUUACCAUGAACUGGACAUCUACUUUAAAGCCUGCUGGGUGUGAGGAUGAAGAGACAUUUCUCAGCUAUCAAAUUUGGAUUGGAUUUCCGCUCCUUGCUCUCUUGAUUUUGUUUUAGAAAUUUCACAACUCCCUUUCUUCCAAUCUCUUCAGCAAAAACUGACAACAGAGGACUCUUGUCUUGCUCUUAAGAGGCUCUCACCAAGAACUCUACACUUGUCAGCCAUAAUACAGAGGGAAAUGACUUUGAGCUGGUACAGCCAUCGUGGGAAACCUCCAGUCCACAGACUGUAGUCCCAAUAGGCUUCCUCAUUUGGGCCCAUGAGGCUGUUUUGGGCUGGCCACACCUAUCGUUUGCUUACCUCCUAUCAGACGCAGGAGAAGUAAAGCCACUAUUGCAAAGAAACAUUCAGUUCAGCAUCCUUCAAAUGCACUCUCCAUUAUUACUUAGAACUCACUGAUUGCAUUCAUUUUAAAAUAAAGAAAGCCCAACUCUCACUGCUCUUCUUGUGAUGUUUUUCUGUUUUCAUGUCCUUAUUUUUCUUAUUGUCUUGCUUCCAAAGGGAAUAACCAGAAGCACUGUGAUUUAUUGAUCACACUCAUACACUCUUCCUCUGAGGAACUCAAGGCCAUUUACAUUUGGUUCUCAUCCAAGCAGCCUUCAGGGCCAAAUAUGUUCAGCUUUAAGAGCAAAGAUGCAGGGCCAGCCCACUUAUGAGGCAAGCUCAGGUGGAGGCUGAAAGAUCCACAGGAGCAGCAGAUUUCUCCAGGGAAUUCAUUGCCCAACACUGCUGCAUGCUUCUUGGAGGCCUCAUCUGCCACAUUCCUUAGCAGUGCCCCCAAUGCAGCCUCUACACUGUGUUCUUAGCAAAUAGGAAGUGCUGCCGGUCCAUCCACCCUGAGGUAGGAAAUGGCAGGGGCUUCUCUCUGGUGCCAUCUGUCCUCUUCACUUGCAUUCAACCAUUAGAUGUUUGAUUUGAUUCAUUGCCCUUAUUCCCGAUGUAGAUCUUCAUUUUGUGGUUUGUCUCGGGUGCCAAAAUGUCUUGGGCCAGCCUUGAAAAGAGGCAUACAGAAUGUUUAGUUUACCAGAGAACGGGGCGGAGGAAGGGGUGUGUGGUGGGUGCGGACCACCCUGGGUGUCACCCCUGAGGGGGGGUGACAAAAUGCCGGGCGGCACUGUGGGUCCUGCAGCGUGUCCGAGCCAUGCGUCUCUCCUGGGAGAGAUGCAGUGGCUUGGGCGUGCGCAGGCUCCGUGCUGCCCAAAUGGUCCCCUGGUUGCUCCCCCCCCCCCAAUGAAGGGCGGCUGAGUGGGAGGAGGCAGGCAGACUCUGGAGGUCCUGCAGUGCACCCCACCCCUUUGGGUGGCUUGCCCCACCCCUAGGUAUGUUGCCCCAGGCACCCGAACAGCUUCCUCCACCGCUGCAUUGAAAAAUACAUAAUCUUCAUAAGAUGUAAGAAGACAGUAGGAUGGAAUGCAAUGCAACUUUCAAGUUAUGACAAAGUAGUAAAUGUUCUAGGUAUCUUAAAUGUAUGUGUCCUUGAACUUUUAGUCAUAUAACUGAUCAGAACAACCCCACAGCAACCCCAGACCUAAUCUUAAGCAGUGCCCAAGACCCAGUGCAAGGUGUAUGUGUUGUUGAAGGUUAAUGAAUUGUUUGCAUGUGCCUAAACAGGGGAAGGUGUAGAGCAGGUCCAAAUGCCUGAAAUAACUUUCUUGGGAAGGGAGUCUAAGAAAGCAAGGAAAUAGGUGUGACAACAGAUGAAUCAAUAGCUUAUUGGAAAACUAAAGAUGAACAAAUCGCCAUGUCCAGAUGGCAUUCAACCAAGAGUUAUUCAAAAACAUACAUGUAGAAUUCCUGAUGUUUUAACAGAAAUAUGCAACUUGACCCUGACAACAGCCUCCAUAAUUGAGGAUUGGAAAGCAGUCAAUGUAACAUGAAAUUUUAAAAAGUGAUUAGGGGGUAUCCUGGAAAAUACAGGUCACUGAGUUUUAGAAAGAAGACCAAAAGCAUUGUCAAUGAUAGAAUUACAAAGCAUAGAGAAGACUGAAUCUUGAUGCAAUGAUAAGUCCUAAUCUUGUUUUACUAACCUUUAGCAGUUCUUUCAUAGGGUCAACAAGUAUAUAGGUAGAGGUGAUCUAGUUGACAUUGUUUACGAUGACUUUCGAAAAGCCUUCGACAAAGUUCCUCAUCAGACUCCUGAGCAAGCUUAGCAAUCAUAGGAUAAGAAUUUGCCAGUAUGUGACUGAAUCCCGCAAGAAAAUAGCAAUAGACUAGAAACGCCCUUGGUUACUGUAAAUAAAUAAAUGGCAAUCCAUGAUAGUCUUUUGAGCAUGGAGAGAUUUAAUGUGUCUGGGUACCUUUAAAAAAAUAAAAAUAGAGACUGCCAGCUUAUUAAACAUUUUUAAAGGAUCUCUUUUAUGCCUUGUUAUUUUGUAGUAGCAAUUAUUUUAUCGAAAAUGUAUGCUGUUCUACUAAUUCAAUUCACUCCUUUUAAUUAAGACCCCCCCCAAAAAAAAAUGUCUAAUGAAAUCUGAGGCUAAGUCCUGUACAAUGUACCUCAAAAUGCAAUUUGAUUGAUAGAAGGAAUUAUUAAGACAGUUAGUUAUAAUGAAAAGAAAAGUAUGUUGCAUUGACAACAGAGCAUACAGUUUCUGCAACAGGGGGAAGGGAAAUCCUACAUGUUAUAACUAGAGUGGGCAACAGAGCCAGCUAAGCACUUUAACAAAUUUAAAAUAACUUCAUAUAUAUUAAUAUAGACAUUAAUUUGUCCCACGCACACACUUCAAGGGGGGAGAGCAACCUUUAUUUUCCAUAAUUUUUUGUAAAUACAUUGCUUAGCUGAACGUCCUUAGUUAGGGAAAUUGUUUGUUAAUUGUUGGGUGGUGUUUCUUUAAAGGGAAUUAAUGACUGAUCUAUCCAGAGGUCUCAUAAUCACACGUUGGGAGAGUGCGAUAGCUUUCAUGUCCUGCUUGGAGGUUUCCAUAGCCACCUGGUUGGCCACUGUGAAAAAUGUUGUACUAGAUGAGUUUUUGGCCUGCUCAUGCAGGGCUUUUCUUAUGUUAUGUUAUGAGUUCAAGGCAUUAGAGCCUGGAGAAUCUGAAGGGCAGAUGUGAAAAAGCAAUAGUGGUGGUGAGGCCAAGUGAAGCAGAAAGAAGGUGGUGAGCUGGAGGCACUUUACAAUCAGAGGUGGAAUAGCAGAUCCACUACCUUGUAGGUAUGCAUACUGUUCAUAAACACUUCUGUUUUAUCUGCAUAUUUCUGGAACUUUUGAAUUGGUGACUAAGGAUGGUGACUGACCAGAUUUGUGAUAACAAACUGAAGCUUAAUUCAGGUAAGGGAAAAAUGCCAUUGGCUAGUAAGAAGGCUGAUCCAGGAAUAGAAAGACAUUCUGGUUUGGGUUGCACUCCCCUUGAAGAAUCAGACAUGCAGUGUGAGUAUGCUCCUGGCCUUGUCCCAAAUGCCCAGUUAGCAUCUGUAUCUAGAAGUGCUUUUGCACAACCUAGGCUAGUGCAGCAAGUGUGCCUAUUCCUAGCAAAGUAGAGCUGGACAUUGUUGUGUGUGUGAUUCAUUAGAUUAUUGUGUCUGCAACAGAGUUUGCUUUAAGGAUCAUGUAACACUUUUGUUGCUGCACUGGUUUCUGAUAUGUCUCAAUGUGAAGUUGGACGUGCUGGGGAUUACCUUUAAGACCUAAACAACAUGGGCUCAGGUUGUCUGAAGGAUGUUUUCAUCCCAUACAAACCUAGUCACAGAAGGGACAAUCCUUUUGUGCAUCCUGUUAUCAUCUGAGGCACGGCUGUGUGUCAUUUUAGGCAGGUGAAAUGUAAUUUUUACAAAUUUCUGCACUGAUGGGUCUUUUGUGAGGAAUUAAAAAAUGCUAUUAUUUCUGUGAUUGGACAACAUUUAGCUUGGUAAAUCAUGUCUUCCCUAAAACAGGGCCUGUGUUGCGGUGAGACCUGGAGACUGACCUCCUGUGCUGUGGGUGGGUAAAUUGGACAGCCACAACACUCAGUUGGUAGGUCCCUUGAUGUUGGGUUUAAUCUGGCCAAUGGGGCGCAGUCCAAAUGGAUUGAGGGACCUAUAUAUACCCAUGCAUGUGACCCAGAGCUUCCUCUUUUGGCUUGUGCAUUCAGAACACCUGCCCACCUCUCCCUAUUUUUAGGGCAUUUUGCAAUUGACCUUGCUAUGCAGGGGCACGGCAGGAAUUUUCCCCACUUGGCUGAUUGGCUGUUGCUAUUUGGGUUUCACCUGCCACGUAGCAAUUUGUCACAACUUGUAAGGUUGUGGAUAGGCGUUGGUUCAGGUGAUAGGGAUGGAAGAAUGGUCUCACCAUCCCUAUGUGAAGGGUAUUCUCUUAAAGGAAUCCAGGGACUCAACUGGUUUGGUCAACCUCUGAGAGGGGGUUGUGCACGUGCCUGAGUCCAGGGGAGCAUCCGGGGCGUGAACAUAGUCUGUUCCUGGCUUUUUGCCUACCUCAGGUGUUCAUCCUUGCUGACCUAUUCUGGUGCCCUGGGUCAGCGCUGCCUGCAAGUCGAACCAGAGCCUAUGCAACCACUCACUUUUCUGUAAUUAAUAAAGUUGUGGCCUAAAUUCUGCCAAAAACAAAAACUAAAAUUUGAGUCAAAUGUGUGUUUAUUUAGGGGGGAGGUCUCUGGGUCUGAACACGCAAAUCUACAUUUGACUAAGAAGCAGAUAAAAUGCUCUUCUAAAACCAAAGAAUUGUAUUUUUACCUUAUGAAAAUGUCAGGUAAUGCUAUAAAAAAUUAGUUUCUCUGCAAAACACAUAUCCUACUAAGCAUACAACAUUACCUUCUGAUCAUAAAACAACAUUAGAAAGUAAUAACAUCAGUCAAUAAGGAAUUUAAACAAGAAGUUUCAUCAAGUCUUGCUUUGCUUUGUUCUUGAACAUCAGCCACCAACUUGCUUCUUGACCUCUGAUGUAGUCCUCACAUUUCUCGUAUGUAUAUACCUGCAAGCUGCAUUUCUGACUUCUUUCACAUCCCUCUCUAUAUAUUAGUGGUCUUCCCACCAAAGGAAACCCAAGCUUGUGUAGUGCUUCUCCUGCAACUUCUGACUGUUUGGGAAUGUGUAACAAUAUAUAUUUGUGAACAAACAUCUUCACUACUGAACUUGAAUUAGGGAUGGGUCAAUCUGUCAAUUUCAGUUCCUCACAGUUUCUCGUUUUUCCAAUAUCAUUUUCCAUAUCAGUUUCUGGGCUACCUGCAACCUUGUUUCCUAGCACCCAGGGAAGAGGAGAGGAGUGAAGUGGGCCUUCACACUUUGUAUACUAGUCAGAGAAAUGUAUGACUGUAUCCUUUACCAUUGCUAAGGGAUGUAUGAAUCUCUGCUUUUUGAAGAGAUUUUUAUUCCUGCCCAAUCAAAACCGCACAUUGGUCCAAUUUGUUGCUUAGCCAAAAUUGCACUAAAUAGACUUCCACUGCCAGAAAACCCUGAAGAAUCCUGCUUAUAGCCUGACACCAGGAGUUGGACCAGUGACACACAAAACAUCCAGCCACUGAGGAUUGGUGUUUCCAUGAUAAUGAUUUCUUCUUCUUUUGCAAAUUUUACAGUAUUUCCAAAUAUGCAAAUUAUUAUCUCUGAGCUUGUUAUCCUUUUCAUUGUGCGCCUCAGCACUAGAAAUAUUGCCAAUACCUAAAGAUAUUCUUAUUAUAUAUCAAAGCAGAACAAUUUAUUUCCCUGUUCUAGGAGGGGUGGUUUUUUUGGCAUUUAAAAAAUAUUUUUACUGGCCACGCCAACCUCUGCCAAGUGGUGCAUAAGAGUCCAGGAGUCUUGGCACUUGACCAGGGUUUGUGUUGCUUUGGAAUUAGGCACGGCGGAGAAACUAGUGUCAUUAAGAAAUAUGGUUUACUUACACUUAUUUACACCUGAGUUUUGAUGGAGUGCAGAACAUUACUCCCCAAAAGUGUGUCUUGUUGCUUCUUCCACAGCUUCAGCAAGCUUGGGUCCCGAGAAGAAGCCAGCCAUGUUCCCCGAUCUUUGAGUACAGCCACUUCCAGCUGGCCUUGCAUGGCCCCUCUCUUCUUCUUCCUAAAAAAGGUAUGUUGUGUGCAAAUGUUCCCUGCAAGGCCAGAUUUAUGAGGCCCUAAGCUACUGAAGGUAAUGGGACCCUUUAUAUGUCCAGCUGUCCUUUGUCAACAACAAAUUGUCACUGUUUUUUUUUGUGUUGAAUAUAUGCUAUAUGCUAAUUUAUGGACCUAAUUACAUCAUAGGAGCCUACACAACACAAAACACUGUUGCUUUAUGUAGGUGUUAUUUUAUUUGUUUUUUAUCUUAUAUUUUGGAAAUGUACAUCCAGUUUUUUCCUCCCUUUAAACUUCUUGGGGCCCCCAAAGAGAGUGGGGCCCUAAGCUAUAGCUUAUUUAGCUUAUACAUAAAUCCAGCACUGGUUCCCUGCACUCUUCCCGGGACUGGAAAGGGGUUAGUUUCACCUCUGGCUUGCUAGUAAAACUGAAUUACUGUGUCGCGAAAUAAUGCAUGUCUAUAAAGUGUGCCACCAACAUGAAAAGUUUAGAAAGCUCUGCCUCCAACCCUUGCAACCUCGCCCUCCAAACUCUUCUAUUGUCUUUUGCUAACUAACACACAGCUAGGGGAGGCACUCCCCUUCUUGUCUUACAUUGAAUGUCCCAUCUUUUGUCAGAGUAAUGACUCUGCCAUCACUCGUCUUUGUUCCUUGAAGGCACCUCUGUUGGCUGAUCUCCUGAACAAGAGGAGAGGCUUAGUCUAUAUUUUUACACUGUGCCUGGCAUCAUCCCUUAAUACUCCAAAUAUUAGCUAAAUUCUACCAUUUACUAAAAUAAGAAUUUUGGGGUUCUGCCCCCUCAUAUUCAUAACAAUAUUGUAUUUCUGAGCUCACUCAUUCUGCAUGCAACCUAGCCAGUAGGCAGGAAACGGGGAAUUGGGCAGGGCGGGAUUUGUAUUUAUCCAUCCCUGACCUGAUGGAUAAAUACACAAACAAAAUGAGGCCAUUUUCCUCCCCUCCCCCAAGAGCAGAGGCUUCACUUGCCAAGAGGAAAUAUAUGGGAAGUUGGUUUUGAUUUAUCAGGCCCCGAAAGCAAUUGUUGGCAGUUCCACUCAGUUUAGGAUGUCAGCCUUUCACUCCCUACUUUUGUUGCCAUCAUGCUACCCACUGGAAAAAUAAAAAAGGAAAAAUAAGAGCUGCUGUGCUGGUUGGGGGCAGGGGGAGGAGAAGAGCUGAGAUGGGAUAGAGAAGAAAGGAGCAUGAGGGUAAGGUCCCUAUGAGUUUGCGUGUAUGGAUGGGUUGGAGGGAGACAGCAAAGGAAGGCUUUCAUUUUUCAGCACCAUGUUGUUGUUGUUGUUUAGUCGUUUAGUCGUGUCCGACUCUUCGUGACCCCAUGGACCAGAGCACGCCAGGCACUCCUGUCUUCUACUGCCUCCCGCAGUUUGGUCAGGCUCAUGUUGGUAGCUUCGAGAACACUGUCCAACCAUCUCGUCCUCUGUCGUCCCCUUCUCCUUGUGCCCUCCAUCUUUCCCAACAUCAGGGUCUUUUCCAGGGAGUCUUCUCUUCUCAUGAGGUGGCCAAAGUAUUGGAGCCUCAGCUUCACAAUCUGUCCUUCCAGUGAGCACUCAGGGUUGAUUUCCUUAAGAAUGGAGAGGUUUGAUUUUCUUGCAGUCCAUGGGACUCUCAAGAGUCUCCUCCAGCACCAUAAUUCAAAAGCAUCAAUUCUUCGGCAAUCAGCCUUCUUGAUGCACCAUACUUCAGCACCAUACUUUCCACCAACCUGUGUUUCUGCAUAGAAGUAUGUGUGCAUAUGAGUAAGACGGAAAAGGCUCCCUUGGCCAGUCAUGGCCCCUUCACUAUCCAUCUAUCCAUCCAUCCCUCCCUCCCUCCCUCCCUCCCUGUGUGUUUGUGUGUGCGCGCGCACACGCUUUCAGAGACCCUAGAGGCAGCUGAACCAGGGGUACAAAUAAGUGAGUGGGUGAGAUAGAAACACAAUCAUCUACCCAUCAUUCUUCCUGGUUUCACAGUACUCAUUUCCUACACACAGGUCAUAGUCGGCAGUUGGUGCUCGAAAGGUCUUUUCUUUUUUUAAAAAAAGAAGAUGCUAGGGACUUCAGCUGUGAUGCUAUGGUUGAGGGAACCCCUGGUGGAGUGAGGACCUUUAUCCACCUAGCACAAGAGGCGCCACUGUGUCCUAAAUGCAAGCCCUUGGGCUCCUCCAGGCAACAUGCUUAUUGAGCAUUCAUCCUUAUUUGCUUGCACAAAGUGUAUGCAGGGUAAGACUGUAUCUUUUAUUCAGUAGUGCUUACACAUCUUCCCAUUAAUUAAUCAUUUGUUCAUUCCACACUUUUCAGUGUAUUUCCCCAUUACUUUCCUAACUGCAAACAGUCAUUUUUUUAAAAAUGAAUUUGUUAUACUUGGGUGACAGCACUUUAAUCCUCUUUAAUUGUGCCAGCCUUAAAUCCAUCUGACAAAAUACUGACAUCUGGGGGGCAACUUUAUAUCUAUUCUUCACGGAGUUGCUUUAAAAGAAAAAAUAUAUUUAGCUUUGCUCCAUAGAAUAAUUGAUGUAGAUAUGGUACUGGCUCUGCCAACCAACCCACCACUGACCUGUAACACCACCUUGUCCUGAUACAAAAUCCCGAAUAUAAUAAAAUUACAUCAGAUAAACAUUUGUGCCUUUUACCUUUUUAAUCAUCUGCAUAAAUAUGCAUUCAAUGUGUUCAUUGGUAUCUGGUACUUAGUUAAAAAUUACUGUAUGCUAGAAUACUGAGCAGUAAGAAAUGUAAAGAUGUAUAACCCUUGCGGAACUAUGGAAAUAUUAAUUUCCUGUGAAAUGAAUAUUCCAGAUGUUUGGAGAAACCAGAGUGCAGCAUGAAAGAAUUAAAUUCAGUAAUGAGGCAUCAGUCAGCUUAGACGAGUUAUGAGAGGUCUAAAUGUCAGUCUCAUCUAUUUCUUAGCUUUUUCACAGAUUAAAUUCCUUCUCUCGUGGGCUUGAGAAGGCUGGGGCUAUGUAGUCAGAUCCUGCAAAAUUCUUCUAGAACUCGGAGAUCAGGAAGCACCAGAGGAUUUGUGUGCUAUCAGUUUAUCUUGAUUAAAACAAUAACAACAAAGAUUUGUAUAAGAAGAAUGAUUGGUCGGUGUAAUAGAUUGCCUCAUAAUCACUGGUUAGUCAAAGACACAAGAAUAUAAUGUGCAUUUUCACUUGUAUUACAGACAAAACACAACACAAACAUUCAUCAAAGUAAUUUGGUAAAUCUGUGGUGGGACAAAAUGCAUAAAUCAUUGCCUGCCAUUCUGUAUUUGUAAAAUACCUGCAAGAUGCUAUCAAAGACAAUGUUUGUUUGUCGUGCAUAUGCUAUGAAGCAUUAAUAUUUCAUCUGAUCUUCUUUAUGGGCAAAAUUGCAAAUAAUUGUGUUGUAUUUACAGAGCAAACUAUCUCAAAUUUGGAGACAGGAAGAACAUUAUCGGCAUUAAAUAGUGUCCUGAAUUAUACACAUUUCUCAUAUAUAUAUAUAUAUAUAUAUAUAUAUAUAUACACACACACACACACACACACACACACACACACACACACACACACAGAGGCACCCCCUCAAACAUUCUUUAGUUUUCCUUCUCAAGUAUAACAUUCCACAGUGUAAUUGCAAAGGAAAUUAAAACUCUUUUCACAGGUUUAAUAAUAGAUGAGAUGGAGGCUUUGAAAUAAUUGUUUUUAUUGAGCUUUGUCAUCUUUCAGCACAGCAGGCAAGCUGCGGCUCACAACUUACACCUCUGUCAGCUCCAAGAUGGAUUAGAGAAAAACGGCCCAGGGUUCCAUUUGGAACCCAUCAGGAAGCAAACAGGUGCCAAAAAUCAAAACAAAACCCCAAUCCACCACCCACACGUAAACUUCUCAUAUUUUGGUUUCUCAUUUGGAGAGCUUCAUGUCGAGUCUUACUGGAUUGCCUGACAGGGCACGCUGCUGUGGCACACUUCGCAUGCCAAGCUUUGAACUCGCCUCCCUCUCUAAUCCUGUAUCACCAUGUGGCAGCUAUUGCCUGUUUUCAUGCCUGUGGAUCUGUGUUUUCUUUUCCAGCGCAAAGGAAACCAGCUGAAAGUGCCAUACAAAGCCCCAGAAGAAUGUGGCAUUAAAUAGGCUGAAAUUAGAUAUGCUGUCCCGCUUCACAAAUCAAACGAUUGACAUAGUUUCUUUUCAUGAGACCGAAAAAGUUAAAAUUGCACACUGAGAGAUUUUAGGCAAAAAGAAGAAGUAGCUGCCUAAUUUGAUUAACCCCUUAAAUCAUAUUUUGCAGCAUGUGAUACUAUUAAUCUCGGAACAGAAUGGCUUUAGGUAAAUGAGCCUGUGUGUAUAGGUGGGGAAUGGAGAUGAAUAUUUUUUCAAAGGCCAGGUUUAACUAAAUAUAAUGCAAGUCUACCCCAUCCAUGUCUAUCAUAUUUAACCACAAUUUUCUUAACUUGCAAUCAACUGGGCAGUUCUGUGAAUGUUCACUGGCCUCCCUUGGAAGGGCAGGAUGUAAAUUUAACAAUAAAGUAACGAAUAAAAUAAAAUAAAAUAAAAAUAGUCCUAUUGCAUUCAAUGGAGUUAUUCCGUGCUAUGGCGUGUGGGAAUCUGUAUCACUCCAGAAGUCAUUGGACUCCACCUCCCAUCAGCCACAGCCAUUAUGCUCAGGGAUGGUGACAACUAAAAUCCAACAACAUCUGGACGAUCACAGGUUCGCCCACCACUGCUAUCAAAAUGUAUUUAGGAAUUCAACCGAAAUUUUAUUUAACCAGUGCAUUUCAUUGGACUAAAUGAAGCUUUACUUCUACUUUACAUCUGUUGUACCACUGAGCUAAGUUUGGCCCUUUCACAAACCUAUUGUGUCUGACAUAUUGUAUCUAAAAAAUAAAUAAACUCCUCAGCUCCUAAGUAAUCCAAAUAGAGUGUUGCUGCCCCUUUCUUCUUCUGACUUAAUGUGCUGACAGAAAUCAACACCUCUGCCUAUAUGGCGAACUGAAUGUUGCCUCACCUUUCACUUCCUCCAAAUACAUGCCUCCAUUUUGUGUCGCACUGUUUGAAAAUGUAUAAUGAACACAUGGAGGAAGUCUAAGACCACACACCCUGUCCCCAUUGCCAAAGUUUAGAGAAUCUUUGCAAUAAAACAAUGAACACAUCCUACAAACUUCCUCUCUGUGUAGGCUCAGUGAACACAGGUCCCAAUUGGGCACAUAGAUGUUGGAAGCCAUGAGAGCAGACACAAUUUUGUUGCUCUUUUCCCAUAUAUAGUUUUGCAUGCUUUCUGGCAAUAUGAAAAAGAGCUUCAUAAAUAAAAGAGAGUAGUUGUUGAAACCUGGCAGUAGCUGCCUCACCAUUUGACCAAGGAGAUGACCAGCUCUCCGUUUUAAGUCUCUAAGGGUCAUUAUGUAGCAAAUGUUUGAAACAGCCUGAGAGUCAUUUUGAAUGUGGGGGCCACAUGUGUGUGUGGAUUUAUUUCUUUAGCUAAGGAAGUUCAAUUGGAAUACCUUUUUAGAGGACAUCUAAUGAAACUCGUUUUGCUCUGAAGUCACAUUAAAUUUGGAAUAAAAGAGAAGGAAUCAAAACUCUGAGCCAGUUCUGUUAUGUUUAUUUUAAUACCAAAAGGCCUAAUAGAUUUGAACUUUAUAUUUCUGCUUUCCCCCUGAGGUCUUUCUAUGUGAGCUGCUAAAUUCUUGAGGAAAGACUUCCUCAAGUAAAUAAAUAAUUAAUGCAACUGGCGAUUUCUUCCCGGCUGCCUCAUGUGCAAUUCCAGUAAAGUGAUGAUUUACAAUUCUUGGAGUCUGUGAGUAUUUGUGCAGAGUCCUUAGGGGUUGUGCGACUGAGACUCUACAGACUGUAAACAAUUUAUAAAGCUGUUGGCGAGUCGUAUUUAUGGAGAUCUUGAGCCCUGUAAAACAGGUGGCUUUCUACAUACAAAUAGAUUUAGAAAGGAACCACCUUUUCUGCAGGUUGUCUGUGUGUAUGUUUGUGUCCGGUUUUUACACAAGCUGUUUUGUGGUUGAGUAUUCUUGAUUCCACAGUUGUCUGCAAAUGGUAAAGAGAAUCUUAUGUGGCCCAAAUCUAAGUUUUUUGGGGAGACAAAAUCCAGCAUGCAGAUGCAAAACUGCUUCAUCCCUUGGAUGAUGGCAAGGAAAGUCCUGGAAGUAGCUUUAGAUUAUUAUUUUUUAAGGAAAAUUUCAUCAAACUAGGCAACCAAAACAGCUUUUAAAGACAGGAUACCUGUGGGCAUGCAAGAAAUGGAGUCCCAGUAAGUAGAUACAUAUAGGAUAGCUUUAUAUGCACUAGCAAUAGGAAAAUUACUUCUGAUUGCCAAGGGUGGUGGUGGUGGUUGUUUUAAUCAAAACCAUCUUGGGAGCUUUAUAACUCUAAGUUCUGAUAAUUUUGCAUUUCUGAGAAUCUGUGGGCAGUGGCAGAGCUUCAUGCUCCGACACCGGGGGGCGGAGCAGGCAGGGGCAUGGCAUGGCAUGUGUCUUUGGGGUGUGGCAUGCCGCCCGUAGGGGCAUGGUGCCCAGCGGGGUGGGGUGGCAGCCGCGAUGGCACCCCACCGGGAUUGCGCUGCCGGGCGCGGUGCGCUCCCCCAACACUUAUGCAGCUUGCCAGACAGAAUAAUACCCCGUCACCUGUCACUGUUUUGGGUGUCAUUGCCCUCCCAAUUAAGGGGGGGGGUCAUUAGAUUACCUUCUGUGCGAUGUGUGAGAGUUAUAUUAAAGCAAUCCAAGUUGGUGUUUAUUACUGCUACCAGUGAAGAGGCAUGCAUCUAAUUUGCAUGUGUUCUUUGUUCUAGAAACAAUUAAUAUAAUUUCUGUUGGAAUGCAACCCUUCUCAGGUGACAUGUGUUGCUGCUCAGACUAUUUUCCAGGGUCUAACUAUUUACAGACAUCUGCUAGGCCCUGGUCUCCCUUUCUGUGGUUUCUUAUAUUUAAAUCAGACGGUCCUUCAGUUAGAGUACUCCUUCAAACAGACGCUUGUCCUCUUCAAAGUAGGACACAUGGCCACCUGAGCUAGGCAUCACAACAGCUAAAAGAAAAAAAAAAUGUUUGACAUUUGUCCCAACAGCAAAUCCUGCCUGCAGGUGGGGAUGUGUUUUGCUCAUUUGCAUUUAAAGAGUCGCUGCUGCUUUCUGAUUUGAAUGGUGUGAAGCACUGGUUUUGAAACAUUUCCCAUGAAACCUGUUGGAUGGUGAAUUAACAACAACAGCAAAAUAACCACAACAGCAGCAGGAUAUUUGUACAUCUGAUCACAAGCCAGGCUCCAGUCUUCCAACAGUCUUCUUUAUGGCUUAGAGUUGCCAAGUUAAGUCAGAGCCAAUACCAACCAAUCAGCGAUAUCAGUGAGGCUGCUCCUUCACGGCAUUUUCCAGUAGCUGAGCAGAUAAACAAGAGACAAAAUUUGUAUAAAUACAGAAGACUGGAAGGUCACAGAAGGAAUCUCUGGAUAUCCAGUUGUAAUGGUUCUAGGGGUUGCUCGUGCGUAAGCCGGUGCAAACACCUGGCUGGAUUGCCUGAGUGAACCUUUUCUGUCCGGACAGCCACUCACCCGUGGCUGUCUCAAUCGCUGGCAGAAUCCGUCAGUGGGCAUUUCUUAAACUUCUUCCAGCAAAGAAGCUCUUCGACGCCUAGUCUCCUCCUACUCUCUCUGCGCAAAAGCCUUCUGCGCAAGGAGGGCGUAGGCAGCGGAGGACCUCUACUCUCCCCGCUGGUCCCCGGCAAGGAGUCAUGGGACCGCCUCACCGCUUCCCCCAUCUGCCCCCUUUCUCCACUGGUGCUACGCUGAUUCUUUUCCCCAGAAGAUUGGCUGCCUCUCCCAAUCCCGGGACGCUCUCUGGAUCCCUCUGGAUUUUGCUCUCUCCCUCCGGCACUAAUGACAGUUCCCUGACACCAGUGAAUGCAGAUUUGUUUAUAGGACAUAUGUUUAUAAUCUAUAGCCGCAUCCACAUAAUAAAUUGCAUUUGUGAAAGUAUGCAUUAUUGAAAACUGAGGUUCUCUGGUUUAGUAUUAAGCAAUAUAAUUCUUCACUCCCCUUCUUAGUCUCUUAAGAUGCAUUCAUCACAUUGUAGAAGGAAAAUCAAACUUGCUUUGUGUCAGAAUGCUGUUCGAAAUUGAUAUUGAAUUUAUGUGAAAACACAAUAUAGAAUUGUUGCCUAUCCAUUAAACCAAUGUUGCUCAAUAGACACUUCUAUUGGUUCAUUCUUCCAUUAGAGAUGAAUCACAUUUCGUUUCACUUAGUUUUGCAGGGGCCAAGGGCGUGUGUUUUCCUUUAACAAUCAACUUCACUGCACUGAAAGCAAUCUGAAGAAAGUCAGGAAGAGGUGUCAUAUUGAAAGGGUUUAAUUGUUAACUUAGAAAAACAACAACAAAACAUUCUGAAGCUUCCAGGUGCAGUAUUGAGAAUGCUUGAUGCAAUGAUAUGUAUAAUUACAUUUAGGAUCAAAGACACAUGUUCAGUGGACACGGGUGGUUCUGUGGGUUAAACCACAGAGCCUAGGGCUUGCCGAUCAGAAGGUCGGCAGUUUGAAUCCCCACGACAGGGUGAGCUCCCGUUCCUCGGUCCCAGCUCCAGUUCGAAAGCAUGCAGUGCAAGUAGAUAAAUAGUACCACUCCGGCGGGAACGUAAACGGCAUUUCCAUGCGCUGCUCUGGUUUGCCAGAAGCAGCUUAGUCAUGCUGGCCACAUGACCCGGAAGCUGUACGCCGGCUCCCUCGGCCAGUAAAAUGAGAUGAGCGCUGCAACCCCAGAGUCGUCGGCAACUGGACCUAAUGGUCAGGGGUCCCUUUACCUUUGCCUUUACACAUGUUCAGUGCAUCCUUGCCUUUAAGAUGCACAUGUAUGUGUGUUUUUAAAUGCAAAUAGCAAUUUCUGAGGAGGGUAUCUGAUUAUCAGAACAUUAAUAUGUGAGGCAUAGUAGCUUAUUCCUUUUCUAUUCUUUUGUAAUCAAGACCAUUAAAAAAAAAUCCUUCAAAGCUGCUGUUUGCAGGAGUAGAAAAGUUCUGAUUUGGUGCAGCUCUGGAGGAGUUAAAUUUUAUAAGGGACAAAGGGUUAAACUCCUGCUCGUUGCCUGCUUUAUAACAGCAAUUUUUAAGUUUUAUCAGAAAAAACAUGUUCAUAAAGGAAAAUAAUGGUUUGCUAAAUACUUUCCAAAGAGGCUUAUUUCUUUAGACAUGGCUAUUCUUUAGACAUGACAAUUAAUUUUUAAAUAAUAAUAAUGUCUUUUUAUUCUGAUGCUGUUUUGUUGUUUUUUUAGUGAAAUGCUACUGACCCCAUCAUGCAUCCUUUAACAGUGAAUUUUCUAUGGAAGAGCAUGCCGUUAAAAAAGCAGGGAUUUUUGUUUAACACACCACAUCUGCUGCAAUCUUUGCAGCACAGAUGAAUGUGCUUUGUAGCACUGUGUCUCAUCCUUUUGGGAAUAGUAUCUGAAUUGUCCUGGUUAUCUUGUAAUCUUAAACAUAAACCAAGUAAUAGAUGAGAAAUCACACAUAAAAUUGGUGUGUCACAUUAGUUAAGCUCCAAAGGACUCUCCAUAUCUCUGGACAGAAAGAUUUGAGGUUUGAUAAUAUGUGACUGUGUUUUUGUGUUUUGCUACUGCAUUUCACAUUGUAUGAAUUUUGAACAUCCAGGUGCUCUUAACUAUAACAGCAGAAAGAAAAGGAAAGGUGCGGGGGGGCUUAAGUGUAGCUGUUUUGGUUUCUGCUUCUCAAAACUGGACAUGUCUGCAGUUAAUUUACUUUAAUGGAGGCAAUCAGGAUUUAAGUCUGCCACAAUAAAUGCAACCUGUAUAUACAUACUGCAUGAAACGGUGUUUUAAAAGAUAGAUGGGGGGGGGGGACAAACAUACCAAUUUGGCGACUGAACAUAGACACUUUGGGCCAAACUAGUGGUGAUAUUUUUCUUUGCGUCUAACAUUCCGCUUUCUCAACAUGCAAAUACAGGAAUAGGACCGAUAAUUAAUUGGAGCCUGCCUCUGAAUAUGCUUUUACAUUCAGAAGAAAUUGCCCAUUGGUGCCAGUAAUGGAUUCUCCCCUCCAGCUUUUUUUCCAGGGGGAGCUCAACAGUACGCAGUACCAGCACCUUUUUGUUUUGUUUUGUUAAAAAGUGUGACACUUAGUGUUAACAACUUCAUGGUGAGUAAAGGCACCUAUUUUUCUAGAAAAUAAGGACUGCACCCCCCACAAAAACCCAAAUUCCAGCUUCAAAAUAGAGGUUUCCCCUAGAACAGCAGCAGGGAGGAAAGGCUCAAAUUCCUGUUCAUGCUUCCUCUGACCCUUCCACCAGGUGAUGCAUUUUUCAUUAAACAAAACUAAGCCCCAGGCAUCGGAUGCAAAGGAUCAAUCUGAAAUUCAUAGCUCUAAGAAGAUUUUCCCAUCCUGGCGAUAAAGUCAAGAAAGGCAGCCGCAUAGACAAAACCCAUACAGAAAAAUAUAGUUCUGUAUCCCACAAGGAUAUCUAGUAUGGAAAUCUAGUUUUGCACACUGAGGGGGGCAGACUUUUCAGGAGUAGGGUGUUGAUUCAUGGUUUGUAGCUCUGACAGAACACUCUGCCGGGAAUGUCACCUAUGGCGCACAGGGAUCUUGGCUAAUGAAAAAUGUCAGCCCACAUAGAAAAUAAUUUGUAGACCAUGAGCCAGAGUGUCAUGUGAAUCUGUGGCACAUUAUAUGAUGAUUUGUUGUUGUUGUGAGGAAAUUGGAAUUAGAAUUCUGGAGCAUGGCUACUGUGUUUAACAAGAGUUGAGGUUUUGUCAAGAUUAGUCAGAGACAUGUCUACAAAUUGAACUAAUGUAUAAGACAUGUGAUAUUGUCACAUACUGUUAUCGUAUACAGAUAGUAGAGGGUUUUUUUAAAAAAAGAAUGUGACUACUAGAUUUUCACAAUAAUAUAGCCGUUUUCUUAGAAGUGUUAGAAAUGUCCCUGGAUUUCUUAAAAGUGAUUAAUUGCUUAUUUAUGUAUUUAUUACAAAUAUUUACAAUCAGCUCUUCACCUGACUUAAAUAUAUGAACCUUGAACUAAAACUUCACUACAGAGCAAAUAUCCAGCUCUUUGGAGUUCUGAACUUGACUUUCUCUCUACUUUCACACAUCUUAAUUCUGUGGUUUUUCUUCAGAAGCUCAAUGGGGAGGAAGUAUGCUUAGGUGGCAGCCUCAGUAAUACUAAAUUGUCACUCAGUGACUCACCUCAGCAUAGUUACUAUACUUUACAUUUUAAAAAACUGUAAACAAGGAAGUGUCUCAUAUGCAAAAGUAACUCACCUAUCUUUGAUGCAUUAUUUAUAUGGGCUAAUCUUUCUAAAUCAAAAUACUGAAGCAGUUAAUAAGGACACCCUUGAAUAUAGAUCAGCAGGUAUCUUUGUUUUACCUUCCUCAGCUUGAGACACUUAUGAACAGAGAGACUGCUGAUAGGACAAAAUCUUAAGUGUUUAGUCUUUAGGAUACAUGAAUUGCUUACAGCCACAUAUUUUUUUAAUUAUGCCAAGGGUAGCAUAGAGAGAUCUAGAGACCUGAUUUACAUAGAAAUGAGCAGCCACCAUUAAUCUAGCAAUUUAAAACAUGGGAAGUUAAAAAAACCCCAAACUAUUAUUUUAUAUUACAAAAUUAGUUGUUAUGAAAUACGUUACCUUGGACACAUAUUUUUAAAGUUAGCACAGUGACUUAUUCAGGUCUGCUAACUCCUGAGCUGUCAAAAGACACAUCUAGGAACAUUUUGGGACAACCAAGCCAAGACUCUUCUCCUCACCCCAACACCUUUAACAUAUUUUAGUGUUAUUAAUAUCUUAAAGCUGAUGUGGACUAUUAUUCUAGUCUCUGCUAUAACAACAACAACAACUUCCCUAAACAGGGCUUUGUCAGUGUUGGAACAUUUUAUUUUUAUUUUUACCCCUAGGUGUUGUUACAGAACUUUUUUAUGUAUUCAUAUUUCUUGUGCUGAACUUAUUUUAUAAGACAUUUUAUUGUAUUAACUGCCUUUUGUGGAACAUUAUCUUUAGUACUAGAUUGAUAGAUGAUGAAUACAUGUAAAUAAUAAAUAAGCAGUGAAGGGCAAAGGGCAAGUCUUGGACCAUAGUGCUGGCUCUCUUCAAUUCCUUUGCAUUUUGUCUAUCACUAUGCUUCCACAAUCAUACAAGAGCUCAGUUUUGAUCUACUUAUUCCCAUAGUGAUUUCUGCAACCUUGAAGUUGUACAUCCAGACUCUACCUUUGCUAUCUGCUACUCUGCCUGCACUUUCCUGCAACUUAUUGCCCUGUGCUGACAGAAGGUCCGCAUGCUGCCCUUCCAUAAUUUCCCCCUCAGAGGUAAUGAAUAUUUGCAUUGAUUGCAGAAUGCACUUUUUAAUCUAUUAUAUCUUAUGGUUACAAGAAUUCCCCUUCCCAAAACAGUUGCUGUUUUGAAACUAGGACCCAGUCUUCUGAAACUGGUUCAUUUGGGUGCAGAUAUAACAUACUCAGUUGAAAAAGAAGCCAUUAACAAUAAAUCUUUGUUACAAAUAAAAAUGUCACCACCACUGAAUAUUUAGAAGAAGAGCUGUGGAAGCUUAACAAUCAUCUAGUCAUGAUUAAUAUAUUAUCACUUUUUAUUACGUGGUAAAAACAUGGGAUUAUAUUUGAAGCCAUAUUACUGUUAUGAGCAAUAAAAAUGAAUAGACUCUAAAUCAUCCACUUGCUACAAUGUAUUCUCUGCUCCAGUAAAUAAAUUAUUUAAACAGGCUUGUGAAGAUGGUGGAAAUACCUGAGAGGAGAGAGGACUGUUCUGCUGGUUUGGGCUAUAUUUAAUUUAUAUUCAUAAAUGAAUGCAUGGUCCAUUCCUAAAGGUUCCAAAUUUCUUCCCACAGUGUUUCAAAACAAUUUGAAGCAGCGGCAUGUAGUCAGUGGACUAGGGGGUCUAGGCUAGUCCCCUAAAUGUUCCUGGUAAAUUAGAGUAUUAACGUAUUAAAAGCCUGGCACAUCCUUCCCAAAGCCCAGAAGCGUCUGCCUGGUUUAGGGACGGAGACAGGAAGCUCUGACGGGGUCCAAGAGUCCUUUUGCCACCUAAAGGUUCCCAGUUUCUUCCUGCAGUGUUUCAAAACCAUUUGGAGAACUGUACUUCCAAAGCCAUGUUUUUGCACAUGGCUCAGUUUUAUCUGCAAUAUAGCUUUCUUCUGUUCUUACAUAGUUUGUAAGAAGUUUUAUUGAAUGUGAUCAUUUGCAUUUCUAUUCAGGGAGGAAUAUGCACACUGCUGAAUAUUUCCCCCCCACUAUAUUAAGCAGUAUAUUCUAAGUACAUGAUAAAGAAACAGCUAGCAACGGACAAAUCUGACAAUUUUAGUUUUUCAUCUUCUCAACCUUAAGUUCUGUUCUCCAUAUUUACAUACCAAUGUACACCUUUCAAGAAAAAGUCCUCAUGAAAAUUCAUCAGCAAAUUCAUCCACACACACACACACACACACAGAGUGCUUUUUUCUUAAAAAAAAAAAAAAAAGUUUAUGGGUACUCUCAUUUUCCCACUCAUAUUGAAAUACUGCCCCUCAAUGAGGCCAGAAACUUAGAUUCACAAAAUGUUUAGGGGUAUGUGUACCCUUGCAUACCCCCCAGAAACACACACACACACACACACACACACAUCUAUCUAUCAUCUAUCUAUCUAUCAUCUAUCUAUCAUAUUUCAAGGCUGAAGAAUGGCAUUGAACAAUUCAGAGAAGUGCAAAUUCCAAAUGUUGGUUGUGUUUGGGUUUGUACAUAUUUUAGAAAGUGUGGAUUAGGUAGAUUUGCCUCUAAAGGUGAACUGAACUGAAUUUCUACCUCACAUGUGCUCAAUCAGCACAACCUGUUUAGCACAGCUGUGAUGUCAAGAUGUGAGUAGGUGAGUAGGUGCACGCGCGCGCGCAUGCACACACACACACACACACACACACAAUCAAAAUCUCUGGACAUUCUAGUUUCUUGAAUUGCCAACAAAGCCUUCUAUAUCUACAGCACAAUUCAGUAUCCUGUUUUUUAAUGAGGAAGAGGUUUGUGUUGCACAACAUGUAUGUUGCUCAAUCAACUAUAAAUUGAUGUAUGCUUGCUAUUUUGGCUCUCACUAGUCCUUUCCUUCAUUAAAAGUUCAAACCAAUAAUGAUUUGUCCAUCUUUCAUGCCCUGUGCAGCCCCCCUACUGCUUCCCUGCAUUUCCAAGUGGCUGCAUGGACUGCAUGGUAACUCAGAUGGUUCCGUCAGCUUCCAUCAAUCAUAACAUCUCUAUGCUGUACAUACAAAUAGAUAAUCAUAUCUCACACUCAGCAAAUGAUCUUUUAAUUGCUAUGCUGCUUUCACUGUGGUAUGUUUAAUCUCUUUUCAUGAAGAAUGGUAGGCCAGAGAAUAGGGAGAUAGGAGGGAGCAAUCAUAUCUGAAAACAAUAUGGCACUAGAUGAAAAUCUCUUUUUUUAAAAAAAAUGAGACAUUCUGAAAGAAUGAAAUAAAUGACUUUAUAGCUGCCUUCAGGAAAAACUGGAACACUGCUACUGAAAAAAAUAAAUUAAUAUGAAAUAUAUUAACAUUUAAGGCUUUGCUAUAAAAUUCUACCCAAAGUCAUAUUGGCUCCAUAUAUCUUCAGCCAUGAUAACUAAAAUAUGACAUUUUCUUUGGUAACUUUUAGUAUCUAACUGAACAAAUAUUUCAUGUAACUGAGGUAGAGAAAUGCACCACAAAAGGAUUUAAUGUGCAAAACUUCUAUGCAAAUGCAUUUUCUUAAGUUGAAAGAAGUCUAUUCCUUUUCACAUUAAGUACUUAAAAGAGAGGGUUUUUCUUUUUCUUUCUUUCUUCUAAAGUACCUCAGAAGUGUGCAUUGUUUAAGCUAUUUUUUCUUAGGAUAUAAUUUUAUACCUUUUGAAACAACAUAAGGGUUUUGAUUGGUACCCUGACAUUUAAUAGCAUUUGAAGUUACAACAACAUCAUUACCUUGAAUUAAAGUACAUGAAGAUCGGUCUACCAAGAACAGCUUGGCAUUGUCCAAGGGGCCUACAGGGCAGCAUUAUGGUUGUUGUUGUUUAUGUAAACAUAAUAAGGCUACAGUUCUACUUCCAGCAUGGCAAAUGGUCAGAAAUAAGUGGAGUUGGAUUCCAUCAAUUUUGGAAAAAAUCACAGUUACUCCAUCCUGGUUGCAAAGGUUGAUGCUAGUGCAAGUUCUUGAAGCAUCUGCUAUAUCUUCUACACCAAUCUCCUUCCCCCACCAGUUCUAGUUCCUAUGCUAGAGCCAUGGCCGAGGAAGUAUUGCUGUUGCCUCAAGAAAAUGCUGUAGUUCUUCACAGAAGCACACACAAAUACAAAAGAUGGCCCAAAUCGGUGCCAAGAAAACGGCUGUGCCCAAAUGUCAAUAUCUGUUGAUAUUAACCUUCAACAGCUGGGCUCAUGUCAAAUUGAUCGGAGCCAACCCCAGCGUUUAUUACUACUUACAUUGCAAGGACACAGAAUGAGGUAACACAGUAAUGAGUAGAUACAAAUGAGUUUUGUAACUUCUGUAGCACUACCAGACUUGAGAGAGGCAAUAAGAAAAAAGCUAUUAUCUGCUUUUUGUAGCUGUUUUAAUACGUUCCAUUUGAUUUAAUGCAGCUGUUGGGGAAAAUGGCAAAAGAAAAUAGGUCACUGUGUAUUUCCCCCCACUCCUUUGAUAAAUGAAAUGAUAUUUACCUGGCUGUGCCACAAGAAUGAUAUUUACUUUUGCUGAUGAAGGAAAAGUAGAGAUUUUUCCUGCUCUUAGCCACAUUACAGUGUUCCACGAACAUUUAUAUAUUGGGGACAGGUUCACUAUUAUGGUAAUUGUAAAAAUGUUUGCAAAUGCUCUUGGUAAUAUAUGUUUUAUAAUAAGUAGUUUGGCACAUUAUGGGAAAAAUAUAUAUACUUUACAGUGAUCUAGUCAGUACAUAGAUUGAUAUGUGGGUUUUUUAUACCCAACAUUUUCUUUUUUUAGAUAUUGUGUGUGAGAUGUGUUUUAAAUUAAUGCACACUUUCAUCAGCAAAUUAGUAGUUAUGGAGGGUUAUUCAUAAAUUGCGUGUCGAGGUCCCCGAUCCACCCCCAAAAUAACUCACAACGGAGACGUAAUUUUUUGUUUAAGAUUUUUGGCAUGAUUUUGGCCACAACUUUAUUAAAAUACAAACGUGAGUGGUUGUUUAGGCAUUGGUUAAGACUAUCUGUCCCCCCGCCUGGGGACAGAACUGACUUCCGGGCACCACCGAAAGACAGUGCGGGGGAAAGCAAGUCGGGGAGAAAUGGAGCUGGGACACAGACCCUCAAUUCUCACCCGCCUGCUCCCCGAAGGCUUGCCGGCCCUAGUCCCAUUCCAGGGAUUGGACGAAAAGAUGGCAAGCCCCAGGAUUCCUUUAAUGGAAUUCCCUUUCCGCAGCAACCAUGGAGGGGCAGGCCCAGCCUAUCCUAACCCCUCCUCCAGCAGAUUUAUAACCAAUGCCUAACCACAACCUUACAAGUUGUGACGAUUUGCUACGCAGUAGGCAAAAACCACCCAGCCGGCCAAUUUGCCAGGUGGAAAAUUCCUACCAGGCCCCUGCUCAAAGGCAGACGACCCCAUGACAGGCAUAGCAAGGUCAAUGCAACAACCCCUUACUCUAGGGCGGGUGGGCGGGUGAUCCGUUGCACGCAGCAAAAGAGAAAGUACAAGGCUGUGUGCAGAGUAUUUAAACCCUUUACCCCUCCCACCAAAAUUGCAACACAACUUUUGCCCCAGCAACUCAGCAAUCCAAUCACUGCCCCCUGGCCAUCUUGGAGAACUUACCCAGCAACAAAGGGGGUGGCUCAGUAGACCCCACCGCAACACGUGCUCUCCCUGAAGGAGAACACGCUUUGUCAGUCACAAAUCACCAUGCUGACAUGUGUCUAUGCAUGCAGCAUGUCUAAGAGGUGAUUCUGUUUGAUAACUGGGGUAUGUGCAUAUGUAUAUGUGGAAGUGAACACACUUGAUAUAAUCAUGUUAUGGUCCUGGCUAGUUGCCCAGGAAAGCAUAAAGACAAGGAAAAGUUUCUUACAGUUCUUUUUUAUUUCAAACUUUACAGAGUGAGGCUAUAAAACCCAGAAUCUUGGAUAAUGGUGUUGUCCUAGGUGAAUCUCCACCCCCGUCGCUCCCACUUCUUCAUGCAUUGUGAUCAUCACGUCCUCUAUGGCUGCUGCUAAGUGCCCUCUGUCUCCAAUCUCUUUGCUCUCCUACUUUUAAGGCCUGCUGAGUUCUGGGAGAUAGUGGGUCUGGAAUGCUUUCUAAUGACAACAUGUCAGCCAGCUGCUCUGGCUCUCCCAUGAUUUCCCAACUUUCUCCCUCAUCUGCCUCUGCACCAUGACCUCCCUCAAACCCCUGUGGUAAAUCUUCCUCUUUCUUCCUCUUUCCUGGAAGUGUCAGGAUGGAGAGGCAGUCUUCACCACUCCUCCUCUUCUGCCCAGUCCCUGACAACCAGAUCCAGGUUCUAUUGGAGAAGACAGAUUCUCUAAAUCCAUUUCAAUUGAGAUUCAGGUCUGGUUUUGGUGUGGAAACUGCCCUGAUUGUCCUGUACAAUGCCAUGUGUUGGGAGAGAGAUUGAGGAUUGUGAUCCUGUUGAUCCUCCUUGAACUUCCAGUUGAUGUCAAUUCCAUUGACUAUGCUGUGGUGGUUCAACUCCUGUUUGGAUGACCAGCUCCAGAAGGUAGUUCUUGUGGAGCACUGAGUGGUUUUAUGCAGAGUUUUGAAGCAUACUGUCAUAAGUAUGCUCGUGGCACACAACUCUAUUUCUCCUUUUCAUCUUCUGCAGCUGAAGCAGCUGAAGUGCUGAAUCAGUGCUUGGAAGUAAUAGUCAACUGGAUGAGGGUAAAUAAACUGAAUCCAGGCCAGAUUGAGAUAAGGUUAGUGGGUGAUUCUUUUGUCCAACUAUAUGCUGUGCAACCUGCUCUAAAUGACUUGGUCACUCUCUCUCUGCAACCUCCUGCUCAUUCUGGGACCUCAGAAGACUCCAGGAAGAGGGAGGGAAGAAGAUUGAGCAACUAUUCCAAAUCUGUCAACCUAGAGUUCAAUCUCUAGUUUACAUUCCCACAUUGCAGGUACUUGGACUAGAUUACCCAUGGGGUCCCUUCUAACUCUACAAUGGUGUGAUUCUAUUAUUCCUUUGGUGCCAAGAACACAGUUCAUGGGCAUCGACUUGCAUUCUGAUGGGAAGUGGAAAUUUGGUGGUUAUGACAGCUGAGCAGCACUAAACCCCACUUGAGGGAUAACGGGUGCAGGGAGAGAAAGAAAGAAGAAAAAGGCAAAGAACUCACGAGUGCACAUAGUGCUGUGCAACACCACCUACAUGUCUAGCUGGGGUGGGGUGGGAAACCAUUGCUCUCCUCCACUGAUUCUGCUUGCACGCCAAAGGAGGUAUGAAAGAGAAGCCAGGGUGGUCCAAGCUUGUUGAACAUUUGUUUUGGCUUUCCUCCCUUCCUGCUUGGCUCAGCAAAAUGGGCACAUGAUGUUGUGGUUUUGGGGGAUCAAUGGAUCUGAUUCCAAAGACCCCUGAAGCUGACCCUGCUUGCUGACCCCUCAGAGUUGCCACCUUGGGCAUUAACUCUUUGUUUUUGGAGACACCUAAACCACUAGCGGUGUCCUGGCCAUAGAACAUUUAACAUGUUUACAGGUAUCAAAUCUAAGUCAAUAACAAUUCACUGGUUUCCAGGUGAAGCACAAGGUGUUGGGUUCCCCACCACCUACCUGUUUCUUUACAGCCCUUACCUUUCCCCACUCAUAGAUAUUGAUCUGAUCCAUCUUCCUUUUUCUUUCUUCUUUCUUUCUUUCUUUCUUUCUUUCUUUCUUUCUUUCUUUCUUUCACCUUCUAUCUGCAAACUGAAAGCAAUAAAGAAAAGGGAAAGAGGAAGGAGAAUGGAGAAUGGAGAAUGGAGAAUGGAGAAGUGAAAGGAAAGGAAAGGAAGAGAAGAGAAGAGAAGAGAAGAGAAGAGAAGAGAAGAGAAGGGAAGGAAAACAGAUUCCAAAACAAAGAAGAUGCAGGGAGUUGCAAUUGUAGCAACAAUGAAUAGGUUUCAUGAAUUGAAUGUGUCAAAGUAUAAUCCUGCAUUCCGGCAAAUAAAGGGAGAAAAUGAGCUUUUAAAAAGAAGCAUUAUGUUAAUGGAGACCUAAUAAAAAUGGCAAAAUUAAAUAAUACCAGUGAAGGCAUCCAGCCCUUGACAAAUGUGUAACAUGCAGUAAUAAUGAGAGACUUCUUAAUAGAAAAGUGAUGAUUUUUCAGGGUUCCAAUUACACCUAAAAAUGUCACGCUUUUAGAUCAUUAUUUUUCCUCCUUCAAUCUCUGGGCAUUAGACUGCUCAUUUACUUACAAUACUUAGCAUAUUAAUCAUCGCUCUCAGCCAUUAUUCCUUCAUCAUACUAUGGAUUUCCCUCCUCUCUAAUGUCUUACACACUUAACUCUUCACUUUUUUAUUUUUAAAAAGCUUUUCAACCACUUCCAAGAUGUAGGUGGUUGUAAACUCAAUUUGAAGGUGGUUUAUCUUUUGAUUAAAUAUAAUUUCACACACUACAUACAUUUGUCAGGAUGCAAGGACUGCGCCCUAACCUUGAAACAAUUUUACAAAAAAAUAAAUAUGCAGCCAGCUUAUUCCAGGAAGGGAAAUUCAUAUGCAGAAGCAGGCUUCUGUUGGGUUUGGAAAACUGUUUACAGAAAUUGUGGAUUGUGCCUGAACAGAGAACUGUUCUGUAGUAGUAGUCACACUCCUCACUUAUCCUCAUGUUCUUUCAGCCAAUAAAUGAUGGAGUUAGGAACAUAUGCCUGGGGAUAGUGCUUUCACAAACUUUUCUUUUUGGUGCAGGGGGUACUUAAUGUCUACUCUUCUGGAAUUCCAAUCUCUUGUGGCAGUAUAGCAAAUUAGAAAAGGAAUUAUGCAUGAACUAUGAGGAACCUAGUUAUUGUGAUGAAGUUUUGACUGCAUCUAAUGAUUGCAGUCAUGGACAGAAUGCUGACUCAGUACCAUAAUCUCUACCUGUUAUAUCUCUUCUUUGAACUUGCAAAUGGACAGCUCGUAUCAGUCAGAGGAAAGUAGCAUGAAACAAAUGUCUCCCAAACCGCACCCAUCAAACCCUACACAUUCCACACAGAAACUCUGCUUCUGAACUUUCUGCUGGCUAACGGUAGUGCAAGAACUGAUGGCAGCACCUUUCCAGCUGAAUGGAAAUGCUCAAACCUUUGUCAUGGUGAAACCACCCUGAACCAUGGUGCUUCCUUCCAUUAAUGGCAGCUGGGACAGCUUCUGUCUAUCACUGAUGGCUAUGAUCCAGCUCAGUUUCUGUUCUCAUUCAGUUGCCCAUUUUUCCAAACUUAAAUUAAGGUGUGUGUUUUUUUUACAUUUUGCAGCAAUCCAUGAUUUUUUAAAAAAAGUUAUCAGCAUUUUCUUCUGUUAAACCCAUUUUAUAUGCAUUCUUGUUUUUACAAAUUUACACAUUUUUGCAAGCAGGUUCCCCUAAUAAAAUGUUUUUGUAAGUCCCUACCACCACUAAUAUUUUCAUUUCUAGGACCACUUUCUCUUAAAAUACAGUGGUACCUUGGGUUAAGAACUUAAUUCAUUCUGGAGGUCCGUUCUUAGCCUGAAACUGUUCUUAACCUGAGACACCACUUUAGCUAAUGGGGCCUCCCGCUGCCGCUGCGCCACCGCCGCACGAUUUCUGUUCUCAUCCUGAGGUAAGGUUCUUAACCUGAGGUACUAUUUCUGGGUUAGCGGAGUCUGUAACCUGAAGUGUCUGUAACCUGAAGUGUCUAUAACCUGAAGUGUUUGUAACCCAAGGUACCGCUGUAUGCAUAUUUGUAAUCAUUGUUUAGCUAACCACACCACAAAAUUCAAUGAAGUACAAAUUUUUAAGGAAACUGUGUUUUGGUUCACAUAUUGUGUCAGAAUGUGCACAUUUGAUAGAUUUGGCUUUAAAUACAUAUUGAAUCAUCCCCCCCCCAUCCCUACCUGAGAGUUACCACCACUGAGAUUUACUUUUGAGUAAACUUGUAAACAGCCUUCAUGUAGAAAAGGAAAUUGUUCUGCAUUCCUAAAGGAGUUAUCUGGUCUGGGGCCAAAAUGCAUGUUGAAACACACAUUACAUAUUCCUCUCAGAAACCCAGACCUGGAGAGACCUGCUUUUAUGAUAGCUAAAGGAUGAAAUUAGUCAAAGGAUUUAAAAUAUUUCCAUUAAAUAUUUAAAGACAAAGAGCAUACACAGCUUCUGACAAAUUAAUAUAUUGCCCGCCUUAUUUUCAACCUUAGUUCUACUACUGAAAGCAUUAGAGAAUAUCUGCAGAUUCAUAGGCCUCAAUGUCUAAUUAGCCUAGUUCAAUUAAAAUAUAAAUCUCUGUGGAAUAAUAGAUUAUCAGAUUAUGUUUUCAAUAUUGACUAUCAAACAUACUUGCAGAAGGAGUUUUCCCUAAGCAACUCAUUUUAUUCUUGUUAGCCUAUGCCUUUAGGGUUUCAGGACUGAUAAUGAUCUGUGCUGAUGAACCUUUGUAAUGAAAGAAAUCUAGAGGUUAUAAGUAUCUCAUUAAACAAGAGAUGCAUCUCAGAUGGAUUUGGGAGCCUUGUUCAUAUUAGUAGUGGCAGAGAGACACUGCCUCUGCUGAUAUUCAAGACUUAACUAGACUUAAUGGGGGCAGGGACACAGAGAAUGCAGCCACUGCUUCAAAAACGGCUACCUGGUUCUUCCUCAUCCUCUAUACAUCCUGUAGCAACCAAGCAGGUCCUAACAUACAAGGCCCUAUACAGGUCAUAAUCAGGUUACUUGAGCAGCUGCCUUAUCCCUUAUAUUCCCAGUAGGUCAUUUCAUGCUGCAGGAGAGCUUAUUCAAGUCUCAAAAAGAUCAGAAGCUGCACAGUCACUUCGAAUAGGGCUUUCAGUGUGGCUGUUCCUAUUCUGUAGCAACUGUUUGGAGAUAUGAGGCUAUCUACACUUUUCCUGAAACACCUGAAGACAUUUUUUUUCUUUUUGUUUCAACAAAAAGUGUUUCUUCUCCUUCAGGAAGGGCAAUAUAAAAGGGUCUGAAAUAAAAUGAAUGAAUGCUAAGUCAGAUGUAGCUAUAUCUAGCAAUAGUUUUAAAAUAGUUGGAGGCUGCAUCAGUUUUGGGAAGCACAUAAAACAUUGCAGUUCGAUAGCAACAAAUGUGAAGUUCACCUUAGCACAGGAAUCUGGUUUCCACACAAGCUCACACACCCCUCUAAGUCCACCCAGUCAUGGCAGAGGCAUUAUCAGAUUGAAGGAUAUGUUCCAGCUAUGCAAAUACACUUCAGGAGGACGCAAAGCAAGGUUGGUAGAAAUGUGGCCUGAGGAGGGUGGGGUAUGGUGUGUUGAGAGUUCUGAUGGCCACAUAUAGAGCCUUGGAAGACCCUAUUUGGCCCCCAUGGAGAAGGUUCCUCACCACUGUGAUAGAAUUCUGUGCUUUGUUUAAACAAUGUUUUAUGUAAAUAAAACUAUAUGACAGAGGUAUUGUAUCCCUGGGGCUUUCCAGAUUGCUGGAAUACAAUUCCUAUCCACUCUAGCCUGCAUAGACAGUGGUGAGGAAUGAUAGGACCUGCAGUCCAGUAAUAUCUUGAGGGCCACAGAUUUCACAUCACUGCUCUACAGGUUUAGUGCAUAACAGAAAUGGAAAGCAUUCAAGGGAGAAAAAGAGAUUAUAAUAGGAAAAUAUGCCUACAGAUGUAAUAAUAAUAAUAAUAAUAAUAAUAUGAGGGGAGUGAUACAAUGCAUGCUCAAGUUGAUGAGAAACAUACUGCACAAAUGUAAGCAUGUUUGGUUAAAAGUACAUCACACCGUUUGAAUGCACUUAUCCCAAAGUGAGCUUAAGUGGGUUGCUGUCCAAGGCUGCCAUCCUGUACAAAGAUAUCUGUGGCUUUGAUCGAGUUUCCAUUUAUUCCUCUGAGACUCUCUCUUGACUAAGCAUGUCUAAGGUAGCAGUUGGUCUUGAAAUCACCAACCAGUUAGUGUGUCAAGGCACUGCACACCUUUACACAGAAACACACACACACACAUAAGGGGACAAUGAUAUUUAAACACUAGCAUUUAAUGCAUCGUACCAUUAAACUGACAAUUACGAAACCUCUGCUUUUAAGAGAAAAAGUGACUGAAAGAAACAAGAAACUUUUAAAAAGAACUUUAAUUACUUAUUCAGAAUAUUUCUCUUGAGUGAAGGGCUAAUAAUUAAUUGAACGGAGAAAAGACUGUCACAAAUUAAUUCAUCACUUUGACAAAUAGGAAAAAUUAUAGUUACUUUCUUUGUGUUAAUGUGCAUUUAUUACUUUCCUUAAAAGCUAUUAUGAGUGGAACCCAAAGGUGCUGAAACUACUUCAAGGUGUUAUAAUUGUAUUUUCAAAAACAUGCAGUAAUGGAAGGAUUUGAUUUAAAAAGUAUAAAACAUAUUAGCAGCACGAAUAUACAUGAGGAUAUAUCUCCUGAUCUAAUGGGAGCCUUGUAACCACAGAAGCCGGCUGUGCCAGAUAGGAAAUAUUUCUUUAUUUUUUAAAAGAGUUUUAAAUAGCUUUUCAAACUUAAGCUUCACAAGCAGUUUACAGUUGAUCACAUUGACUAAAUUACACUUUUAGAACCCAAUAAAACCAUAUAUAAUAUCAAUUUAAACACCCAAAAUGUUGCAAAAAUUAGUGCUAGACAAACAUGAUACCCAACAUAACAGAGUCUGACUAAAACCAGAGUGGCCCAACAGUUAACUAUUAAAAGACACAAUAAGCAGAUGGGGUCUUUAAAGCUCAUUUGAAAAUACUUGUGGAAGGAAGCCUCUAUUCAGUGGAAGGAGACCUCUAUUCCACCCACUGCUCUCUACACACAGUUCUGCUGCAGUUCAUUUUCCACCCAAAACUGUACUGUCCACUGUGGCAAUAUUAUGUAACUUACAUAAUUCACAUAAUUAACUAUGUAAAUGAUUUUGUCAUUACCAUUCAUUUCAGUACAAACAAAACAGAGGGGAAGGUAAUCAAUUACCUAUGGAUAGUAGAACGAAAGCCACACCAACAGGGAAUACUGAUAAUAUUUGCUGAACUGAUUUCCAUUUUGGAUGUGUGACAUCCAUCAGUGAUUAUGUGUCCUGUCUCCAUUUUUAUCAGAAUUUUCUGACAUUCAUAUGGCCUUCAUAUGGAUUCUCAUAGAUGUGGGGCCACUGCUGAAAAGCCUUUGUUUUGCUUGAUCAUGAACUAUUCAAUCAUAGAUGCAAACCCUCCAUGUGUCCCUAUUUUCCAGGGGUGUCCCUAAUUUAGAGAAGUCGUCCCAGUUUCUGAUUUGAUCCUAGAAUGUCCCAGUUUCCUUAGGAGGUCCCUAUUUUCAUUGGACAAAUGUUGGACGGUAUGGAGUUAUCCAACCCCUGAGCUGCCUGAAGGCAAUUCUGCAUAGGGAAGUUUAAUGUUUUAUUAUGUUUUUAUGUGUGUUGGAAGCUGCCCGGAGUGGCUGGAGCAACCCAGUAAGAUGUGUGGGGUAUAAAUAGUAAAACUAUUAUUAUGGAAUGGGACUUCCCUAUUUUCAUCGGAGAAAUGUUGGAGGGUAUGUUGAUGGUGAGCAUCUGAGCAUUGCCUCUGAGGAUGAUCUUAAAGUGUGGGCAGGUUGGUACUGGUGGACAUGAUCCUUCAGUUAACCAUGUCCCAAAUUGUUAAGGUUUUGGAAGAUUACUACAAACAUUUUGAAUUGGCCCAUAGCAAUAAUGGGAACUGGUACAACUAGAAUAAUAUAGGUGUACUGAAUGCCUUCUGUCCAUCCCCAACAAGUGUCUGGGCACCUGUAUUUUGUAGCAGUUGCAUUUUCAGAAACAGGUGCAAGAAGGCACUGAGCCUCUGAAUCCCCCAACUGAUCCCCUACCUGAGACUUCUGAGAUGUUCAUAUAAUCUUAUCAAGGCCCUCCCACCACCCAAUAGAAGACAGAUGAAGGAAGGUCUUGGGUUAUGGUCCCCUCAUCCAUCUUCACAGGUGAUAAGUGCUCUUGUUCUUGCUGACAUAUAUACACAAACUGCAGUACAGUGGCAGUUCAGCCUUUCAUGUAUUUAUGGAUUGGCUCUGUCGUAUAUUUGUCAUAGCAGUGGUACAGAACAGGGAAAUGCAUGGUUCUCAGCUUACCGCAUAACCACUUUGCAGAGUUCAUGGCAUCGGAGAAGCCUGUCUGUGAAUGUUCAUAAGAUUCAUGGUUGAAGAAUCUCUCUGUGUUUGUCAGUCAGAAACCAGCAUCUGGGGAAGGCACAUACAACUGACUGGUUUAGUCAGAUACUACACCUAACCACUGCUUCUUGGCAGACGCACCUAACCCUUUGUUUUGCAAGAAACACACAGAAGGAAAGGAAGAGCAUUCUAUUUUAAGAUUUUAAAAGCUUAAAAAUAAAGACUGCUAUUGAAAUCCUUAAUCAAAUGGAAUAUGGCAUUUUCUCAGCAAAGCAAUACAAUUAAAGAAAAUUAAAUAAUAAAGAGCUAUUAAACUCCUUGGUAGAAUAAAACAGUUCUGAUGCUCUUGAUGCUCCCUUGAAAUUGAAUACAGUGGUACCUUGUUUUAAGAACAGCCCUGUUUACGAACUAUUUGGUUUAAGAACUCCACAAAACUGGAAGUAGUGUCCCGGUUUGCGAACUUUACCUCGGUCUAAGAACGGAAUCCGAAUGGUGGAAGGGCACUGGCAGUAGGAGGCCUCAUUAGGGAAUGCACGGUUUUGGUUUAAGAACGGACUUCUGGAAUGGAUUAAGUUCAUAAACCGAGGUAUUACUGUAUAGUAUUUGUGGUGGGAUCUUUAUACCUGUGAAGCCUUGUAACUCCAGACUGACAGGCAUGCCUGCCAAGAGUCGCUGAAUGCCAUAAUUCCUUGGUACAGAAUACAAACCUCAGUGAUUCUCAGUGCUUCAAACUCAGUUAUUUACCGGUACCUAUGUUAUUCUGGAGAAUAACUCUGUUCUUCCCUCUUUGCCAUCCACAAACCUACUUGGCUUCUUGCCUCCAGUCUCCUUCCUUUUACUCAGAGGUCUCCAACCCUCGCUCUCAUUGAUGCCGUUAUGUCAGUAAUGCUGGGUAAUAUAGCUUGGGCUGAUGGGGAAAGGAUUAGAUUCUAUUGCAUCUACAAUUAGGAACAUGACAGGGCAUAGAAGCCAACUCCUAGGGACUGAGGUCCCUUCAAACCCCAUAAAAUAUUUGAGGGGCUGAUACCCAUCAAAGUUGAUGUGUAUUGUCAUUCAAAUGGUGUGUGGGCAUAUGUCUUGUGAUUGUUUAUACUGAGUGGGGCUUAUUGAAGCUGGCACCUCUGUGACAGGGGCUGCUUUAACCUGCAUCAGUUCAUAAGAUGUUGAACUAUUUCUCAAUUUGAAAUCUGGAUGGAAGCCAUUCGACGGCAAAUGGGGGAGAAAUUUGGUUCAUUUCACAUUUCAGUGCAAACUUACCUAAUUUGCAAUUUCUGAAACAAUGCCUCAUCUCUCCUUACCUUUCUCCAUGGCUGGCAGCAGUGCUCCAAGAGCAUAGGAAGUGGGGGUUUUGUUACUACAAACACACACACCCUGACUUCCACAUGGAUUUCUUUGGUCUGUUGUUUAUUGCUAUACCUUAUCCACAACAUGUAUCUUUUCCAUUGGAAAUGGCUUGCCCUGUUUGGGCUGCAAAAGCACAGGGUCAUUUAUACUAAGAAAUUAUAAAGUUAACUAGUCCAAACGCUGAAGACUGUAGGCGGUCAUUCCCCACCACCACCACCAAAAAAAAGACCUAACAAAAAGUCUAAAACAAGUUUGGUUAUCCUUCUCUCUUUUUGAUGCUGGUUUAUAUGUACUUAACUUUGCUGGAUUUUGUUCAUUGAUUUCAUCUUUACUGUAAGUACUCUCCGAAAGCCAUCAUGCAACUCUUCUAGUGCAUGCCUCACUACACUCACAGACUCUACAGAUGAACGGUUUUGGUGUAAGAGAUUUCAUAUUUCAGUAUUUUGGCUUCUCUGAUGAAUAGAUAGUUCCUCUUUCGAGCUGUAAUGUUUUAGGUGCAACACGGGCCCACAUCAUACUUUAAGCUGUCCCCUGCAAUCAUUUGCAGUAAUAUUCAGAGCUAUAAUCAGACAACCUAAAAUAAAAAUCAGUGUUCAGGAGACUAGACUGAUUUUCAUUGGGAUUAUAUUGCUCUUUGAGAAGACAUUUAACCUUUCCUUCCCCGACAAAAUCUCCCAUGCUUGUAUAUGUGUGUGUGUGUGUGUGUGUGUGUGUGUGUGUGUUAUUGGGAACUGUUAAAACGCCUCUUUCACCCCGUGGUCCCAAUGAAUAUUAGCCCCAUAACAUUUGUUGUUAGCAAUGAAAAAAAUGAAAGUUACUCAUGGUUUGGCACAUCUCUCUCCAUUUCAGGAAUGAUUUGAGGUGCUACAUGGCUGCUGCCAUAGCCACAGGAGGGGCCAAUCCUCCCCAGGAACUCUGGAAAGAAAGAUAAUGGGGUAUGUGUAAGAGGGGUACAGGGUUUGGCAGUACAUCUCUGCUCUCCCUCAUGGGAUGACCAUUGUGUGAGUAAACACAAUGGCCGAACAGUGGUUCUGCAUUUAUGUAAAACUUCUUCUUUUGCUAGUGGUCAGCACCUUUGCAGUAGAAAACAUGUUUUGCAUGCAGAAGGUCAGUACUUUGGAUCACACAGGAGAACUGCUUCCAGUCAGAGAAGACAGUAGCGGCCUAUGUAGGCAAAUAGCCAAAGCUAGACAUGAGUGUAUGGGCUUAUUACUAAGGCAGCCAGCAAAAGUUGCAUUUUUUUGUCCUGCAGGGAUACUUACAAAAAGAUCUUUUUUAUUCUGUUUAAACAGCCGCAAAGGCUCAGCUGAGUGCAGGCCAGGUAAUGUAAUCCAUUUCCCUAGUGGAUUUGUUCCCCCAUCCACCCCUGUGCAUUUCACUUUUUAAUUCCAAACAAGGAAAUAGGCACAUUAUCAAAAUGAAAACCUCCAGUAUUAUCUAUCUGAAAGACUGAUGUUAUUACAGUAAAAAUGGAAUGUGACAUCUGUGGAGGCACUUUAAAUAAUGCUGAAUUAAGAAACACAAAUGUUAUACAUGUGUGUACAUGUACAGUGCAAUGCUGUUUUUAUUUAUUUAUUCCUGUCUGACCAGGCCUUACCCUUAUUAUAUUAAUGGCACAUUCUUAGAGCAUGCCUAGAACCAGCCUGAAUUUGCCUUUUGACUGCAUUCCUAAUUAACUGGGAGUAAAACCUACCAAAUGCAAUGGGACGUAACACUGAACAGAUAUGUAUAGAAUUGUUGGUGUGGCAAUGUGAUCUUCCUUUUAUAUAUACAUAUAAGUAGGACUUGAUUUUUUUUUCUAAACAAACAAAGCUGAAUUGCUUAUUUAUAUUCUCUUCUGUCAAAACAAUUAUUAAAACUUGGUUUUACCUCAGAAUAAUAUUGCCUUCCCAGAUGCUAUUUGAAUAUGAAAUAUUUUACCAACCGAUAGAUGUUAGAUAGAUAGAUAGAUAGAUAGAUAGAUAGAUAGAUAGAUAGAUGAUAGAUAAUUUAUACAGUGGUACCUCGGGUUAAUAACAAUUCAUUCUGGAGGUCCAUUCUUAACCUGAAACUGUUCUUAACCUGAGGUACCACUUUACCUAAUGGGGCCUCCCGCUGCCGCCACGCCACCGCCGCACGAUUUCUGUUCUCAUCCUGAAGCAAAGUUCUUAACCUGAGGUACUAUUUCUGGGUUAGCGGAGUCUGUAACCUGAAGUGUCUGUAACCUGAAGGGGCUGUAACCCGAGAUACCACUGUAUCCUGCCCUUCUGCCCAAAGGGACCAGGGCAGCAGACAAGAAGUGACAAAACAAUAAAAACUUCUUAGAACAGUUCCAAUACAGAUGCAAACUAGAAAAAUCUGCCUUUAAAGGCUUGUUUAAAGCAUAUUUUGAAGAUAUGAUUUGUAUUUGCAGUAGAUGAAGUUCUGGGACUGACUAAAGGAGGACAUUAGAUUGGAAGGCAUGCUUUUUAAUCUAUAGAGGUCAGUUAUAGACAAAGCUGACCAACCUAGGGCUUUUCUACAUUUACCAUUUAUAGUGUUAUAGUUGCUGGGGGGGGGGGUUCAGUUUUUUUGGCAUGCUGCCACACAAUGUCAUCAUUAUUCAGCGAAUGAACAGUAUACUGGAAAGACCCCACUUUUUAUACGACAAACAAAAAACUCCAAAUUUUGUGAAAUUUCUGGAAUGGAUCCUCAAUAUUUUCAUUUGUGUGGCAUGUAUACAAGCACUUGCCCUGUUCUUCAUGUGAGACAUUGGUGGUUCAUAGUUGUGGUUUGGGAAACAAUCCUUUCAUUUGACUUUCCUCUGACUGGUAUAAGCUCAAUAAGGCAGAUAGAAGUGAUGAUACUGAGUCAAAGUACUGCUACCUGAAAUUGUUAAGAAAACCAAGGAAAGCAAAAGUAUUUUAUGUUUUAAUUUGUUUCCUUAAAAAUCUCAAAAAGUCAAGCUGCCAAGAUGGCUUCUACAGCUUCUCACCAGAAGAAGAAGAAUUCAGAAAUGGAGAUAACAGGAAGGAUUCUCUGACUAAUUUCCAAGAAUGGGUUCCCUGCCUCAUGAGUAAAUUUCACUGAUGAGGAUAAAUUUCAGAGUGAAACUGAAUACUUAAUAUUUAUCAGCACUAUUUCAUUGUUGCUGAAACAUGACUAAGUGCAAUAACAUAAGGAUAAUGGUUUUAUUUUUCAAGCCUAAAUCUUUAUAGCAAAAUAUGCAUCUCAAUUUAAUCUUACACUUAUAAUACAGUCAGUGAACAUCUAACAUUUGUCAAGAUUCAGCAUCAGUAGCUUUACUUUGUUCAGAGGGGAAAAGAAAACCCCAAUGUCCUAAACCAAAGCAUUGAGGAAAAUCAGUUCCUAGAUUAAAAACAGAAAAUCCGAUAAAAUGAUUUAAAACCUGGGUGGGGAUUAACCCAUUUUGAUAAGCAAACUAGUUUUGAAAAUGAAUCUUUCUGAAAAUAAUUUUCUGAUGAAUUAUAUUCCUCUCCCAAAUAUCUGCUAUGAUAUUUAAAUGAUGCACAUUCUUGAGCAUUCUUGGAGCCACAUGCUGUUUGUCUUUUGCUGAUGUGAACUUUGUUGAGAAACUAUUAUUUAUAUUAUAUUUAUAUUAUAUUAUAUUAUAUUAUAUUAUAUUAUAUUAUAUUAUAUUAUUAUAUUAUAUUCUAUUAUUUAUUUAUAUUUAUUUAUCAAAUAAUAUAUUUCAUAUUUUAUCAAGUAAGGAUUUCCAAUAAACUGGGAGCAAUAACCCCAAUCCAACACAAGGGAGAGCAGUUAAUAUUAAUACUCUAAUCCAUCUAAGGAGAUAUUCAAAUGUGAACAAACAGGUGUCAUUUGCUGUAUUUGGAACUAUUUAGAGUUGCCAUACAUCCAGAAUUUCCUGUUCAUAGUGGAAAUUGCUGAAACGUCCAGGAAAAUUCAGAUGUAUGAUGACCCAUGUUGGCAGUGUUGUUGGCUCAAAAAUUCCAAAUAUUUUUGAGAUUUUGCAAAAAAAAGCAAACAGCUUUUCUGUCCACAUUUUCACUUCUUGAAAUAUGACAACCCUAAAGUAUGUGUGUAAUUCAGGUAGCUAUUUGCAUGUACACAUGAGUACAGUGGAACCUUGGUUCUCAAACGGCUUUGUUGAUGAACAAAUCAGCUUCUGAAUGCCAAAAAUUCUGGUUUUCGAAUAAUUUUUAGAAGCUGAAUGUCCGACACAGCUUCCGCUCCUGCAGCCAAUCAGAAGUCGCACCUUAGUUUUCGAACAUUUCGGGAGUCGAAUGGACUUCCAGAAUGGAUUAAGUUCAAGAACCAAGUUGCCACUGUGUGCACAUCUACCUGGAACACCUUCUGUAUGUCCUGUAUUUUUUUGAGUGUUUCCUGAUAUUUCCUGAUGUUAAUUGUAAUAAGUAAGGAGCCUGGUUUAGUCAGGAAAAGGAAAUCAUGCACACUGUAGAAUUUGAUGAUUCACUGGGUUAGCUAAACAUUUUCAAGGAUUGAGAAAUGGUGUUUCUUGUUGCCGCAGUGUUAGGCAGCUUCCAGCAGCUGGAGUUUCCAUUUCCCUUCCACAGUAAUUGGACUGGAAUAGCAUGGCUGGAUGGUUCAUGCAACAUAGUAUUUCAGGCAGCCCCCAUAUAGUUCCCAUAAGCCCCACAAAGCAUAGCCAUUGUCAUAUGGACAGAGUUGAAAUGCACAAGGUUGGUGAGGAAGACAGAUGUAAGGUGUCUGAUAAUUGGCAGUAUUUCAUCAUAUUAGAUUAAAUAUAUUAGAAGCAAAAAGCAUUGCAAUUAUUCCACAGGAAACUUAACAAUGCUUCAUUGUUUAAAAAGCAACUGACAUCAGCUUUCUUAUCUUUGUUAUAAAGCUGUAUAUCUCUCACUUGGUGCAAAUAUAAAUAGCAGAUAAUCUAGAGCUCUUAAAGACCAAAAGGAAAUGUAAUCAAUCAUGAGCUAUCAUUAUUGCUCCUAUAAAAGUUAUUUGAUGAAGUUUAUGGGUUUUACUCCAUAACUUGACACUUUAUAGGGCUCAUCCUACCAGUCUUACUUUCAGGCAUAUGAAAGGUUAAUAAGCUAUAAAAUAUACUCCCAUUACUGUAAAAAUAAUGUAGGUAUUCACCAUGCUUUAUGUUUCAGUAGAAAACCAGGCAUCUUGUUACAUAUUUUCUCCAAACCAUGACUGUUUACAGCCAAUGCGCAAGAUAUCCAAGGAAACUCUUGCAAUCAAUAGAAUGCCUACUGCUGCAUUAAAUUGUCCACACUUUGGAGUAACAUUUUAAACAUGUAUUUAUGUUAUAAUAAAGUGAAUUGGAUCCUAAACCUUUCAAAGUGAGAGUGUAUUUUAUUUUUUCCCCUUACAAGGACAGUAUAUAGUCUCUAUAUAACUGACUGAAAUGUUCCUAUGUUGUACAUUUUAGUUCAAACUCCUGGAAAGUUCUAGGUGAAUUAAAAAGUUAGAUAUUUUUCAGUUUGACUUUAGCAAAUUACAAUAGGAUCAGAAUAAUUUUAUAGUUUCUGUGUGUAGUAGCAAGAACUAUUGACCAGAAUUAACUCUACAACAAUCAAAAUAUUGUUCAUCUCUUAUAAAAACAUGUAGUAUGGAUUUCUGAAUAUGUGGCACUUUUUUUGCUAGACCAGGAGUGGAGAACCUAUGGACUACCAGAUGUUGACAGAAUGCAGCUUUCAUCAUCCUGGCCACUGGUCAUUGGCCAGGGCUGUGCUUAGACCUAGUAAGCGAAUGCAAAUACAUCUUGUUUUUUAUGACCUGAAGCCAGAAACAUAACAUUACAGAAUCUCCCAUCCUUAGCUACAAUAUGUCAUUGACAAUGAUACUGUGUAGUCUUUACCCGCAUAGAUAAGAAAUGUGGGGGGUGGGAGCAUUAAAAUUCUCUGACUUUUGCAUUGCUAUACUGUAGCAUACUUUAAAAGAAUCACAUCAAUUGCUCUGCUCGAUUUUGGCUGUGGCCAACAUUGAUAUGAAAAAUCUCAGGAUGAAAAAUCUUCCCCACCUCUGGGGCAGCCAGUCAUAGACCUCUGUAGCCUUUAGCGUACUGAAUUUUGCUUCACACUGCUUGCUCUUCCAUGAAUUCAGAAUGCCUCAAUUAAAUAUAAUCUUUCUUUUCUUCCAAGUAACCAGUCCCAUUAUUUAUAUCUCUGGCUUCUUUCCAAUUUCCAUUAUCAACUUCAAGGUCCUAAAUUUUUUGUUUCAUCCACUCUGCCAGCCUCUUUCACACAUCCUCCUUUCCCUCAAGUUGUUUUUCUUAAUCUUUCAGCCCUAACAUUUAUUUUACUCAUGGAGAUGCCAUUGUGCUGUUUAUCCUUAAAUGUAAGCAUUAUACCUGAAGUCUGCAAGAAUAGUACACAAAAUAUGUUUGUCAUGUUAGAUAACAUUCUGGUGCUUUUGUGAAUAUCUUUUCUCGUGAAAAUCAAAAAGUCAUGGAAGUUCUUUAACUACAUUCCUGAAAAGAAUUCAGGAGUUAGAAUCUCUCUCUCUCUCUCUCUCUCUCUCUCUCACACACACACACACACACAGUGAGAGUGAGAGAGAGAGAGAGAGAGAGAGAGAGAGAGUAUAUAAUAUUACUAUAUCUUACAGGGAUACACUUCUAUUUUAUUUAAACUCUGAAUUUCAACAUGCUUUUCUUCUGAUCCUUUCUUCAGCUAAGGCACGUCAGACUUGUAAAUAAAAGGAUUGAAGGCUGUCAGUUAGAAAUGUCAUGUCAGGCUGUCAAUGGUUCAUGAAUAAUUGACACAGAGAUUACCUAGGGAAAGCUGCAAUUAGCACUGCUCAUUAACAUAUGAACUAAGUCUGGUUUGUUUUGUUUUGUUGUGUGUAAGAAUUUUCCUUAACUCUUUGAUCUGUGGAAACAAACAAAACCUUUCUGCAGCAUUUAUAAUCAUCCAAAAGGCUCUUCAGUUCAGCCAUGUAUCUGGAAUAUUUAUUCUUCUGAAAUGCAUUGCAUUUCCCCACAUUUUUAUUUACCACAGAGGUUCUUUUGUGUGGUGUGAUGUAGUGUGCAGAGUUUUAUUUCAAUACCUUUUCCAUGUGUAUUUCUUGCUCAUGUAUUGUUGAAUUUAAUUCACCAGAUGAGUAAUUUCUUAGGAUUUAGAGGACAAAUCAGACUGAAAGGGAACAAACUAUUAAACUUAAAUCCUCCUUUGUUAAACAGCUUUUGCAACAGAGCUUACCUCAAUAUAUAUGUAAGCCCUUCUCUCAGUGACAUUUAACCCAGAACAGACAUUACAAAAGCUAUUUCCUGAUAACCCACAGGAGGGAGAUAAUUCAGACCUUAUUUGUACCAACCAGAUUUUUAAACAGUCAUUUCUAAAAAAGAACUGGACAAGUAUUCUUCUGGCACCAUAUUCAUACUGUUCCAUUCAAAGAGCAAGCACCUGCCCAUGAGAAGUUAUAAAAACAUAAUGGUUGGAGCUUCCAUCACAAAACAAUGUCACAGAUAGUACACUUUAUGUGAGCUACAAAAAAAGGAAGAGAAAACAGCAGUGCUUUCUUCUUGCAUACCUAUAAGUUCAGUGUGAAAAGAACCUGUGUAGUGCAGACUAAAUCUCAAAUAUACAUCAGGGUUGCAGUGGUGGCUUGUGAAGGCAAGCCAGAGACAAUGUCAUUCUCCUGGCAGCAGUGCUGCAAUCAUGAUGGAACUGGGCAAAGUGACGAGACUGUGGGAGCUCUGGGGAGACGACAGUCUCAGCUGCCAACCUAGAACACCUAGAUUGCAGAACAACCUAGACUGAGGAACCUCGCCACUCCCUCAACCUAUCCCAUUUCUGCCCCAAUUAAGUACAGUGUUGCAGCCACCGGGAAGCUGUCACUGCCUCUGUCCCCUCCUGGGAGGCUCCCUCACCUCAGAAUCAGAAGACAAAGGCAGUGUUUGAAGGACAGUUUUGGCUGUGAUGUGACCCAGAGGAGAGAGAAAAAAGGUUGCAGGUUGUUAAAGGCAGCAAGCAGGAGAGAGUGUCAGAGCACAAUGGGACAUUUCUGUUUGAAUCCAAGCCUGCAGCUUUUGGAUGAGCAAGACCCACUUGGGGUGUCAGUGCUGUGAAUACCUCUCUCCGUCCUUCAGGUUGAACAUGAUGUGUACAUUAGGCAUACAUCAUAGAAACACCACAGCGUCUGCUGUACAUCAUUCACAAAACGAAACACAAAUCCUGGGUAAGCACACAUGGAACCCCUGGAAUCUCACACCACUUGGGAAUUGGGAUGGUGUGGAACAAUACCAUAAAUGUAAUUACUAUGAUACCCCUUUAAACAGUCAUGGCUUCCCCCAAAUUAUUGCAGGAACUGUAAGGUUGUGAAAAUUCUUAGGAGACUCCUAUUCCCCUCACAGAGUUACAAUUCUCAGAGUGGUUUAACAAUCAAUCUAUUUUACAGGGAACUCUGGGAAUUGUAGCUUUGUGAGAGGAACAGGGGUCUCCUAACAAAUCUCAGUACCUUUAAUAAACUACAGCUCCCAGAAUUCUUUGAUGGGGAAAAGUCAUAACUGCUUAAAGUGGUAUCAUAGAGCUUUAAAUAUAUGGAGUAAAUGUGCCGUUAAACCUAAAGAGCUAGAUACAAAUCCCCUCUGAGCCAUAGAGGUCACUGGGUAUCUUUUGACCAGUUACUGUAUUUCAGCCUAAUCUGCCUCACAAGGAUGUAAGUGUUAGGAUUCUUGUUCCAUGUUUGCAGUCAUGGGACUGUUUUAUAUCACAUGACGGUGUAUGUUUUCAUUCCACAAUGUGGGAAGUGAUGGAGACAGGCUGUUUGGAUUACUGUGUUUCCGUGAUGUGGGACUAUUGUCCUUUGUUCUUUCUCUUUGCUGUCUGAUGAGAAAGAGGAAGGAGCUAAAUCAGAAUGCUCCAAGUGUAUUAUAUGUAGGUUAGCCAAAAUGCUGUGCUACUGAGUAAUGUUACACAAAUUGCAAAUACUCUGCAGGAUCCCUAAGCUUGCUAAUGCCUUUUGGCAUCAGUCGCUGUGAUGUUUAGGCUGGAGAAAGCUUUUGAAUCUCCCAAACAACCAACCAGGAGGGAGAGAACAUGCCAGGUUCCUACACACGAGUAGGAUGAUCCUAACAGUAAGUAGGAUACCACCACAAGGAAACAUGCAUGUAUGGAAGAUUUAAACUCAAUGGGGGUGCUUCAACCUCCAUAUACUUCUAAAAUUUAAUGGUAUUUUAUAUGUGUGGUUUUUUCAGCAAUAAAAUAUAAUAUUUAGGACGCUUGCUGAACUUGCUUUUAGUUGCAUCAUUUUCCAUUUUUAUGGGUGGAUCUUUAGUUCUGUUAGGAACUUAACUCUAGCUUCAGAGUGGCCUGAGGGGUUUAGGUUAUAGACCUAGUUAAAACUUUACUUUUCAUCAGGUAGCAAUCUGAAUUUUAAGUCUAAACUAUGAACCAGUUUCCCAUAUGUAAUUUCCAUAUUUGAUGCCCUUCCCUUCAGGUCUCAUCACCUUUUGGAAACAAAGCAGGAAUUAGAGACUAUCAAAUCAUUCUAUAUAGCCAAGUUGUAUAAAGAAAUAAUAAAAAAUACUUUGGUAUAAUGAGCACUUCAACAUGAGCACACAGCCAAAGUCAUUGGCCUCAUGGGAUAAACCAAGGUAUUGCCUCUCAAAUGUAAUAUAGCUCAUUAUAAUGUAAGCCUUCAUUUUAGACCCAUGCCUAUUGUACCUCUGACCCAUGUAAACCUGGUGAUAUUUCAUCUCUUAUUCAUAGCUCAAACCUGAAACUGACACAAUCGAAAACUUUUUCCCUGACAAAAAUAGAUCAAUGAAAACUUUAUACCUUUCCCAUUUUCUAAAUUUAUCUAUUCUCAUCUUUAAUGUCGGUCUUAGUUUGCAUUGCAGAAUGUCACAAAAACUAUUUUUUUCCAGGAUUUGCAGCAAUUAGUUUAGCAGAAUUGGGCAUCAGGCAUAGAAUCGUUAGGAAUACAAUUUCAUAUGCAUAUUUGUUAGUAAGAAACAGACAUUGGCAAUUCAUUGUAAGCAUACUGCACUUGCAAGAAUGGACUUUCUGAUUCAUUUUCAAUUCAGGAGGUAGCUUUAUGCACAAACAAGUUGGGUGUUGGUCCUCUAAAACCAAGACAUGCAGAUGUUCUGGGCACUGACCAUGGAGUAGGUGGAAUUAGUGGCUUUGUGAGAUAUGGCUGAAUCUGUCAGUUUCAUUUUUAACCUGUUUUUCAUUUUCCCCAAUCUUCAAUUUGCAAUCUUUAGUCUACAUAACUAAUAAUAUUCACUUUUGGGGUGAAUUUCUGCCUAACACAAUACAUGUAUGUUCAUCUCCCUAAUAUACAUUUUUCUGCAGAUAUUCUCCUAAUAUAUGAAUUUUUGUACAUAUAUUAUGGCUGUCAAACUGCAUCACAAAAUCCAGACAAGUGUCCAAUUCAAAGCCAUCUUUUUUUGAUUAGUGUAUUGUUUCAGUGGCUCACAUUAAAAUGUGAACUGAACCAAACCUCUCCACCUUCCAUAGUUUUGUGCAGAGUGGAACAAGCUCCUGCUCAAAGAGUUUUUAGGGUUGCCAUGUGUUGUCUUUUUCCAGGACAUGUCCUCUUUUUCAGGGGUAAAUUUUGAGACAAAUUGCAUUGAAUGGCUGUCACAGUGUCCUCUUUUUUUGCUUUUCAAAAUAUGGAAACACUAGUUUCUAUAACUGAAUCAAGCCAAAAACUGAUUUCCAAAGAUAUAUGUUCUUAAAGCCCACAAAUGUGUAAUGAGUAUAACAAUCAUAUUCAUUAGAAAUUUAUGGUAUGAAUGGAGGAAUGAGUGUAGGCCUGUUUUUAGGCUGAAGAACACCACUCUAAAAUGGUGUCUUGCUAAGACUUGUGGAACUGAUAAGGUUGGCAAGUGAAGUGGGGAAGAAGUGCUGAGUUCAUGAGACUUGGUGUACAAACAGGCUGAUAACAAAGGAUGGGUGUUGAGCAAGAUUGACUAAUAAGGAUGUGAUGAACUCUGGAAUGUGAUGAACAACUUGGACGAGGAACAGAUGGUGGUGAAUCCCCAGAGAUGGAAUAUCUGAUUGAAAGUAUAUAAAGAAGGAACUUUCCAGUGGAAAGGUGUGCCAGGUUCCCAGCGCUGCAACGCCUGCCACCCGUCCUCUUGCCAAUAGCCUGAUCAGCUACUGGUGUAGAGUUGGUGAGCAUGACUGAGAAUGUGUGUGUGUUAGGGACUGCAGUUUCAAUGUAUACAAUAAAAAUGCUUUGCUGAGUUUCAACUCUCUGGGUCUUCUUGUGUUUCUUUCUCCUUCAGAACCAGCUAAAAACAGAUCAAAAGAACCUCUGAUUUGUAACAAAUGUGCAGAAGAUACAAAUGGCAAAGCUCUUGCCACUGUUGCCAAUGUGACUCUUUUUUAGACUUAACAACAACAACUGGCACCAAAGAACAAACUAAACUUAGAGAAUUUCUCCAGCAAAGUCAAAGCAAAUUGUUCCAUGUGAGAGUAACUUUAUUAUCAUUUAAAACCUGGAGCUUCUGUAACUGUUAUGUUCUCGCCUCUGGGGAAAGGUGUUCAACAAAGGGGCUCUUUGGCUCUUUGAUUUCUGAAAUCCUCCCAUUUGGGCAUAUAUUUAUUCUUUUAUAAACAACCUAUUGUCUGUUUUCAUAACUUCAUUUUCAAACUGAAAAUGAUGAGAGAACUCUUCCCAAUCAAUAGCUACCCUAUAAGAAAACCUUUUCAUCCCAGAAUUGAUUGGUAUUGUCAACUCAUCCCUGACUUUAUAUAUAACCACAAGAUGUGCCACACACAACCCAUUUGAAUAGAUACGUCCAUAUUUUAGGGGGGUUGAGGUUGAAGGGAUCUCAGCCCCUAGGAGUUGGCUCCUAUGCUGAGAUCUGAAGCAUUUGGGCCUUCCUGUAUUGCUAGAGGAAUCGUGCUGCAAGUUGACCCAUGCCUGUUUGUUGCUUGUGUCAGUAGCUGCCUGGAUGUGUUAAACUACUUACAAGGUAUGUCAGGAUCUACUGUUGGAGCACUGAGCAAUUUGCAGUAGACUUCCAGUUUUCAAAUGGUUAACUGUGUGAGUUUGUUGCAGCAAAAUAAACAGAGUCUUGUGGUGGCAAAUUAAUGAUUGAUAAAUUGCAUUAAUUUAUGGCAUAAGCUUUCAAAUAUUUAGUCUGCUUCAUCAGGUACAUCAGAUGAAGCGGAAUUUAGUCCAGGAAAGAAGCUGACAAAAUAAAAGUUGUUUCUCAACAACUGUUGGUGGUUGUAGACUAGCUGCUGGAAUUUCCCACCAGGGUUAUUCUUUCUGUACACACAAUAAAUCUUAUAUCAAAUUGUAUAAUAUUCCAUUGCUGCUAUUUCCUUCUUUCCUGUCAGUUGACUUAUACAUACAGAAUAGAUCUACUGGGGUAAUAAAAUUAUAUUUUGUAAAAAGUCAAGCUAUGCUUGUGGGGUGAGAGAGAAAGAUAUACACUCUUUUCUUUACUUAAAGAUAUUGAUUGAAUGACUUAUAAACUACUUAAUAUUCUAAAAGUAUUUCCAAUAAAAUACAGACAUGACCUUUUUGCCAUCAUCACAUUCCCAAGAUAUUUCUGCCUCUUUGCAUGCAAAGAAGUGGAGCUAUUCUGCAGAUUUCUGCAAAAAGGGGAAAAUGUCUUAUAGUGAAUUCAUAAUAGAAUAGAAAGAUACCUGAUAGGAAAUAAGCAACAAAACACCACUAGUAUGCCAUGCUGCCUCUGAUGGUACAGAAGCACUUUGUGAAAUAAAUCCUCUUAAGUACAUGUUAAGAACCUGUGGCUUUUCAGAUGUUGUUGGACUAUAGCUCCCAUCAACCUCAGUCAGCAUGGUCAAUGGUCGAAGAUGAUGGGAGUUGUAGUCAAAUAAUAUAUAGAAGACAACAAUUAGAAGACAACAAUUCCCAUCUCUGUUUUAUAAAGCUUUUGCACUGGUUGAGCGGAUUUCCCUGAAAUGUAGUUAAAAGGGGAAAUUCAAAAGGCAAUGACACAUGGUUACAACAUGAAGCCCAAUUGGAAGAAAAAUCAGAUUAAAAGUCAUUCCUACACUCUUUAAUAAUACUUCAUAGAUAGCAUCACAACUAGUAAGGGCAUCACUCAGUAUUUAAAAGACCUGGAGCCCAGGUCCAUGACAAAAAUGUGCAUAAAUUUUGCAUACGCUAAUUUAUAUGUAUGGAUACAAAUUUAAUCUGGAAAGUCCUGAAAACCUUUCCCCUCUCAAAAUGGCUAUCUAGGAAUAACCUUAUUAUGUUCUUUCCAGCUCCUCUUUUUAAGGGGAGUGCUGUUGAAUGGUAGCUUUGAAACUGCUUGUUAUAGAACUGGCCAAGAAAUAUUUUCAAUAUAUCAGUGAUAUAGUUUAUUAUACUGCUAUUUCAAGAACUGGUGGUUGCCUAAAAUGUCAAAAGAUUCAGAGAAACAAAACUGCCUGUUUCUGGAAUACUAUACAAGCAGCAAUCUGGAAGUGGCCCUUCAUUCUCCAGUGGUUAUAUCAUCUGUCCUUGAAAUGUCAAUCAUCCUAUCCAUACAACAAAAGUACACUUCUGCUGCCAGAACAGAAAGCUAAACAGCACAAAAAUAUAAAACAAUAAAAUAAAAUAAAACCCUAAUAUAGGAAUUGAGCUAAAGUACAGCAAAAUACAUUUUGAUAAAUCAGGUAUGAUGCUGGGGAUGAGAGCCCUGCUGCUGGAAAAAGAAAAGAAUGAAAGAAAUUGCCAGAAUGAAAUAAAGCUGAUUUUUUUGUUGUUGACAUGAGUAGGCAAUGGUCACUUGGAAAAAUGAAAAAUGAGGGAGGAGGCCAGUGUAAUUAAUAGCCAGGGAUGAUGGGAUUUGUAGUCCAGAAACAUAUGUAAGACUACAGGUUAACCACUAUACAGUGGGGCCCACCAACUGCAGAGUUCAAAAGAAGAAGAGGAGAAAGACUACAAUUCAAAUCUUGCAUGCUAGAAUAUAAGCUCUGUUAAAAUCAUUGGGACUUUCUUUCAUCGACUUGAGAUCAGACUAUUUUUUUUUAAGUGUUCACGGAAGAUGCAGUACUUCUCAGAUUCGUAAGAUACAUUACUAUGAUGCACAUUGCCAUAGCAACUAAAUACAUCUUGAUGUAAGCCAACUGAGUCAUCUGACAUCUAUGAGGUGGCUCAUUCUAUGCCACAUAUUUUGCCGAUUUACCAGUUGAUUGCCUGUUGUGUGGGCCGAACAUAUGGACAGAUAAGUGUUCAGAGAGAAUACCAGCUACAUUAUGGGGGGGGGGGGAUAACGGCUUUAUGCUUAUCACGGUACAAACCUUAAAGUAAUUAAAAGGGUGCACAGAAGGUAAAGACAUUGCGAUUACAAUUCAUAUCCUGGGCUGCAACAAGGGCAUAUUAGCUACGUUGCAGCCAAUAUGAUUGCACCAGUAAUCCUUUUUGUGCAAUUUUUAUAAUGAGACAUAAAUGUAUUCCUCUGCAUGUCCAACCCAAAGAAUCUUGGUACAAUGGUACACAGAAUGGCAUAAAAUUUUGCAGGGUCUUAUCAAUGCAUGCUUGCCCCUGAAAAUGUAGAGUAGACCGAAACAAAGAUAAAUUGGAUGAGCUGAAAGCUGUAACCUACUAGACAUGCAUAGCUCGAGAUUUGGAAAUAAGACACAGAAGGGUAGAAGGUUGUUAAUACAUCAGUUCCACUUCAGAACAGGACAAAGCAAUCCAGAGCUCUAAAGUUCAGGAGAAAUUUGAAGAAAUAGAAUUUUGGAAGCAUCCUUCUUUAUAUGUUUAGACAUUUUUGGAAUAUCCCAGAAGCUGCAAAUCCAAUCAAUCCUAUAUGUAUUAGGACAGAUACAUAUUGUUUCUUUCAAAGACAUCCAGUGUUUAUCACAAAAGUCGUUAACAGACAAAUGAUGCAUUCUUACUCACUAGAAUUUCUUUUGUUAAAGCUAAUGCACAUUACCUGGCUUUGUGCUGUUUCCCAUUGUCAGAGGUUGUGUAGGGGAGGGGAACUCAAAUUCUUAGUAUUGAUUUGAGGUAAAUGGAUUAGUGCAAAAACCCAUCCAUGCAUUGCUGCACAAAGCUGCGGGAUUUUUCUUGUGUUACAUCCUUCGGAGGAGAUGAGAUUGUUAUUAUACAAAAGUAAUUGCAGAGCAGAAACACAGUUUAAACUCUCUUAGGGGACUUCCGGAGGCGGCGCCAACGGCAAUGGCGGAAUCCCUCUAACUUAGAGGGAGAUAGCUCCACAGAAAUCGGGUCUAAAACCGCUUCGGCGCAGCGGGGACCCUUCAAACCACAGGCGGGUGAAGCCUGUGACCCUGGGACUCGGCGGGCACUGUUUGCGCCCCCCCCGGUCUGCAAAGGAACCCGGCAACGGGCUCCGAAACAGAGCGGGGAAGUGAAGGCGCUGUGCUGUGAGUCGUCUGCUUCUUUUGUAGAGUGAAGCCGCGUAGCUGUUGCCGGAAAGCGCUGCCUUUUUUCCUGGACAAUUCGGACUUUUAAACAAAUAUCCGUGAGUACCCAGAAUUUGGACAAAUUGGGAUAUUAAAGGAAGAUUAGUGAAAAGGGCAGAAUUGGACUACAAAAAGAAAGAAAAAUUGAUUGAAUUUGGUACGGAGCGGUAAGGGCUAAACAGGAAGUCACCCUUCCGUUCUUUUGUAAACAUAACAAAGCAAAGUUAAAUUGUACUAGAGCUUUGAAAACUGCUUUUAAAAGAGUGGAAUCCAACAUUUUAAAUUGGGAAUAUUAUUUUUGGACUAUUUGAAGCAGUAAAAGGAAGUUAUCUUCGUCCUGAUCCUGGAGCGGGGAAGUCAGGACUGACGUGAACAAAUCAAGGUAUCUGUGUGUGUCAGAUGGUUAAAAGAAGAAAAUUUUUGUGACUCUAUUGUUCCCUUUCGUACUUUAAACGAAUAUAUAAGGAUAAAGGAUUUUAAGUAACAUGGAAAUGUAUCAGAAAGAAAUAUAAGUCUUCCCCUAAGGGGAGCUUUAGAAACUGUAACUAAAUGCCAAGGACUUGAUAGUUGUUACAAAGAACCGUGGGAGAGUGCAACAAUGUUUUCAGAAGCUGUGGUUUGCCUGCUCAAAGAAACAAAUAUUCUACUGGAAGAACUACAUGAUAAGGUGAACCAGAUGGCCAAGUCGACUGGAAAUCUCGGACUGGCAGUGGAAGGCGUUGAUCAAACUGUGGGAAUAGAUGUGGAGUCUAUCCAGGACUCAAACCAGGAGUGUGUUUUGACAGAACAGGGGUUUGUGGCAUUAAAUCAGGAGUGUGGCUUGACAGAACAGCCUCAACAGGAGCUUGACCCUUCGGACUUGAUAAUUGAAUUUGGAAAUUCAGUAACAGGCUGCGACAUGUUUGGAAAUGUGGGGGUCCACAAAUUUGGGGGGCCCUUGAAGUAUGCUCUUAAAUACUAUAUGGAAUGCAGCGAUGAACAGGGGAAAGGAUCUGAUCUGAUGAGAAGGGUUAAAAGCAUUAUUAAGUUGGAGCUACUACGAGCAAGUGACUACAGCCACAAAUAUGAAGAAAAGUUGCGGAAGGGCCAUGGAAGUGACUUGAGGGCCUCGGACAUAAGGUCACCGGGUUAGUUUGAUUAAUAAGGACUGACAAAUCCCGAAACCAGGAGGAAGGGACGUUGGAUUAAGAUUGGACUUGAUUAUAUGCUUCUUUCUCCUUUUUUGUUUUUUUAUUGUUUUUUAAUUAAUAGAAUGUUUUCUAAAGCUGAUGAAUGAUAGAAUGAGAGAAAAAAUGAAUGAUAGGAAAAUGUUGGAAGAAUUUACCGGGCUUUAGCAAAAAGGUAUAAAGAAUUAUGAAAGAACAUUAUGAAUAUAAGAAGUGGGUAAAGUCAAGAUCUAAAUUUUAAAUUUUAAAGUUUAUUUUAUAAUAGAAGGAAAGGAUUUGUGAAAGAACAUUAUGAAUAUAAGAAGUUGGUAUAAUUAAGAUUUAAAUUUUAAAUUGUAAGGUUUAUCAUAUAAUAGAAAAAUGGAAAGGAUUUGCUGGGAUAAUUAAUAACUAGAAUACAAAGGAAGGGAGGAGGAGGAGGUCUAAUGUUUUUUCUUCUUUACUAUUAUCUUUUUUCUGUAUUUCUUACUUUUUUAUAUUUUUAUUUUAUUUUUACUUUUGUAUCUUUUUCAUAUUGUGUGUAAGUUUUUGUAUCUCUUAUUUUUUGCUUUUGUGUAAUUUUUGUAUUUUUUCUGUUUUCUUUUGAAAUCUCAAUAAAUAUUAUUAUAAAAAAAAAUAAAAUAAACUCUCUUAAUCUCCGUGCAGAAAAGUGAAAACAGGUGUUUGUUCUUUUACGCCCUAAGGAGUACAGCAUGUGCUAAGUGAUGGGGGGCGGGUUAGAUGCCUCACUCUGGAACUUGGACAAACUCUGUAUCCAUUUUCAAAUGAAAGCAAUGUUGAGAGACAAGUUAAAGUGACCUUUUCCUACCCCUCAUGCCUGAAAAUAUGUAUCUCUUUUCAAACUGCUAAGAAGUGCUGACAGUCCUUCAUAACUGUCAUGCUUUAGUUAUGGUUCAACCUAAAUUCUUCCUCCAUCUUAUGGCUUUGCUGUUUGAUGUUCACCCUUAUGAUGCUUUGCUGUCACUAUACAAGAUAUAUAACUAAUAGCACUAAACAUGACUACAUUUUCAUAGCUCUCUGCUUCCAAGGCUUCUCAGCUUUUAUGCUUAGGAGUCUAGGUUCACAGCUUCACACUUUUUAAUUUGUGUCUUCUUAAAUGCCUUAAACAUUAAAAAAAGAAGACAAGCUUUCAAAAGUUCUCAUGAAGGCAAGGUAUGGAAAAUCUGUGCUUUGUUUUGCUAAUUACGUUAGAGGAUAUGCCAAUGUUAGACACCAUAUUCUCCUUCAAGUUCCAUUAUGGCUUUAAGUAAUUGUGAGGAGAAUCAGAACUUACAGGGUUAAACAGUUCUAUAUGACGUCUCACAUUCUGAGGCGUGGUUUGGUUCACAUACGGGAAUCUUUCUUUGUGUGUGAGUUUCCUUUCGUUUUUGGCUGAGAGACGAAAGAAUGUCCGCUCUCUCGCCGGGCUGAUUUAUGAUGUUUUUCUUCUCAUUAAAGGCUGUUAGAGAUUAGCAAGAAGCCUGUGUUCAGUCUGAUUUAUUAUCCACACACAAGGCAACACUUUCUACCGCUGCAGAACUCUGCUACGAACUCUGCUAAGAGUUCAAGUUUUUCCUAUCGGCACAAGCGUCCAUCAGCAGAGGGGAAGUGUGCCGGGCGCCAUCUUAUCUCAACAGUAAUUGCCUGGAUGUUUCUAAUUGGUUUCAGAAGGGGGUAGAAGUGGCCUUCAAAAAAUAUGGCACUUUUUAUUGGUGGGGGGAGGGGCAGUCUGUGUCUGAAAUUCAUUCAUUCUGUUGGGGAGAAUUGCCAUUUAAGAUUUUACAGCAGAAAAAUUAUUCACCAUUUCAAGCAGCAACAGAGCUGCUGUCAAAAUAGUCUGGUGUCAUCACCAUUUAUUACCACAGAUUACAGCUCUUCAGUUGCUUGAAGUUCUAGUGUAGUUUCCCCCCUCUUCUUUUAUGAAAGAAGGGAGAAAAGCAAUUAAAAUCAGGAUAGCCAAUGUGGAGUUACUUGACCACAACUCCCAUCACCCCUGACCAUUGGACAUGCUGACUGCGGCAGAUGGGAAAUAGAGUCUAACAACAUCUGGAAAAAACUGUGUUGCCUAACACUGUUUCAUAAUAUACCAGGUUUUCAAAUUGUCCUGUUUCUGGAGAAAAUUCUAAAAUGGAAAGUUCCAAAAGUUUUAAAAAAACUGUAACUAGGCUGAUCUGGUCAAAGUUAAGCAGACUUCACAGCAUUAGUGGGGCCAGAUUAAAAUGGUCCGGGAUUCAGUGAAAUAUAAUAAGAAGUACUGUUUAUGCGAAAAAAUUUCUGAAUGUCAGUCUAGUAACAUGCACAGCAACUGCUGACCCAACCUGGCCUUCACUCUCACAUUUCAACCUGGCUGAAUCAUGGCCCAAUUAAUAUACAUUAACUGUCUAGUCCACAAUCCUAUUUACUUACCUCACAGAUGAUGGCUAUGAAGACCAGCAUCUUCUCCUACCUCUAAUUCCAACCCUGAAUUCCAGGCAUCCACACCCUCUAUAUUUCCCAACCCUCAAAAGCAUUUCAGAGGUUUGGCAGGUGAAGUCCAUAUUCAUUCAUUUAUCCAGAGACAUGCUAUAAUUUUACAGAAGUUCCUGCUCUAUUCUUUCGUGAAGUAGUUUUAAAUGCUUCUUGUGUUAGAUGCCAAAGAUUACUUGCAAAUGUGUUCAACAAAUUUAUGGAUUUCUAUUUCAUGGCGCUUCUAAGAUUAUUGUUAGCACAGCGAGAAAUAUUUUACUGUUCAAUCUUCAUAUUUAUUGAGGGUGGAUUGCAAAUAACCAUAGUCCUGAGAUUGAAAGCUAAUGUAUUUCCAGAUGAAACCUCGAAAUAUUUUUCUAAUGAAUUUUAAAUUAAUCUACAUCAAAAGCCAUAGCUGACAUUAAUUUGAGUUAGCUUGUGCUGUGAGCAAAUAUGGGAGAAACGUGGUACAAGGGAAACACCCGGAUAUGCUGCUGAAGUGAUAUCAGUCCUGGAAAAAAGCAUCCAGGUUAUUACAAUUGGUUGUACAGAAUGAAGUCAUCUGGUUCAUCCAAAGACUUCUGCUCAGGCAUCAGAAAUCCACCCCCCCCCUUUCUGUUCUCCUACCCUUGCAAUUUGGUCUGGAGGAUUUGGGGAAAAUUCAGAACGGAUUUGGGGGAGAGUGGAGACAAAGUUUGGGGCAUAGAAACUGCACACAAGGAACAUUCCCAUACAAAAUAAUAAUAAUAAUGAAGAAGAAGAAGAAGAAGAAGAAGAAGAAGAAGAAGAAGAAGAAGAAGAAGAAGAUCUCCUUCAUUUCAUGUGGUUACAAGAGUCUCCGUUUUAUCCAAAUUGUGAGCCGUUCAUUGCUGAAAUGGUAUGAAAAUAUGUCAAUAGGCAAUGUUUUGUGUGAUUGGGGUUACAGCUGCUAAAUGUUUUGUUUCACCUCUAAAUGAACUGAACUGAACUGAACUGAACUCCAACAAUUUCAGUGAAGUUGUGGAAAUGUAUAUCAACCAAGAACGUUGAAGAACAUCUGAGUUCCUUUUAAGACUCUAGAGAACAAUUUUUUUUUGGUGGGGGGGUUGUUUUUCAAGGUAAUUGGAAGGCUGGAAGCAUCACUGUAUGGUAAUAAUCCUUUAGUGAUUAAGACCCUUGUUACAUGAAUUUCACUCUAUUUUAAAAGAAGCUUAAGAACUAGCUAGAACAAGAAAACUCUGCAUCUUCAAAGAGUGGUUUGCAAGCCUGCAUACCAAACAGAAAACAUAAGUGGAAAGGGUGACCUUGGUAGAACAUAGCUGUACCUGUUUGUUCUUUGAAAUGUGGGUAAAGGCAAGAAUUGAAAAGUAACAUUUGGAUCUGCAGGAUUCUAUUCAAAUGAUGUUGAAGCCAGACAAAUAAUAAUAAUAAUAAUAAUAAUAAUAAUAAUAAUAAUAAUUUAUUAUACCCUGCCCAUCUGGCUGGGCUUCCCCAGCCACUCUGGGCGGCUUCCAACAAAAUAUUAAAAUACAGUUAUGCAUCAAACAUUAAAAGCUUCCUUAAACAGGGCUGCCUUCAGAUGUCUUCUAAAAGUCUGGUAGUUGUUGUUCUCUUUGACAUCUGGUGGGAGGGUGUUCCACAGGAUGGGUGCCACUACCGAGAAGGCCCUGCCUGAUUCCCUGUAACUUGGUUUCUCGCAGUGAGGGAACUGCAAGAAGGCCCUCAGCGCUGGACCUCAGUGUCCGGGGAGAACGAUGGGGGUGGAGACGCUCCUUCAGAUAUACUGGACCGAGGCCAUUUAGGGCUUUAAAGGUCAGCACCAACACUUUGAAUUGUGCUCAGAAACAUACUGGGAGCCAAUAUAGGUCUUUCAAGGCCAGUGUUAUGUGGUGUCGGCGGCCGCUCCCAGUCACCAGUCUAGCUGCCGCAUUUUGGAUUAGUUGUAGUUUCCGGGUCACCUUCAAAGGUAGCCCCACGUAGAACAUGCACCACUCUGGCGAGACAGUCCACGGGCAGGUAGGGUCUCAGCCUGCGUACCAGAUGGAGCUGGUAAACAGCUGCCCUGGACACAGAAUUGACCUGUACCUCCAUGGACAGCUGCGAGUCCAAAAUGACUCCUAGGCUGCGCACCUGGUCUUUCAGGGGCACAGUUACCCCAUCCAGGACCAGGGAGUCCUCCACACACACACACCCGCCUCCUGUCCCCUAAAAACAGUACUUCUGUCUUGUCAGGAGUCAACCUCAAUCUGUUAGCUGGCAUUCAUCCUCCAACCGCCUCCAGACACUCACACAGGACCUUCACUGCCUUCACUGGUUCUGAUUUGAAAGAGAGGUAGAUCUGGGUAUCAGCCACAUAUUGAUGGACACCCAGCCCAAACCCCCUGAUGAUUUCUUCCAGCAGCUGCAUGUAGAGGUUGAAAAGCAUGGGGGAGAGGACAGAACUCUGAGGCAACCCACAAGUGAGAGAGCCCAGGGGUCUGAACACUCAUCCUCCCCCCCCCCUUUCUGAACAUGGAGGAAGGAGCGGAACCACUGUGCCCCCAGCUCCCAGCCCCUCUAGACGGUCAAGAAGGAUGUUAUGGCCGCUGAGAGAUCCAGCAGAACUAGGAAACAGCUCUUACCUUUGUCCCUAGCCUGCUGGAGAUCAUCAACCAGUGUGACCAAGGCAGUUUCAGUCCCAUGAUGAGGCUUGAAUCCCGACUGGAAGAGAUCCAACUGGUCCGCUUCUUCCAGGCAUGCCUGGAGUUGUUCAGCAACUAUGGAUUCAGCACUUAGACAAAUAAUUUAAAUGACAUAUUUAUCAGUGCUGAAUGGAGGAUCAGAACGAAUGUCUGAUGAAAUGGAAGCAAAAUGUGUGAUAUUGCUAAAUUGGAAGCUUAUAUUCCCGUGCACAUUCUUCCUGGGUACCCUUUAGCAAGAAAGAGAAACCAUUCUCAAAAUGGUGCUGGAAAAACAGUUAUUAUUGACAGCAUGAAAUUCGAUCUUAGAUAUUAACAAAAGAAGGGUAAGUAACCAACAAUAUGUUUUGAUUUUUCUGUUUCUGUCUGAAUGAUCCAGAAAUGACCCUAUAAUCAUGACUUUGGAUCCACAGGUAAAGUUGGAGUAUGUAUCCUAAUUCCGCUGUGAGAAUGGGCCAUUUAACUACUCACCCCACAGUCUAGGCAGUCCAGUUCUUAUUGGGUGUACUGCAGAAAGACACAUGCCAAACACAAGCAUGCAAGGAUACAGAAAAUUAGAUCUGAAUGUAAUUGGAAAUAAGGAAUCAUGUAAUACUUUUGUUGUUGCUGCUAAAUCGCUUUCAUAAUAAAUCUAAAAUGAGAUUUAUAAAAUGGGAGAUUUGAAGGUGAUCCAUUAGAUGUUGUGGCCUUAACCUGGAUAUCUAAAGAACAAGGUAUCUAAAUAUCCAAUGACAUUGAAGAUAUUGGUGACUUACAAAUGGCCUAUUUAUUGAGCAUUCAUCCUGUUACAUUUGCAGGGAAAUUAGAUGAUAUCAGCUGUUUAUUGACUAUCCAUUCCAUUUUGUUUGGAUGAGAUUAUUCAUGCAUGCAUUGCUUUUAUAUACCACAUUUCUUCCAAUACACCAAGGCUGGUUACAAUUUAAAAUUAUUAAGACAAAUGAUAUAACAUGCAAAUAGUGCUCCGAAUUAACCAAACUUUCUUUAUCUACUAACAGAGGAGGUUCUUGUGUGAAAAACUUUGACAGUUGUAAACCUGAAGCACAUUGCAAAGGUCAGUAAUUUACCACUGCUUAGAAAUUCAUAUCACUUUCUUUCAUAUGUUGACCUGUGUGUGUGUUUAUUUGUGUACCAUUGAGUGGAAAUGUUGUUAUUAAUAACAGAAGGUGAACUUCAGGGUGUAUGAUUUCCAAGAAUUUGUGUCAAAAUCAUGACACAAUUGCUUAACCGCUGUGCAGAAGGAGCACCUUUAUGUCUUGAGAUCAUGAAUUAAUUUUAUUCUCAGAAAUGCUGCAUUUCUUGUUAUUUCCACAAGUGGAGGUGGGGGGAAUCAGGGUUCACACAUUACAAAGAGAAAGUAUGGCACAACCCAAAGUGGUGCAUUUUAUAUUUUUAUAAGUACAAUGCUAUUAUGAAUCAGAGAACCCUAAUUACAUCCUCAUAAAGAUGAAACAACAUACAGUUCAGUUAUUCUAUAUUCUGACCAAACACUUAAAAUAAAUAUAAUAAUAAUAAUAAUAAUAAUAAUAAUAAUGCUACAGUUAAAAACAUGUUUCAGGUUUGUGGAGAAGUUUCUGCACAUGGGCUUCUUACAAAGCAAAAUAAGCAAUACAAGUAAAACAGCAAUUCAUAUUCUAGCAUCAGUGGCAAAAUCAGCAGGAAGACAUCAUAGAAUAAUUUAAACCAAAGCCUGGCAAACUAAAAUGGUCUUUCAUUGGCACAAUAAAGGAUAAAAACAUAGGCACCAACAUUUCUGUUUGUGCUUCAAGCCCCAAAACCCAUCCCCCGUGGAAAUAAAGACACAGUGGAGACACAAUUUAGUUUAAUUGUUAAUGGGCAAAUUUUGGCCACAACUUUAUUAAAAUACACAAAUGUGACUGGUAUUGGCUUAGGCAUUGGUAUCAAACUAUAUCUGGCUCCUGCCCCACCCUGCAGGAAGCCUGGAAGGGUAAACAACCAGCAGGGGGAUCUCCAUCAGUGUAUAUUGACUAGUGCUCACCCCUGGGGUUUCCGGGGGUCCUGGCAUGGCCCUAGCCCCUCUCCGGGCUUCGGAUGAGAUCCAGACCCCCGGAUUCCUUUAACGGAAUGCCCUAUUCAUUGGAGGAGCAGGUGAUGGCCACACCUCCCCUCCCCACAUUCCCCCAAACCAAUGCCUAGCCACCAAACCUUACAAAGUUGUGACGAUUGCUAAGAGGUAGGCAAAAACCAAGUGGUCACAGCCAAUCUGCCACAUUGGAAAAAAUUCCUACCUGGCCCCCAUUCCAAAAACAGGCAACGAACCGAAGUCCAAAGCAAGGCCAAACACAACCUAAUUAGCGGGUGUUUGGCAGCACGAAGCAAAAGGAGGUCCCUACGUCACGCUGCCAAAUAAAUACCCCCAACCUUGCCAUGCUUCUGAUUGGCUAAAGGCCAUUGGCAUAACUGUGGCACCACCGGCUUGGAGCAGGGCAAGCCCCGCCCACAAGCCGGUUAGGGAAGAGUUUCAGGGCCGAGUACAACAUGGACCCUCUAUUAGGAGGACCCAACUUGUCACCCUCCUAACCACCAAAGGUGUAGAUAGCCAAAGCAAGAAAGAAAUGAUUAUCCAAGUUGGGUUUGCUUUCUGUCCCAGGGUCAUUCCCUUGGGAAUAACAUGGUGGAAGGCCACAAGCCUCCCCUCCAACAUGCUGCAGAGGAAAAUCAGGACAUGCAUCUUUCAGGGCUGCACUCCUGCAAGAGCCAGGUGACUCACACAAUAGCACACACACACACCCGGGCAUCUUUUGGAGCCGCGCUCUCAGGGUAGCAAAAAUGAGACAUCCCAGGAUCCAAUCAGAAGACAGGAUGGCUUCUCCAAUUCUGGGAUGUCCCACUCAAAGUGGAACAGUUGAGGGGUAUGCACAUGCUGUUGGUGUGCAGGUGCCAUAAACUGGCAGGACUAUGGGGGGGAGGGGAGGAGGAAGAGGGGUAGCCAGAACUGGAACACACUGAGGCAAGCUGGGGAUGGGGAAGGAGAGGUUGGCAUAGGAUGUACUCACAGGGUGACAGAGAAUGAUAAGGGGGUUUGAGUCAGUGCAAAAGACCCAUCAGCAGAGCCAGUAGAGUCUCUUUCUCCAUGAACAUAGCAGGCUCUGAGCCUUAGGCAGCACCAGGAAGGCUGCUCUAAGACACUGAGGCAAUCAAGGGCCUACAGUCCAGGUGGGGCUCACUAGCUCUGGGAAGAGGUGUGUGAUUCAUUAGCUGGAGCUGGCUUGGAACAGGUGAUGGUCACAUGCCUUAUCAAGCUCAGAUGCUGCAAUCAGUAGGCAUAGUAUAAAAGGGAAGCAGAGCGGAGGUGCUGUGUCUGCACAACUGCCUGCAUUGAAAGACCUUGGCUGGGAUGCUACUAGACCUCUGCAGAUCUGGACUCAUGGAUUGACUGUGGACGGGGGACUUGGCAUACUUACUUGCUGCCAGGUAGGCCAGGGGCUCAGGAUGGCAGGGCCAAAACUUAUUGUGGGUGGAUCUAGGACUAAACGUUUAUGGUAUCACCUUCUUUCUGCCCCCACUUUUUUUUUCUUCCUCUCACCAGCUUCUCUCUAACCUUCUUUGGGUAUUCUGUUCUUGAAUGCUGACAGCUGUGGGGCUCAGGAGAUGUGGGGAUGAGCAUGCUAGCCCUUACUGCUUUACCCAGUAGCUGUUUCAGUCUCACUCCACAAGUUGUAAAUGAGCUUCUGAAACAAGUUGUUUUUUGUGCACUUGGACAUCCUCCCUCAUUUUAGGACCCUGGAAAUGUGUGGUCUACAAAUUAAAUUCUCAAAUACUGGAGAGAUGCUAGAUGACAUGUCUUUCCCCAGAAUACUAUGUUGAGCAUGCCAAAAUACAAUUUAUAUUGAGAAUGCAUUCAAGCAUAUGGAGUGGCAUCAUUCCUAGUUUCCUAAAAGAUAAAUGAAGUAUGUGCUUCUGUUGGAGAUGUUUUUUUCAUGUGAUUAUAAAAUGAUUAGCAAUCCCCUGAGCUAGUUGGUCUGUCUCUAGAUGAGUGGGGCGGAUUCUCUUCCAGUUUUCUGGCUGAAUUUUUUGUUCUGCUAGUUGGCCAAAUCUGUGACUACUGGCGAUCUCACAGCUCUUGGAUGCUUAAUACAAAAUUAUACAGUAGCAUUGCAGUACUUGUUCUAGUGAUAGCCCCAUUAGAGGUGAAUAGGUCUGGCAGGCUCAAGUUGUACAAACCAACCCAAGGCUGGUUCACUUUAAGCGUGCUAGAAAGACACAGCUGACCAUGACUCCCCAGAGUAUAUUCCCCCGGGGAAAUAGAAGCAUGUGCAUUUGUCACACAUGAUGUUCUACACACAAUGUUUUCCCUGUAGACAAACAGUAUUGUGUAUUGUUCCAGAGGGGGUCUUUCUUAUCCACAGUGACUUCUGGAAAUCAUGAAAUAUUAGAGAUGUGGGGGACUGGUGUAUCUGUCUGUGAGAUCAGUAGGUUUUCCAGGGGCAGUCCAUCCCAUUUCAUUGCCUGAGGUGAGACAGGAAGGUGCUGCUGCUGAAGCCCAUCCCCCUCACCCCAUUGCUGAAGCCUCUUUUAACUUGUUUGUGUAGUGGUACUCACAACAUGACAGUGCCAGUGAGAUCCUGUGAUCUUGCAGAAUGCAUGAGAUUGCACCGGGUGUUGCUGCUUCUCCCAUAGUAGUGGGAUGGGUGCGCUGCCUCUGAGAUGACUCUUGGCCUGCCUCAUGGGUGAGCCAGUCCUGGUGUCUGCUCACCAAGUGGGAGUUUGGAGCUAAGCCAUUGUAUGUGAAGGAAAUCUAGCUUGUACAUCUGCUACAGUCAAUGCAAGAUUCAAUGCUGGCUUACACACAUACAUAUAUUUGUAUAUCACAGGUGGAUAUACGAGCCUACAUCUAGGGGCCUAUAUCCCUUCACCCCCCAAUAAAUAUUUGAUGGGGCCAGGCCCCCAAAAAAUGGAUGAGCACUGCCAUUCAAAUUGUGUGUAUGCGCCAUGUCUUGUGAUUAUGUGGGAUAGGGCUUAUCUGCCCCCCAAUAUUUUAUUCAAAGUUGGCACCCUUGCAGGUGGGCAAUAUUUGGCCCAAUUUCCUAUGGCCUUUACAUUAAUGGAAUGUGAGGAAAACUGGGGAGAAAGGAAGAUGGAGUGGCAGGAAAAAGGAGAGAAAGAGAAUGGUUCCCCCACUUUUUGCUCCAACCUGCCCACUUCUGACUCCAGGGCCACCCAUACUACUGUAAUGUACUCUUAAUGGAAAACCUCUGAAGUUAAAAAAGGGAUGCAUAUGAAAGCUUCAAAAUACAUUGAAUUGCACAUGCUGAAGGGUCAUACAUAAAAGCCUAUCAGUGAGUUGCUUCACCCAUACAAUAUUUCCAGACUGUAGAUUGAUUGUACUGGUCCACGAUUCUGUAAACUUAAUAAAGUACAGUAUACACUUUGACAAUUCUAUAAAACAAGCAGAAAUAUUCAAGUCAGACAGAAACAGAAGCCUCUUUUAGAUUGUGUUUUCCAAUAGGACAAGAGAAGAAGCAUUCCUUAUGUUGCUUUUGUUUUAUUUAUUUAGUUUUCUUUUCUCCACUCCCCCCAGCCCUAAAAAAAAAAUAAGUCACUAGUGAAGUUUGGUGGCCACUGUAGUCAGCUGAGAAGGUAGUCAAAGAAGGCUUGAUGCUGACCAAUAUCUUGGUUUUUUCUUUUAUAAUUGUAAUAAAACAAUUAAAUACUUAAGAAAUAAUUAUCCAGCUUUUACCAAUAGCAGAUUAAAAUGUUACAGCCAAUUGUAUUUGUGACUGAGUCCCAAUGAUUAUAACUUAAAUAUUUAAAAUAAAGGUCUUCCAAUUAAUAAGAUAAUUUUAAAAAUGCUUGCAAUGUUUUCCAGAGUCGACAAACUAAGAUUUCCAGCUAUAUUUCUCCCAAUAACAUUUUUUUUUCUGUAUCUUGCACCUCAACCAUUCCAAUAAAGCAUAAAUAAACUUCAUUUCUCCAUUUUGCUUUCCAAAGUAGUGUGAAGGUCCUUCAACUUUCUCUAGCUCAAGGAAGCAAUAUUACGCUCAGUGGCUAGCUUCCAGUCUUUGGUUUGUUCAUCUGUUUCAAUCUGUUGUAAGCCAUUGGAGAGGAUUUAAUUAUAGGCAGAUGGAGUGCAUAGAAGAAAGAGUGGAACGAUAUCAAAAACCAGUUAAAGCAUCAGCUUCAGUCAAGAGUAUUUUCCUCUUUGCUGUUGUUUGCUUUUGCUUUUUGGCUACAGUCUCCUAGGUCUCAACACUCUAACACAGGGGAAAACAAAAACACCCCCAAAGAAAUCCCAAGGGGGUUUCAAGGAAAUUUGGUUGCCAGUGCUCCCUCCCAAGGCUUACCUGCAGUUAUAUUGCUAUCUAGUGAAGAAUCAAAAGGCAUUAUGCUUUGGAAAGAGAGUCUCAUUAUGCUUGCUGUGAGUAUGUAUCAUGCAAAUGAUAAUCACUUGAACAAUAAAUGCUCGGCAUGCAAUGAAUCCAUUUGUAUGUUUACCCAGUACUCCCAGGUAGGAUAUAGUCCUUAGUGUUAUUCUAUCGUUAUCUACUCAAGAGUAAGUCUCACUGAAGUCAUUGAGACUUAUUCCCAGGCUGCAUAGGGUUGCAGCCUUAGACCUUGUUUACAUUAUCACUCCUUCUACAGCAAUAUGUUGAUCUAAACAUGGGCUUCAUUCUGGACUGGCCGUACCAUUAGGCAAAGUGAGUUAAUCACCUCAGGUGGCAAAUGCUGGGGAGCAGCAGUUGCAUCCUUCUGGUUGUUCUUCCUAAGCCUCAGAGAAUGGGCUGCAUUCCCUUCUGCUAGAGGACAGUGUUGUGUGUGCUACAUGGCCUCUUGGUGCAGUGAAUGGUGUAAUUUUGAACUGAGAAUCAACUGCCAAUCCAUCUGCUUUCUGUGUAUGGGAUAAGGAGGGCGGGCCAUUUUUUCCAGUGCCUAAGGCAGCUAAAUGUCUCGAGCCAACGCUGUUUGGUUGAUCUCCACCAGCUAUUUACUGCUCUAUGCAAAGAAGAUGGAACUCCAACGUGAUAUAUCUAGCUGCCCUCAACCAAGUGGAAGCAAAUCUUUCAAUUCACAAACGCCUAUUAUUAUAAUGAGAAGUGAUGCUGAGUAAUUGAAGUUUGGCCAGCUAAGCAGAAGAUAAGGGCCAAUGUGCUUUUUGCAGGUACAUCUUCCUACCAUCUACCAGCUGGAACAAUCCCUACGAAACCAGGCAAUUACAUCUGUAAGAUUAUUUCAGAACUUUAAAUGUUAAGACUUAAAAUCUCUGGUGGGGGCACAGAUGGAGACAAUGCUGUCACCGCUGAAGGUUGCCACUGGAAACAGAUUGAGUCCAAUAAUCAGACUGGACAAGUAAUUCUACAACUGCACGUUGCCUAACCAACAGUGGCAGGCUUCUUGCCUCACAGUGAUAAAUGUACAGACUGUGUCUUGCAUCUCAUUUUCAAGUUUGGCAGGCUAACAUAAUCUGUUAAUGAAUGGAGACAUCUUUAAGCAUGUAGCUGGAUGCCAGCAACAGUUGGUAACCCUCCACACCUAUCUUAUUUCAUUCUAUUUACAAUUCAGGCAACAAAAAACUGCUGAUACUUGGCCAACAAUGCUCACAUGACUUUGGGAAAUGGUUGAAACUUUUAAAAAACAACAACACAAAAUUAAAUAAAUUCUGACUCCUGAGAGACACAGGUUAUCAUCUAGAGUAUGGACAAAGAAGGCAUAUGUGAGACCAUUUCUGUACAGAGCAUGAAACCAAAUCAGAACCAAAUUAUUCAGAACACUGACAAGGGGAAAGAACAUUUGGGAGAAGCCUGGUAUAAAUAGUAUUAAGCACAUGCAAAGUUUUGUAUAUAUAUAUAUAUAUUUAAAAAAAAUCUUUACAGAAGAUAUCACUCAGCACUUGAGUACAUUAAGAAAAGCAAUAAGUUCCAGUGAGCUAAUACAGAAGGACUAUGCCAUUAAAGAGGAAGUAUUUUACAGAAAGCAGUAAACCUACAGCAUAAGAAGAAGAGGAGGAGUUUGGAUUUGAUAUCCCGCCUUUCACUCCCCUUCAGGAGUCUCAAAGCGGCUAACAAUCUCCUUUCCCUUCCUCCCCCACAACAAACACUCUGUGAAGUGAGUGGGGCUGAGAGACUUCAAAGAAGUGUGACUGGCCCAAGGUCACCCAGCAGCUGCAUGUGGAGGAGCGGAGACGUGAAACCAGUUCCCCAGAUUAUGAGACUACCGCUCUUAACCACUACACCACACUGGCUCUCUAAGCACCCCCAUCCUUUAGGGAAGGCAACUAUUAACUUGCAAUAAAUUGAUUCUUUCUUCAUAUGUGGAUAUGCAAAUAGAAGUGAAAGCGAAGAAUGAUAUACAGUGGUGCCCCACAAGACGAAUGUCUCGCAAGACGAAAAACUCGCUAGACGAAAGGGUUUUGCGUUUUUUGAGCUGCUUCGCAAGACGAAUUUCCCUAUGGGCUUGCUUCGCAAGACGAAAACAUCUUGCAAGUUUGUUUCCUUUUUCUUAAAACCGUUACAGUAAUACAGGGUGCAUUGCUUGAAGAGGUGCAGUUGCGACUUGACUUCGAGGAGCAACUCAUAGCACGUGGUGUGGUAGCCUUUUUUGAGGUUUUUGAAGACUUUGGUGAUUUUUGAAGCUUUUCCAAAACUUCUUUUGCAGCCAUUUGGUAAGUUAAACUUUCAAAACUUUUUUGGGGGGGUUUUGGAUUUUGGGUUGGGGUGUUUGGAAUUCAAGGACUUGGUGUUGGGGAGGGGUUUGCAAGAAUCUGGAAGCUUGUGUGGUUUUUUCUGCAUUUUUAUGAUUUUCUGUGACCAUUGGGCCACUCUGCUGUUUUUUUAAAAAAUUCUGGAUUUGAAUUUCUGUGUGGUGGGUGGCUGGGGGAACAGUUGAGGAGGGGGUUCUUCAGCAAGAAGCAAAGAGUGGAAGAGGAACCUUCUUCGAGUUGUCCCCAGAGUCUUAGAAAAUGUACUGUACACUUUGUUGAUUUUUAAAUGUUUUUCUGUCAUGUUUAGAAACCUAAUUUAUUGUUCCUUCAAUUUUUGAAAUGCUCUUUACAGUAUGUGUGACUUUAAAGAGCACUUAAUAAACUCUUGUUGUACCAAAUUUGGCUUUGUUUGGACUUUUUUGACCAUAGGAAUGCAUUAAUUGAAUUUCAAUGCAUUCCUAUGGGAUUUCGUGCUUCGCAAGACGAAAAAUUCGCUAGACGAAAAAACUCGCGGAACGAAUUGAUUUCGUCUUGCGAGGCACCACUGUAUUGUCGUAUGACACUGUAAUGGUAAUUUCCCCCUCAAAAUGAAAGAGAAAAUGUUCAGAAAUGGCUGUUUUGGCUUUGCUGCUCCGUCCACCUGGUAGAAAGUAUUUGUGUGGGGCUGUGUCCUGAAUGCACACCCUGGCUGGAGCUAGACACACCAAAGAAGCGCUUUAGUUGAAAGCAUUGUACAGUGGUACCUCUGGUUACAUACUUAAUUCGUUCCGGAGGUCUGUUCUUAACCUGAAGCUGUUCUUAACCUGAAGCACCACUUUAGCUAAUGGGGCCUCCCGCUGCCACCGCACAAUUUCUGUUCUCAUCCUGAAGCAAAGUUCUUAACCCGAGGUAUUAUUUCUGGGUUAGCGGAGUCUGUAACCUGAAGCGUAUGUAACCUGAAGUGUAUGUAACCCGAGGUACCACUGUAAAUUUAAACAGGGAAAACAAGUACUGUAGAGAAAAACAGGACUCCGCAUCGCCAUCUGGUGGCAAAAUGUUAAAUUGCAUAUACAAUGCAUACUGUAUAUAGGAAAUCACUUUUUCUUUACCAAUCUAGCUGAGUCCUCUGUAAGCAAUUGGUGGCUCAGAGGUAGAGCUAGCCUAGGUAUAUAAACCCCGAAUGCUUGUAAUUCCUACACACCUGUUUGCUCUUGGGUUUCAGUGUAGUUUCAUGUGGUCAUAUAUGCUUCAAUAGAGAUAUUCUCCCUAUCAACCAUACUGGUACUUGAGGGAUACCCCCCCCCAUGUUUACCUAGGGAGUAUUUUUGACAAUAAUGUGAUGUGUUUACACAUUAAUUAGGGAGUUCAUUAGGUCCCAAAAGUGGGGUGUUCAGGAAGUAACAAAUACAGGUAAGAGCAUCAGUGAGUGCUCAAGGCACCAAGAUGGUGAAAGGGGUUUCCCUGGGCUUGCCACUCAGGGCUUUGGACCUGGGAAGGAACCUUCUUAUGACUAUCCUGGGUCAUGCACUGAGAGUCUCAGGGCUCAGGGGCUAGUGACUCAGGUAUGGCUUCCUGCCAUCUGAAAAAAGUACCUGAGAUUCUGCAUUCAGAUUAGAUUUCAGUGAGAACAUCCCACAUCACUCUAGGCGAAUGAAAAAGGGAAAGGAGAGAGUAACAGGUUAAGGGGUUUGUCAAAUGAAAAGGAUUUGGGUCCUACCACACUCCUGAUGGUGUCAUUACCCCCCAAAUUGGCAAAUAGACUUGCAUGGAGCAGUUUCUCCAUGUUAUUAUCAUUAACAAUAGUUGGUUUUCUGAUAUUAGAGGAGUUCAUUCACUACUAGUUUCUCAAGUGUACUAUACACAUCAUGUUUCAGGUGCAUUGGUAAUGCAACAUGGUAGGAAACUAAUAACUGUACACAGAUCAAGGCAUUUCUGGAAAUCUAUUAUCAAUACAAAAGUCACAAGCCAACGUGCUGCUUUAAAACAGGGUGGAGUUGGGGGUGCCCAGUAGAAGUGUUUAUUCAUUUUCUUCUGACAGCCAUAUCACGUGCAGGUUUUAAGACCCCUUAUUUUAAAUAUAUGGCUGGAAAAUACACCUUGAGAGCAGGCUGACUUAUAUCACUAGCUGGGAUUGCUAGCUUUUACGAACUCAGUGCAUCUAAAACUAGAUCAUGCCAAGUGGUUUAAAUUUGGAAUCAUAGAAUUGUAGAGCUGGAAAAGGUCCCAAGAUUCAUCUAGUCCAACCUCCUGCAAUGCAGGAAUCUCAACUAGAUCAUGCAUGACAUGGCCAUCCAACCUCUGCUUAUAAACCUCCAUUGAAGGAGAGUCCACCAUGUCUUGCAUGAGUCCAUUCCACUGCCAAGCAGCUCUGUCAGAAAGAAGCUCUGAGGAGUCCAGCCCUUUCUGUGUCCCCUGUUUGCAUUUCACCAUCUUCUCCUCUGAGUGACCCCACUGUUUCUUUGUUCUUCCUUUUGCUACGAACAUACCCAUAAAAGCCAUUUUGUUGCUUUUAACCUCUCUAGCAAGCCUGAGUUCAUUCUGUGCUUUAGCUUUUCUGACUUUGUGUCUACACGUGCUGGCUAUUUGUUUGAAUUCCUCUUUGGUGGUUUCUCCCCUUUUCCAUUUUUUGUACACAUCCUUUUUUAAUCUUAACUCAGUUAAAAGUUCUUUAGAUAGCCACCCUGGCUUCUUUAGACACCUUCCAUGUUUCCAUCUCAUUGGUAUUGCCUGAAGUUGUGCUUUUAGUAUCUCCCUCUUAACAAACUCCCAGCCAUCAUGAACUCCCUUUCCUUUUAGUAUUACUGUCCAUGGGAUCUCACCCAGCACUUCCCUAAGUUUUAUGAAGUCGGCUUUCUUAAAGUCAAGAAAUUGAGUCCUAGUAUGCUUGGCUGUAUAGUAAACUUCAGAAGAGCAUGAUCACUCGCGCCUAAUGAUCCUUCCACUUCUACCCCACUAACCAGGUCAUCAACAUUGGUUAGGACCAGAUCUAAAAUGGCUGUUCCUCUUGUUGCUUCUCCCACUUUCUGGACAAUGAAGUUGUCUGCAAGGCCAGUGAGGAAUCUGUUUGACCUUAUGCUCUUGGCUGAGUUUGACAUCCAACAAAUAUCUCCCUUCCUUUUGCAUGCUUGGCCAUCUGUUCCAGGAAAGCAUCAUCUAUGUCCUCCGUUUGGCUUGGGGAUCUAUAGUAAACUCCCACAAUGAGGUCACUGUUAUUCUUCUCUCCCUUAAUUUUGACCCAAAUGCUCUCACUUUGGCUUUGAGGUUCUAAAUCUUGGAUCUCUUCACAGGUAUACACAUCCCUGACAUAUAACGCCACUCCUCCUCCUUUCUUGUCUGGUCUGUUUCUCUGAAAUAGAUUGUAUCCCUCCAUUAUUACAUUCCAGUCGUGGGACUUAUCCCACCAGGUUUCAGUGAUGCCUAUUAUGUCAUAUUUAGUUUGCUGUACCAAGAGCUCAAGCUCAUCUUGUUUAUUUCCCAUGCUUUGCGCAUUAGUGUACAGACAUUGAAGUCCAUUAAUCAUUCCCCCGUGUCUCUUAUUUAAGGAUUUUUUUAUAACUUCAUAGGAUUUUUUUAUAACUUCAUACAAAAAAGCAGCCAGUCCCUGGUGGGGCCCCCCAGCCAGCGUAGCCCUCCAAGACCCAGGGCAAGUACACCUGGCUGUCCCCUCCUCCCACUUGUGCCUGGCUGAAAGGUUCUAUGAAAAAUUAUCUUUGACAUUGUCAACUGAGAGUUAAAAUAUAUGCAUAUGAUGAUCAGGGAUUUGUUUUGUUUGGGGAAAAUGCAUUUUUUAGUUGUUUUUAAGGCAGCUCAGUUUGACCGUGACUUAUAACGUCUUUGCUUCUUGUAUAUUGAGCUACAGUUCUGGGAAAUAGCAUUUUGUGAAAUAAGGUUCAAAACCUUAAGGGAUAUGGUUUUUUUACGCAUCAAUUUACAUUGCAAAUUCCAUACUUCUUUCAUGUUAUGAUGUUAAUGAUUUAGUGGUUAUGACUUACCCAGAGGUGUAUCUAUUUUUAUAAGCCUAAAGGGAUAAAACAAUUAAUCAGUUAGCUAUAGUAUUUGUUAAUACCAAAUAAGGUGACAUAUAUUUCUUACCCAAGGGUAAUUGUCAGUUCCUCUUUGUUUUAAUGGACCUUUAGGAUAGUUGUUCUAAUUAAUGGAUUCAGACGAUCUAAUGAUGCCUGAACUAAAUGCAGCAUGUCGUAUGCUGUAGAGAAUAAUAUUUUACCAAUUCAUUCUUGUACACUUUAAAGAUAAACAGUUGGGAGUUCCAUUGUAUUCUUGUGCAAUUAAUAGACAAUUAUGCACUUGGAGGUGUAUGAGAGGGUUACACCCAACAUUUUAGUCUGUAUGUGUUCCUGUUUUGCAUCCUUUACAAGAAACAAAAGAACUUCUCUAAAAGUCUGGCUACACAUUACAUCCACUCACAUAGGAAGCUAUUUAGAAUCCUUAAUAUCUCCACCUUUUUGUGCUCAAAAGGCAAGGAAGACAGCCAAUACUAGCCCUACCAUUAAACAGGUUGCGCGUCAAGGUCCUCAAACACCCCCCCCAAAGAAAAACACAAUUGACAAUUUUUGUUUAAGGUUUUUGGCAUAAUUUUGGCCACAACUUUAUUCAAAUUACAGCAAUGUGAGUGGUUGCUUAGGCAUUGGUAGCACUAACUAACCCCGCACGGGGACAGCUCUGACAUUCACACCCCCCGUGAAGUCAGCAAGGGUAAGUCACAUGGGGAGAGAGACGGGACUGGGAACCAUGCCUCACCUCUCCCCAGCAUGCUCCCAGGGGCUUGCGUGGCCCUAGCCCCUUGCCAGGGGGUUUCGGACAAAAGCAUGGGGAGCUCCUGGGUUCCUUUAACAGAAAACCCUUGAAGCAGCAGCAGCAUUUUGGAGGGGCAGGCACAGCCAAAUCCAUACCCCUCCACCAACCAGUUCCAAGACCAAUGCCUAACCGCAAACCUUGCAAGUUGUGACGAUUUGCUACGCAGUAGGCAAAAACCAAGUGGCACACACUACCAGCCAAAUGGACAAAAUUCCUACCGGGCCCCUGCCCCAAAGCAGACGACCCCAUGACAGGCAUAGAAAGGUCAAGCAAACAGCCUAAAAUUAGGGAAGGAAGGGUGGGUGAUCCGAAGUAAGCAGCGAAAAGAGGAAGUUCUUCGCUGCGAGCAUUGUAUUUAACAAAUAGGGCUGUCAAUCAGCAAAUGGCAACAUCUAGAUUUCCCCAGUAACAGCCCGCCCCUGCUUAAAGGAUGGCCAUUUGCCUAGUAACAGUGAGGUGUCUUGUGAGCCCCGCCCGCAACCUGUGCUCUCCAUGAAGGAGAACACACUUUGCAAAACAGGAGGUAGGCUCUCCAAUUAUAGCUCCUUGCCCUGUGCCUAGCAAAUCCCACAUACUAGCCUGGUCUCCCUUUGUUCUGCUUCUGGGAGGCAAAGGACCCUGUGCAUGGCACACCAGAUGAUGGUAUGCCUCCAUCUCUGUCUGGCUAUUCCCUACUGCGUUCAAAGGUGAGGGAUGAUCCAAAUAGUUAGGGAAGGGAAGCUUCAGCAUGAUAAAACUCCAGCUUCCUACACAAACUGCUGCAGCAUAUAGCUAGGCUUUUCAGCGAUAAAGAAAACCUUACCUGAAUUGUGAACUCUCUGGUGUACUUUCUAUGUCCCUUAAUCAAUACAAGAUCAUUCCAGUUUCAGAACUGGUACAUUUGGAGUUAAUAAUAAAUUCAUCUGAAGAAAAGUAAAAGAAAGUACGUAAUGGGGGAGGGGGACUACCUCUCUCUCUUUUCAUCUUCUUUUCAUGUCGUGCUUUCAGCUGUAAAUUGAAGGCAUUUUAUCCUCUAUUUAUUUUCUUGUCCUUUGAAUCUCAGCCUCUCAAAUGUUCCCUAACACCUGCAAUAAAGCCCAGAAGCUUAGGAUCCCAUUUUAGCAACCAAUGUCUGAAAUAAAAGCUUUGUAAGGGAAUUUUGCUGAAAUCAAAGCAACCAGGCUCCUAUUUAGAAGCAGAAAGAAAAUCCUUGCCUGAAAAUAAGUUACACAAUUCCUCCUGAAUCCCACCCCACCAUGAAAUGUAGAUGAUCACUGCUUGAGUUAUCAAGAGAUAACACAUCAUAUAUAUAUUUUCCCCAAAAGAUCAAAUGUUCUUUACUUCAGAUAACUGAAAUAAUCAUUUCUAUUUGUGCAUUGUGAGCUUAACUUAUAAAAUUCAAUAGAAUAUGAUCCUUAAUAGAAACCCUAAGGAUUACUUAUAAAAGUACUGCAUUAAGGCAGGAGCUACAUGCACUGUGCACAGGUUGUGUUUCAAAACCCUGGAUGAUAAUGUUUUGUUUCCUAAUUGUCUGAUUUCCACUUGGCUGAAAUAUGGGAUCAUUAUAAGGUUAAGUCUCUCCAAUGCAAAUAGUUAAGUGCAGAAGUGGCUAAAAGUUUGAAAAUUUGGAGAGCAAAUAAUCUUUUCAGUUAGGCAAAUUUGAAAAAAGCAAGAUAGGAUGAUCGAUUACUCAGAAAGCAGAAAAAUGUUGAGCCACACCAACCCACCACAGCUCAAGUAUGUUCAAAUAAGAUCAAUAAUAAAUUAAUCAAAAAAUGAAAGAACCCACUGAAUUUGAAAAAUUGCUAUACAAAUUCAAGAGUGUGCUAUCAGAAAUAUUGCUCUUAAAAUAUGGCAUUGAACCCAAACAAAUAAGUACAUUUUUAAUGGGUUAAAAACAUAGGGAUGAACAUUCUACUGGAAAUUUAGAAUUUGUGGGGAAGGGCCCAUUGAUCUUAAGUUCAACCAUAAGGGGAAACUGGUUUAAAUUGAUAACGCAGUGGUAUAUAUCCAUGGAGAUAAUACAUAAAAUUAAUCAGUUAUCUGAAUACAUGUGGGAAGCAUCGAAAGGAUUAUCAAUCUAUCCCUCAGGAUUUGCCACAGGUAACAACCCCUCCCCAACCACACCCCAUUGAAGUCAUUGAAAUCUCAUUCAUUGCUCUGCUGACAAUAUUCAAACCAAUUUGUUUUCUGUCUUAUCCUUUAUUUUGUUAUAAUUUAGUUUCCCAAACAUAAAUUUAUUUCAGUCUCCAUCCUCUCAUCCAUGUCUGCUCAGGUAAGGAAUCACAUUUUUAGUUAACAGUAAUUUUCAGAUUUGAAGGUUUUUUUUAAAACAACAACAACAAUUUAUGGACGAUGUUUUGGAACUGAAACUACAUGGCAGAUUAGCUUCAUUUUUAUGGAAUAGGUUUAAAAUAUUAAACCCCCACAAGGGUUGGCUAAUAAGCAAUGAGUGAUUUAAGAGUUUACUUGAUAAGAAUUAAACCUUAAAGAACAAGAAGCAGUUGUGCCUAAAUAAGAACUGUAUCUAAUUAAAUAUAAAUAAUUUGACUCUUUCAUUUUAUUUGACAAAAGCUUUGCAAGCCUUUAAUAUUGCUUUAAAAAACAGUAUAUUCAAAAUGAAGCUAUAAAAAUUGAAAUUAGGAUAGGGAGAAAAACAGAAAUUGAACAAACACUUGCAAAGAAUUUUAGUCUUUUUGUCAGGCAGCCAAAAUGGAAUCAAAAAUCAUCUUAAUGAAAUUUAUUAGAGGAUUAGUAGUUUCAUGAAAUACAGAAUAUGAAAUAUGUCUGUUUUAAUUAUAUCCCCAACUUUUUGCUAGUGACAUAGAUUUUAUAUAUACAUAUUUUAAAUGUUUAAAUAGUUCCAUUGUACACAACCAUCCAGCAUUUUGAUAAUACUAUUUUUGAGACUAUAAAACCAGGCCUACCAACAUUUUUUGCACCCACGGGCAUAUCUGCAAACAGGAGAAACUGUUGUGGGAGCCACCUGCUAGCCACAACCAAACAUACACUGGAUCCUAUUUUUACUCAACUGGGAUUCUACUGGUUUACCAUCCACCUCACUGCCCAGCAAUCUCCCUGCCUGAGUUGACAGAGCUGGUCUUGGAGGCAGUGUCAGACUCCUAGACUGCUGGUUUGUGGUCUGUGUGCUGAGGUGAUUGGCUCUGGAGUGGCCCAAGAUUUCAUGGCCUCCAUGACAACCAUGGGGCUGUCCCAACACACUAUCAGCACAACACAUGUGGUAGGUCACACACUCUGGACCUUGUUUUCUCAACUGGGCAUGAAAAGGGUGAUCUGAAAGUGGGCUCAAGUCACUUCUUCUUGAGAUUUAGGCUUUCAGCACCUUUCCCCUCUGCAGAGGUGGGGGACCUAUUACGAUCAUCUGAUGGAUCCAAUGAGUUUCCAGGAGGUCCUGGAGGAUUUUCCAGCUGACAUGACUGGCACUCUUGUCAAAGCCCUGACCAACCUCUGGAACAUCAAAAUAGCUUGGGCCAUUGACAUGAUAGCUCCUGAGUGACCACUCCUGUUCUGUGUAGCCUGUUUGGCUCCCUGGUAUUCUCUAGAACUUAGGGCGAGCCUACCUAGCAGCAGUGAAGGCAGCAAAGAGAGCAUACUAUGCUGCCUCCAUCGCAUCCUCAUUGUGCCAUCUGGCAACAGAUUCUCCAACCAUGAACCAUCAGAUUCUAUGCAACUUAUGACUGGAACAGUAUCUGGCACAUAGCUAGAUGAUGGCAUGAAUACUAAGCUCCCCACCUAUAUUAGCCUUCAAAUUAGCACAUUUUCAUGGGUUUGGAUGUUCUCAUCCAGCACGCUACUGCCCUGGAGCCACUAUGUGGAUUAUGCACUGCUUUGCAUACUAUUUAAGAUGGGAUGUAGUUGAUGUUUAUGAAAAGCGCAACCUCCAGCACAGCAGACAAAACCCCUGAAAUCAGAUGAGUGCCAAUAAUAGGAGAGGAGGGGAGUGCUAAAUGCUUACUGACCGUAGCCAUUUCUUUUCUUUUCAUAGCAGUACAGAAUGAUAUCUAGGAUUAACAGCAGUUAACAAAAUGCAUCAGUACAGGGUUGAAUACUUCAUUACUUUUGUAGGCUAAACUCCAUGGUUUUGCAUAAUCAUGUCUCAUGCCAAAAUAAAGAGAACUGCCUUCUCCAGCAUGCUCUAUUUAUAUAGCCAGCUCAAUCCUAUUUUGCUUUUGGGGGUGGGGAGUGGGUAGCUUUUGUUCUUCCCAGUAUCACAGCCCUAGAAUGAUAGAGCUAGGAGGCAUCUAAAUAAGUGGGUCCAUUAUUGUGCCAUACUACUGAAUUUCCCCUCCAGAACACCAUUUAAGAAGCAUAUUAGUGUGUAUCUAUCCUCAUUCUGGCAUUAUUUGGUUCAGUGAUGAACCCUACAGAGAAUCGUUAUGCACUGGCAGUCAGGACUGUGGGCCAUAUUAUCAGACUGAGACCAAAUGUGGGGAGGGGAUGGAGGAAUGCAGUAUGCAAUCAGUUGAAUGCAGGAAUGAGCAGGCAGUCACAGCACCAUGCAUUGCAAUUACUGGGCAAAGCUGGUGCACACCAGAAACGUGUAAUGCUUUUCAAUACUAACGCACAUAAACCCCAGAACCUCAAUCGGGACUAGAUUCCCAGACACCUAUAUGCUGAUGUUUAAAGAGGAGGGAAGCAGCAAAUAGGCAUGGGAGCAGGAUCUCAUCUAACUCAGAAAAACAAAGACACCUGAAACUGUGGAGCAGCAUCUGUUGUGGAGCUUUUGACAGCAUCACAGAAGAAUGAGGUCUCUCUACUCAGCUUCCGCCUCAGAGGACUGCAUCUGGAUUUUGAGUGUGUCUGUACCUGAAAGACUUCUGUGUUAAUGCAAAACAAUGUCUUAGUUCACAUCUGUAGCAGAAUAAUCUAUUCUGCUCUCCUGCCACAGUCGACUCUUCUAACAUUUUCUUCCUUUGAACUGGCAGUGUCCUGCAAGCACAGUGGUCCCACUGAAAGUAGUGGCUACUCUGCUACCUUGGUUUAGAAUCAUCGAAUUGUGGAGUUGGAAGGGACCCCAAGGGUUAUCUAGUCCCUGCAAUGCAGGCAUCUCAACUAAAGCUUCCAUGACAGAUAGCCAUCCAAAGUCUGCUUAAAAACCUCCAAGGAAGGAGUCCACAACCUCCCGUAUGGUAUGGAAAAAACAUGAAAACUCAUGGACAUCGAAUAAAAAUGGAUGCUGAAAGAUUUGGAACAGGCAAAAGAGAGUUUCUUCACCCAAUAUAUAUUUAAAGUAUGGGAUUUGCUCACAUAGGAAUUAGUGAUGGCCACCAACUUGGAUGGCUUCCAUUUCAUGUAGCAAGAGGCUAUCAAUGACUACUAACCAUGAUUCCCAUGUUAUAUAAUAAUAAUAAUAAUAAUUCAUUAUUUAUACCCUGCCCAUCUGGCUGAGUCUCCCCAGCCACUCUGGGUGGCUCCCAAUCAGAUGUUAAAAACAGUACAGUAUUAAAUAUUAAAAACUUCCCUAAACAGGGCUGCCUUCAGAUGUCUUUUAAAGAUAAGAUAACUGCUUAUUUCCUUCACAUCUGAAGGGAGGGUGUUCCACAGGGUGGGCACCACUACCGAGAAGACCCUCUGUCUGGUUCCCUGUAACCUCACUUCUUGCAAUGAGGGAACUGCCAGAAGGCCCUUGGUGCUGGAUCUCAGUGUCCGGGCUGAACGAUGGGGGUGGAGACGCUCCUUCUACCUCCACUAUUGGAAACAGUGUUUGAAUACCAGUUGUUGGGAAUAAGUAGCAACAGUUUUCAUGCACUCAGGUCCUGCUUUCAAGCUUCUCAUAGACAUCUGACUGGCUGCUCUGAGAAUAGGAACUACAUGGCCAUUGGCCUGAUCCAGUGGGAUUUUCUUUUGUUCUCUAUCAUACCUCCACCACACCAGCAUAGUCAGGGGUUCUACUAAUUUUGAGGGGGAUUUUGCAGUGUUCUUAUGUUCAUUCAGUCAUCUAUUGUUCUGCAUCAGUCUUCUCCAGCUUAGUGCCACCAAUAAGUUUUGAACUACAAUUCCAAUUAGACCCAGCUUGACUGACCAGUGGUCAGGCAUGGUGGGAGUUGCAGCCCAACUACGCCAGAUUCUCCAACUCUGAUUUAGCAGGUUCUGUGGAACAUAUGAUUAAAUCAUUGACGGAAAGAUUUUCUGUCUCAUACCUCGACUACUAUCUAAAUACUAUAACCCCACUCAUAUUGGCCUACAAAUUGGAACAUGUUUAUGGAUUUGGCUGCUCUCAUUCAACAUGCCCCUGCUCUGGAAUCACUGUGUGUAUAGUAUUACAUGGUUUCCAUACUAUAAGAUUGGAUGCAGCUGGUCUAUACUAUUGCACAUAUAUUUAAAGUUUUUUGUUUUUUUAAUCCAGUCUUCCCUCCCCACCAAGUAUAUUUUCCCAAGUUCCUUAUUCUCUCUAAGUUCCUUUCCUUUAUUUCACUUUCUGCUCUGCUGUUCAUUUCCCAAUCUGCCAUUUGCCUCAGAAGGUGGUAAUGUGUGGUCACUGCCCUUUUCCAAAUGUUAAGUAAAACUGAAUUUUACUGUAAUUCUCUGAGCCCUUCUGAUUCAAAGUACUGUUGCCAUUACCCUUUUCAUUUGAUAGUCUUUAGCUGUCCUUUCGUUUUCACCUCAUGGUCUCGCAUUAAAGGUAUUAUCCGAACUUGUUCUGGUAGAAAAUAACACUAUCAAAUAACUGAGGGGGGAGGAGUUCCAUGCACUGUACAUCUUUUCAACUCUGUAACACUCCAUUUAAUAAUUAUAUUUGAAAUUAAAAUAUUUCUUUUACUUUUCCUCUUCACUGCUCUUUCUGAAGCCUGAUAUGAAUGGGUUUUUAAAAAAUAUUUUAUUGUACUAAGAGCAGGGAAAAUAUACAGGGCAUAGGUAACUAAAUAUGGAACACCAUUGAGGUAGAACAGAAUCAGAAUGGAGGAAAGGAGCAGGCCACUUGGAUACGUUAGGUCUACUACAGUGCUCUGAACCAAAUAACCUGAACUGCUAAGAGCAAAAAAGUUCUUCUGCCUCGAAAGGGGGAAACGUCCUAUUUGGGUCACAGUAUAUUGAGAGGCUAUCUAAAUGAAUGCUGGAUCCUCAGACACAGGGACAUGCUGUCUUGUGGCUCUCUUUAAUUUUAUACUGUUUUCCCCUGGCUCAGGACAGAUGUGUCAAAUGCUGCUAAGCAUUUUAGGCAAUGUUUUUAAUUUCCCCAAUUAAUUUAAAAAUAAUGGCUUGGUAGAAUACUGGGGCACACAGAGAACUCGGAUGUCAAGGGACAUAAAUUUAGAAUAAAUAAUUGCCUGGUUUUUAUAUACACGAAAGAGAGGAAAUCUUCACUUUCACAAUAUAUAAAGUGCCUUGCUCUAUCAGAUCAUUUGGUCCAGGUUCCUAAUUUGCUCUGUGGCCAUCCAGAAGCCACCAGAAAUCCCUUCACCAGAGCCUGAAGGCAAGAGCCCUUCCCUGUUAUCUGCUUCCCAACAAUUAGGCAGCCAAGGACACAUGUACAUUGUAUAUGAAUCACACGGGUUCCCCCAAAGAGUAUUGGGAACUGUAGUUUAAGGGUGCUAUGAACUCUGGUUCUGUGAGGUAAACUAUAGUUCCCAGGAUAAUUUGGAAGAAACCAUGUCCUUCACAUAUUACCGUAUUUUUCGCUCCAUAAGACACACUUUUUUCCUCCUAAAAUGUAAGGGGGAAUGUGAGUGUGUCUUAUGGAGUGAAUGGUGCUGCACAGAGAGGAAUAGCUGUGCAGCGCCCCUUCAGUGAAGCGGGAGGAGGAACGAAGCCCCUUCUGGGGUGCUGCACAGUUCUCCCUCUCUGCGCAGCGCUUGUCCUGCAAAGCCAGAGGAGGAACGGAAGGGGCUCCUUCUGUUCCUCCUCCUGCUUUGCUGAAGGGGCGCUGCGCAGAGAGGGAGAACUGCACAGCGCCCCUUAGCGAAGCACCUCUCGUGGCUUCUGCCUUAGCUGCGCGCAGCCUCUUCAGGCAGGGGGAGCCUUCAUCCCACUGCCCGGGAGAGGCUGCGCACGGCUAUCCCAUAAGCCAGGACAGCCAGAGGCUAUCCUAAAAGCCAGAUCCCCCUUGCUGUUCUGGCUUCUGGGAUUCAGAAUAUUUUUUUUCUUGUUUUCCUCCUCCCAAAACUAGGUACACCUUAUGGUCUGGUGCGCCUUAUGGAGCGAAAAAUACGGUAAUUGUGCUUUAAAUGCAUGGUGUGGAUAUAUCCAAGAAAUUGACCCUCCAAUCCCCACUUUCCAGUAUGCCCCACUAAAACUGAAGCACCCAGUUUUCUAUUGCCUCACCUCAACCCUGGAUGUGGUAAACCCCAGGCUGCUGCUGAUCUCUCAGGAAAACCACAACUUGGAUAUCAAAGUGCAAAUGAUUAAAUGCACUUUGUAAUCCAGGUGCAUAUUAAUAAUAAUAAUAAAAAAUUUUAUUUAUAUCCCGCCCUCCCCAGCCGAAGCCGGGCUCAUGGCGGCUAACAACAAUAAAACAGUACAAAAGUACAGCACAAACAACACUCUAAAAUCAUUCAUUAUAAAAUUAAUUAAUUCAAGCCACUGGCAACCAUUGGGCCAGAGCUCCGCGAAGAUUGCCGAGGGAGGGAGUCAGGCUGUGCCCUGGCCAAAGGCCUGGUGGAACAGCUCUGUCUUGCAGGCCCUGCAGAAAGAUGUCAAGUCCCGCAGGGCCCUGGUCUCUUGUGACAGAGUGUUCCACCAGAUUGGAGCCACGGCCGAAAAAGCCCUGGCUCUAGUUGAGGCCAGCCUAACUUCUCUGUGGCCUGGGACCUUCAAGAUGUUUUUAUUUGAAGACCGUAGGUACGAGGGUAUCUCCAAGUGCCAGCUUUACAGCAAUCUUGACAGCAGCAUGGAAGUGUGAGGACAUGGGAAAUGAACUAUUCUGCAUGAGUACAAUGCAUAAUCCCUGCCCUCUUCUUCCCGUAAGUGCCAUUUUCAUAUCUAUAGUGAGGUGCCUGGGCUGCUACCAAGAUCCCAGCUCUGGAGCAGAGUAUGGCUAUCUUCUGCCAAGCUAGCGAGCCAACAAGCAGGUUGGUGCCAGGGAAAGAGGAAAAAAUCAGGAAACAGCAACCAUGUGGCAAAAGUGGAGAAGCAGUUUUAGCAAAGGAGCAAAUGUAUGUUGGGGGGGCAGAGCAUACAUGAUCUCCUCUAAUCACGUGUCCAUUUAAACCCCCAAUUGACUAAUUUAAUAGAUUAUAUGUAAGGCAUCAUAAGGCUACAUUCCUGUGCAUAUUUACUUCUGAAUAGUGCAUUCUGUUUAGGCUGAAAUCCUAUGCCCAUUUAUCUGGGAGUAGUCCCCAUUAAACUCAGUGGGACUUAUUUUUGAGUAGACAUACAUAGGGCUGCAUGGUUCAUAUUACACAUUAAUAAAAUUCUUUUUUUUUCUCAGUUUGUUAUACUCUAUAUUUAUUCGACACUGCUGAUUAUUUCCAACAAUAUGUACAAGACAUUGAAUCCCUCAUGGGGAUAUUGUCUCACUGGAAUAUCAUCAUUUGUAAAUUUUCAAGUCAUUAAAUUUCAUGUUUCCAAGGAAUGCUAUUCAAUUUACACUCAGUACCUCAAAUAAAACUAGAUUCAUGUCAUUCUUCAGGGAGGAGAGAACCAAAUAGUAAACAUUAUGGAAUAUUAUUUUUGUGGGGGAAACUGAUGAUUGUUAAAUCCAUUGUGUAUGAAUAAAACAAGUUUGAAAAGCUCCAUUUUAAUCUAUAUUUAUAUUGUUCAUUGAAUACACUAAUAGAACCGGAGUCUUCUAUGAACUAUCAAAUUAUGGCAAUCCCUGGAUAGCACACAGCAUAUUUUUAAAAACAAACAAAAACGCUCCCCUGUGUGCAAAAAAUGGUUCUACAGACUACCUUUCUGUGAUUGAAAAGCCACUUUUCAUAUGAAAAUAACCACUAUAAAAUCUAACUGCAGCCCCACACCAUGAGCUGGGAGGCCAUGUGACCUUCAUCCCAGCAUGGGGGAUAGAGAAUAUAUCUACAAGACUCUAAGCCAGUGUUUCUCAACCUGUGGGUCCCCAGAUGUUGUUGGACUACAACUCCUGUCAUUCCUAGCCAGUAUGACCAGUGGCCAGGGAUGAUGGGAGUUGUAGUCCAACAUGUGGGAACCCACAGGUUGAGAACCACUGCAGUCUAAGCCAAACUACACAUUAUCACAGAAACAUCUGUAAAGAAGGCAGUGUCACUUUGGCAGUUGCAGAACUUGUUUCCACCACGGAUCAUGGCCUGCCCAAAUUUAUUCCCCUCCCUGACUUUAGUUCACCCCUGAAGGCGCUAUUUACAGUAACAUAAUAUAUUUGGGCAUAAAUAGAAGCCAUGGUCUUAAUCCAGUGUACACAAGAAAUCUUCACAAUAUUCUCCCAGGGAACACAAACGUUCUGUUUAUUUCAUUGAAAAGUUUUGACUCUUAUAUUUGGGAAUGAGGAAUAAAAUCGGGCUAUUUCAGGGACAGGUAAAGGUCACCUCAGUUUGGGCCAGUACUUGCUUACUUUGUUGAAAAUGGCAGUAGUGAUGCCCUUGUUUUCUGCAACACAGACACUGCUACUUGGCUGGUUGGUUGGUUGGUUGGUUUGUUGUUUUUAAAGUGAUUUGCAAUAAAAUACAAUAAAAAUAUUGUUGUUUAGUCGAUUAGUUGUGUCCAGCUCUUCAUGACCCCAUGGACCAGAGCAUGCCAGGCACUCCUGUCUUCCACUGAUCUUCAUGGAACACUGCUUUGUUGUGGCAAAGGAGCUUGAAUAACUCAGAGAAGCUAUGAGCUAUGCCGUGUAGGGCCACCCAAGAUGGACAGGUCAUAGCCGAGAGUUUAGACCAAAUAUGAUCCACCUGGAGAAGGAACUGGCAAUCUACUCCAGUAUCCCUGCCAGGAAAACUUCAUGGACAAUAAAAAAAGGCAUAUAAAAUAAAAAGAGAACACCACAAAUAUAGUAGCCAGGAACCUGUCCUCCCAGUUGAACGACGUGGCCCAGGGAGAGAGGGAAAAAUAGUGGAAGUGAACAGCUGGCUUCACAAAUGGUGUAAACAGGAACGGUUUGGAUUCUUAGAUCACGGACUGCAGUUACUUGAAGAUGGACUUCUGGCAAGUGAUGGGCUGAACCUCACAGCGGUUGGGAGAAAUGUUUUUGCCAAAAAUCUCAGAAACCUCAUCAGGAGGGCUUUAAACUGACUAAUGUGGGGGAGGGAGACAGUGCUCCUGAAGGUAGGAGUCUAUCAAUUGAUGAAGAUGAUCAUCCAAAUGUCAUAGACCAAAUGCAGCAAACAGCACGCAGACCUAGUGAUGGGAGGAAAAAAAUCCUUAAAUAAGAGACACGGGGGAAUGAUUAAUGGACUUCAAUGUCUGUACACUAAUGCGCAAAGCAUGGGAAAUAAACAAGAUGAGCUUGAGCUCUUGGUACAGCAAACUAAAUAUGACAUAGUAGGCAUCACUGAAACCUGGUGGGAUAAGUCCCACGAUUGGAAUGUAAUAAUGGGGGCAUACAAUCUAUUUCAGAGAAACAAACCAGACAAGAUAGGAGGAGGAGUGGCGUUAUAUGUCAGGGAUGUGUAUACCUGUGAAGAGAUCCAAGAUUUAGAACCUCAAAGCCAAAGUGAGAGCAUUUGGGUGAAAAUUAAGGGAGAGAAGAAUAACAGUGACCUCAUUGUGGGAGUUUACUAUAGAUCCCCAAGCCAAACGGAGGACAUAGAUGAUGCCUUCCUGGAACAGAUGGCCAAGCAUGCAAAAGGAAGGAGAUAGUAGUAAUGGGGGACUUCAAUUACCCGGAUAUUUGUUGGAUGCCAAACUCAGCCAAGAGCAUAAGGUCAAACAGAUUCCUCACUGGCCUUGCAGACAACUUCAUUGUCCAGAAAGUGGGAGAAGCAACAAGAGGAACAGCC